rnacentral:lncRNA from 1 species
GAGGCAGUUCCCGCAACUUCGAGGAAAACUAUCAAUUUUGAAGCUACAAAAUGUAGUUGAUGCGAGGGAUGCACUGCACGCCAAUAUGAAGCACAAGAAAGAUCUCAAGGAGUUAGAGCUUUCAUGGGGUGCGGAGGAUGCUGAUGAUUCCCAAAAGGAGAAAGAUGUACUCGACAAGCUCCAGCCUUGCGUGAAUUUGGAGAAAUUAACCAUCAAAUUCUAUGGUGGAACUAAUUUUCCGAAUUGGUUAGGAGACUCGUCUUUUUCUAACAUACAAGUCAUGCAUCUCAGUGACUGUAGUUAUUGUUGGUCGCUCCCACCAGUUGGACCGCUACCGGCACUCAAACAGCUCUGUAUAAGAAGAAUGAAGUUUGUGAAGACGAUUGGCGUUGAAUUCUAUGGCAGAAAUGGAGCUUAUCUGACUCAGCCAUUUCGAUCUCUGGAGAAGCUAGAGUUUAGGGAGAUGCCAGAGUGGGAGGAAUGGGUACCAAGUGGAAGUGCAAGUGGAGGUGAAUAUGGUCCAGACUUUCCUCGUCUCCAGGAGCUGAUUCUAUACGAGUGUCCGAAGCUAAGAGGAAGUUUGCCUUGUGAGUUGCCUUGCUUGAAGAAGCUUACGGUGUAUGGGUGUAAGGUUUUACAUGAUGGAAGGGCCAUUACCGCAACUACCAAUAGUCUUAACUAUAAAUCUCUGGAAGAAUUGAAUAUAAGUGGUGGAUGCCAAACUCUGUUAUCAUUAUUAGAGACAAAGCUCCUGUCCGGACUUGAGAUUCGAAAUGUUGUUGACAUACAGUGCUUGCCCAACUGCAGUCGUCUUCAACAUUUGACUCUUUCGAAUUGUCCAACGCUGUCAUCAUUUCCCAAAGAUGGCCUACCCACUACAUUGACAUCACUUUAUAUAAACAAUUGUAGGAAAUUAGAAUUCCUACCUCAUGAGAUGUUGGCCAAAUUAACAUCGCUUGACUAUUUGUGCAUACAAAAUAGCUGUGAUUCAAUGAGGUCCUUCCCGUUGGGCAUUUUUCCCAAAUUGACGAGGCUUGAAAUUCGUGGUUGUGAGAAUCUGGAAUCCCUUUCCUUGAUUGAAGAAGAAGGAGCUGUUGAGAAUCUCAGCCAUCUCAAUUACUUGCAAGUCUAUAACUGUCCAAAAAUGGUGUGUUUUCACGAGGGAGAAUUGCCCACUCCCAACCUGAGUCACUUUGUAGUCGGUGGUUGCGAGAAUUUGAAGUCAUUGCCCAAAAGCCUUCACACCCUCACUGCCCUUCGAUCUUUGUCGAUAUGUAAUCUUCCGAAUCUGGAGUCAUUUGCAGAAGAUGGGGGUUUGCCUCCCAACCUCCGACAAGUAAGUAUUAGGAAUUGUGAGAGACUGAGGGCUUCAUCAGUGGGUUUGCAAGCACUUGACUCCCUUGAGAUCAGUGGAAGUGACCAUGUAUUCUCUAUCACACUCUUCACAUCUAUUCUCUAUCAACUCUGAAAUCUUUGGACGGAAAGGGUCUUGGACACCUCACUUCUCUUCAAGAGCUAGAUAUUAACAGGUGUCCAAGUCUGGAAUUCCUGCCAGGAGAGGAACUUCAACACCUCACUUCUCUUCAAAAUCUAUACAUUUGGAACUGUCCCAGUCUUCAAUGCUUGCCAGAAGAGGGUUUUCCAUCAUCUCUUUCUCAUCUGAGUAUCCGCCGGUGUCCUACCCUGGAGGAAAGGUAUAAGAAUAAAACGGGACGAGAUUGGGCCAAGAUAUCUCACAUUCCUUGCAUCGAGAUAGGCAACGAAGUGAUCAUAUAAUAUGAGCUAUUCCAUAUUUCACGCUCAACCCUCAACUCUCAAAUCAAAGUCAGGUGAGGUAUGUGCCUUCUCUUACUUUAAAAAACUGCUGCUCAAUAACACUCUUCGCACUCUAUAUAUUAUGGCCUGUCAGUCUAAAAUUCCUGCCAGGAGAGGAACUUGAACGCCUCUCUUCACUGCAAAGGCUACAUAUUUGUGGGUGUGACAAUAUCCAAUUCCUGCCAGAAGAGCGUUUGCUGCAAUCUCUUUCUUAUCUGUGCAUCGACCAUUGUUUUGCCAUGUAGAAAAGGUAUCUCACAUUCCUUGCGUCAAGAUAGGUGAAGAAGUGAUCAUAAGAUAUGAGCUCUCUCUCCCUCUCGCUCACAUACAAAGUACUUAAAACACUCAAUCUGAUUUCUAUUAUUAUUUUGCUCAGUAAAUUUUGUUUAAAUUUGCUUUGUUUCUCAUUGCGCUUGUUCUGCUUAUCACAACUUAUAUCCUAUUUAAAUCUCAAAUGCUGAAUAGUUAGCAGUCUUUUCGCAGGACAGCAUAUCUUCUCUUGGAGAGCUAUUCAUUUGCAAGGUUUCUUUAUGUGUCAUUUCCAGAGGAGGGUUUACUAUUUAAUAGAAAGGUUCACCUGGAAUAUCUCAAAUGACACAUUCCCAAAUACAGGCAUUGAAUGCACAACAUUUUGAGGUACUAUUUUUGUAAUAAAAAUGUACUUGAGUCUCAUUUGAGCUAGUUUAAAUUGUAUUCAAUGUCUAUGGAUAACCUGUGAGCUUAAGUUGUAAGAUAAAACUCACAGUAUAUUAUUAGGGUUUAGGGUUCAACAGGUGAGCUUAAGUUGUACUUUCCUAGGUACUGCAUGUAUAUUAUCUUAGUAUCAACACUUGGUCUUAUGUGGACGAGAGAGAACAUUUGAGGAAUUACAAAAUCUUCUUAGUGAAUUAAGCUUGUUUCAGCUCUGUUUGUCAUCCCUCACAUUUUCUUUGUUAAGCCUUGAUUUUUUAUUAGACAUACGAAAAAAUGCUUUUAUAAGACAGGAGAUGAAUGCUUUUAUAUGUUGAUGUCGUAGUCAGUCUUCAACCACACUCUGUUUUUAGAAUUCAUUUAUGUUACUAGUUGAGAGCUGCUGUAUUUUAUAUUUCGUUCCUGUAAUGUUUGGAUGUUUAGCUUGAGCAGUCUAGCUUAUCCAGUAGAUAACUUGUCCCCUGUUUUGUAAUGUUUUUGUUUCCUCUAAUGAAAGCAGGUUUUACUUAUCUUGAACUGCAGAAGCCUACUUUUUGACAUAGGUGGCAUGGCACAAACUCGCAUCCGCAUUUCCAUCCCCAUUGGCAUGCUGUCUCAUCUUUUCUAUUCUGUUACCAGCUUGAAGCUUGUGUGGACAUGUUAUGCUCUUGUAAUUCUGAUCACAAACAUCACUUGACAAAUGGAAAGUCACAAUCAGAUCUUUCAGGUGAUCUGGAGGUUUACUUUCUAACAUUUGUUUUCGUGGGGGGGAGACAACAAUACAGAAUUUAAAAUUUCUGAUAAUCAAUAGUAGUUUGCAUAUAUCAGCUGGGACCUGUAUGACUGUAUUAUGUAAUUAAUUAUUUCUCUUAUUGUUUGGGUACUGUUAAAAGGAGUUAGCCACACAACAUAAAAAAGGAGGUCUCUUAUUUCAUACAAUUUUUCAAAUGUGAUCAUUAAUCCGUUUCUUUUUCAACAAUAGAGGAAUGUAUACUAAUCGUCUGGUCCAUCUGCUGCUUCACUCCCUAGUAGCUUCAUCUCCUGUCCUUUGCUUUAUUUCUGUUGAUGAAUGUUUUGUCUGGGUUAUUUAUUUUCAUUUCAUGUCCAUUGCUUUAUUUCUGUUUGGAUUCUUAAUUAAAUCUGUCCUGGACUUGAACAAGGGUUAGGUUAGCUGUAUAAUUUGCGGUUUUAUAUACACAACUGUCUACAUUGAUUAAAACCAGCAUUAUUCUAAGGUUCAUUUAGAAUGUAUUAUCACCAAAAUUAUAAAGAAUACUUCUAUUACAAUUAAUUUGUUGAUUCUAAUUUGGACUUGUAGGAACAGACCAAACAUGUUCAUGCGUGGCAUUGCUCAAGUCAUCAUCAUUCGAGACAGAGAAUAAGCCUUCAAGUGUCUGCUGAGUCAAUGAACCUUUCUAGAUAUCUCAAGUGUAAUGGAAAUUGAUGAGUUACAAAGGAUUUGUAAACAUUUUCUACUGGAGGCUAGAAAUGCUUCAAAUAAAUGACCGUGUUGCAAUUAUUUUGUAGGAUCAAAGACUCUGCAAAGAGGUAAGAAAGUCAUCAUCAAGUAACUUUGCUCUUCAAACUUUUUAUUUUUAUUUUUAAAUAUCAGUAAUAACUGGGAAAGCUUGCAUCUCCUUAAAUUGCUCAUUCUUACAUCUUUUAUAGUUUGUUGAUCUUGGGCAAGUGGAGAGAGAGGCGUCAAGUGAUACGCAACAACCAUUUUCUGUGAGCUGAUUUGAUAAAGAGAAAUGGUAUGCUUUCUUGUCUUAAGCGGUGUGUUCUGCAAUUAUUUGAAACAAAGGAUGCCGCACUUCAAGUUCGAGAAAAUCAGGUAUUUUAGUAUUUUAUUCUUGAGAAAUUUGAUUUAUGUAGAAACUUGAACAUGUAAAUAAAAUAAAUAAAAUAUAUUAUAUGCUGUUAAUGAGUUAAUAUGGUGCUUGCUUCUAGUUGGAAAUUUAUGUAGUCAUCUACCUAUGAUCAAAUAAAGAUGAAGAAUAAAAUAUAAUUGAGAGCAUCUUCCUCUCCCCUGCUUUGCUCAUCCCUUGUUCUUCCACUUCAGCCCCACUAUUACACCAUUUUUUCAGCCACAAUUAUAAUAGCUCCAUGAGCAUUAAGUCCUUUUCAAAUUCUGCUGACAUUCAAAAUUGGAAUUUGCUGGUGAUAUAUGAUAGCAUCUUUGUCCGACCAAAAAGAGAAAAAAAAAAAGUUGAUAGCAUAUUGUACCAUUUUGGCCAGUGUACGCAAUAUUAUUGCAUCCAACUUUGCAUAUUAACAUCAGUGGCCACAGUUCCAUGAUUUGAGUGCACAGAAAAGUUUCAAAAGUUGUCCCACAAAGAACAGUCGUUCAAAGUGAAAGAGAGAUUUCAAAGCUUAAUUACAAGUUCAUGUUAUUUACAAUAUCAAAAAGCUUUCAUACUUGCUUACAAACCUGUAUUUCCAAGUUCUGCAAACCUUGGAAUAUCACUUCAUCCAAAUCCCCUUCCAAAGCAGGAAAAAAUGGCAGCAGCUUUGAUUGGAGAGGCUCUCAUCUCUGCUUCUAUCGUGGUGUUGUGUGACAGAGUUACUUCAGCCGAGUUCAUAGACUUAUUUCAGCAGAAGAAACUUGAUGAAACACUCCUCAUGAACCUGAAGACGACACUGUUGAUUUUGUUUGCGGUGCUCAAUGAUUCAGAGGAGAAGCAAAUUGUGAACCCUGAAGCUUUGCGAUGCAAGCUGGAAGGUGAGGAUCAAACCCACAAUAAUUAACCAAAAAGGAUCUUUUUGAUUGUUUGAAAGGAGGGUCUUGAUGAUUUGAAAGGAGAGGGUUGCUUUAUUUCUGUUGGAUGCUUAAUUAAAUCUUAUUUGGAGUUGAACAAGGAUUAGGUUAGCUGUAUAAUUAGUGGUAAACGCCUUUUUCUAAGGGUCAUUUAGACUCCUAUUACGAUUAAUUUGUUGUUUCUAAUUUGGACUUGUAGGAACAGACCAAAUAUGUUCACACGUGGCAUCGCUCAAGUCAUCAUCAUUUCAGACUGAAAAUCAGCCUUCGAGUGUCUGUUGAGUCAAUAAACCUUUCUAGAUAUAUCAAGUGCAAUGGAAAUUCAUGAGUUACAUAGAGAUUUUUAAACAUUUUGAAGAUUGCAACACCUGCAAGUGAGAUAGGCGGUGACGAAAUCAGAGCUGAUUUUGAAGCCUCUGAUGCCCCUGUUGUUGCAAGUUGCACCUGAGAACAAGUUUUUUUUUUCUUUGGGGUAAAAAACUGGCAACAUGUUCGGAGCUGACAAUUCAAUCCCUGAUGAACUAGAGAAGCAAAGCUCCGGUAAGGAAAUUGGUCAAGGUUGUGACAGGGAUGAUUGAUGGUGAAAUGGAUGCUAUUUCUUAUUGCAGCCUGUUCUCAAAGUUCUUGUUGGCAAAUGCAAUUGAUGGAGUAUUUUGAUUGGGAGGAGAGAUAAUGACAUGGCUUGACAAUUCUAGAACAGCCCAUCAUUAAUCCCAGAAAAAAUCCCGUUUCUGCUAAACAAUCACUUAUGGCAAGGCCAACUCUGUAAAUGGAAUUUGUGAUCCCUUCAAAUUGUACACAUUUUUUCUUUUUGAGGAAUUUAAUCAAACAGUAUUCUAAUGCAUUAUGAUAGCACUACACGCUUUUGUUGUAACAAAUUACAAGGAGGAAUUUGGAUUGAGUUUCUUGUAUAAGCACACCUUACACAAAUUUCGUAUAUUUUCUUCCAGCAAGUCUGUUUAUUAACCCCCUUAUCUGAAAUUAAUUGUUAAAAGUUUUGAUUCAUCUUUAAUCAGUGUCUUACCCUUGUUGAAUAACACUCCUCUUUCUAAUUUAUAUUUGAAGUUUGAGCUUUCAAUUUCAAUUGUGGGCUUUGAUUUUUCAGAUUUUGUUUGUCAAUUUCAGUUUGGACAAAGCAUAUAUGCAAACAAAGUAAGCAUUUUAUGUUAUACUUUUGAACUAGGUGUUGAUUUGAUUUAAUCAUAAGUUUUGCUGGUGCAUUUACUAGGCUAAUCAUUCAAUACUUUUGAUCAUAGAACUUCUUUGGUUGAUAUUAUCUUUGUUAAGUUUAACCAUAACUUUAGAGAGGGGACUUCAACAGAUUUAUAAUCUCAUCAUUAUAGUAUUAAAAAUUAGAGAUUAUUUAAGGCAUUGUCUAUUAUCUGAAUUCUGCUUACUUUUAGUUCAUAUGUUUACAUCUUAGCAUAUUCAUGUGAUUAGUGCGGCUCAUACCACAAAGGCAAUUUUAGGCUCAUCAAGUGCUAAGCAAUGUCAAGCUUCCAAAUGACAAGUUCUCUACAUAGUUUGAGACCUACACUUACUAGAUAUUAGAUCAUUUCGAUCAUUUCCAUAUGUUUAUAUGUAAUUGACAUGUUAUAACAUUUUUGUAGCGUUAUAUAAUUAUUUAGCAAUUUAAUUAUUUCUUUGCAACUUAAUUUUUUUUGUCAAUCAUACUAUUGUUGACUGCUAAAAACCAUCAAGAAAUAGUUCUCAAGUUAUAAAAAAAAAAAAAUUUUAAAAAAGAUUUGUUGAUGCUUAAAAAGCAUCAAGAACAGAUAGUUUCUUGACGGUUUUGUGACAUUUCAUAACUGUAGGGGGCUUUUUCUUCCGACAGCUGUAAAUGGGCUGGGCUGCCGUAAAGGGCAGACUGAUGAAAUUGUCCCCUUUUGUAUGAGCUCAAAAAUUAAGCCCCAAAAUACUUUGAAAGGGCAGCAGAGCCUUAGGAAGUAUUUUGGUUACCCUCACCAACUAAAACAACAACAACUUACAGGUAAUUACUUAAUGCUUAUGGAUGAACUCUUGAGCUUGGCAUGAGAGACAUAUGGCAUGGAAGCAAAAUCAACAUGAGUUUAGCACUGAGGGGAAAUUUAGGCUCUCUUGGGGGAAAAAGGGAAGUGUUAAGGUGAGAGAGGAGAAGUUUGUAGGAGAUUUAGCUAAGAAAGGAGAAAUAUAGAACAAUGCUCUUUUGGCAGCUUGACAGAUGCUCUGUUUGCCAGAAAAGGAAGAUGGAGAAGAAAUGUGAAUAGUGCAAGAGUUUGCUAGAUUUUUGCAGGUAAGAGAGGAAGCUUGCUCUCUGGGUCUGAGUUGAGUUUUUUUGUGUGGAAGAGACCUCAUUUUAUAGCCCUUGGAAACCAUCACUUCCCAAGAAACCCUAAUGGCUUCUACCCAUUUUGGCCAAGCUUUUCCCUUCCUUUCUCAUUUCCUUCCUUGACUUUACCCCUCUUGAUGAAAUCCCCUCUGCCUAUUUGCACCAUAUCAGAGUUUUUUGAAGCUCAAGGCCCCUUUUUCCCGCAGUUGUCUCAAUGGGAGACUUCCAUUCCCAGUCAUCUCCUUUAUUGCUUUCCUUUCUUUUUUUCAUGGCCAAGUUUGGUGGGGAAAGGAGUUGGGAUAUAUAUGCUGGUUUGAAGGGUGCUUCUCUUCCUGGCAUCUUACACACUAAUACCCCUUGGUUCCUUGAAUGUUUUGGCUUUGAAACUUGCUCUCCCCCCCCCCCCCCCCCCCCCCAUGUACUGGAACCUACCAGCAGCUCUAUUCAAUGAAUCUUCAGACCUUCUCUUCGUGGCUUUUAUUUUUUAUCAACGGGCUGGGGCUUUUGUGGCUCAUUGUGGCAAUUGUAUGGGCUAAGGUGGUUCAUUAAGUAAGUGGGCUAUUUUUAUUAAACAUUAGGCUUUUUGGUUGAGUCACUAGGCUAUUUUGAUUGGGCUAUUGGGCUAUUUUUUUCCUCUCUUGUGCUCACCCACAUGUUUGGACCAAAGAAAUGAGCUUGAGUCCUGAGGCUCCCAAGCGACCCGAGACUUUCCAUUUCUGGCCCAUCAAUGGGCCUCAUGUUGAUUUAUUACCAUCCAUACCACAACCCACUCAAGCAGGCUCCGGGCAUUUGAAUGACUUGGGCGCACUUAGGCUUGUAGUGUGGUUGGGUGCGAAAUAACGAUUUCGUGCUUGGCAUGUUUUAAUUUUAUCAUCCUUGGGAAAGGCUGCGAUGUUUGAUUUCGGCAUGGGCUUGUAGAGCUGGUAUGCUUUAUUUCAACUCCUAGCAUGACGAAUUAUUUAUUUAGCAUGGCACGUGAAUUACAACUCGCAUGUGGUGGGUUUUUGUGUACUACACCUUACGCCUCUUCUUAAUAGAACAUCGUUUUGGGCUGAUAAUUUAUUCGGGCCAAACCGUGAAUUUUUUGGGUCUCAAUAAUAACCAUCAUGAAACAUUACAUUUUGACUGACGUCAAGAAAUGGGGUAUCCCUUUCCUGAUAGUGGCAUCCAUGAUGCCUUCCAAGCAGUCAAUUAAGGGCUAUCGUGAUGCAUUUUAGUUGUCAGCAAAAGGUGUUUUUCUUGUACUGUAUUCACUCAAAGUCGUGUUUCAUUUAAGAUUAGUAGUAUGGUUGAAUACCAUUUGUUUUGUUAAAGAAUAUUAUACAUUAGGGAUUUUUGUAGAAAUGUCAUUUGAACUUAUACCUUAGUUUCAAUUUGUCACCUUGAAGAAAAAUUUAAGAGAAAUGUCACCUUAAUUUUUAAAAAUCCAUGAUUUGUCAUAUGACUUUAAAAUCAUCCAAUUUUCCAUCCAUUUUAAGGGUAUUUUAGUCUUUUCAUUUUGAAGGAAAAAAAAGAGAUGAAAAAAGAGACCUCUCUCUUACUUUGUCCCUCAACCCAACCCCACCCGCCCCCCAAAACACAUCACAUAGGAUUGCCUCCCCCUUCCCCACUUUUCUUUUUUCUUUUUGUCCUACUUUUCCACUAUGUUUAUGUUGAAGGAUCUAAAGUUUGCUUGGUCACCAUCUGUUACGUAGGCUUCCCAAUUGUUAGUUUGGGUGGGUUGUGGGAAUUUGUGUGCUCGAAACCCGAGACGAAUCUUGUGGAAUUCCCGACAUCACACCGAUGCCGGGCCCACUUCUGAACUAAAUUCUCUUUUCCAAAAUUAAGGAAAAAGAGUACGAGGCUUUCUGCCGAAAUUUCGACAGAGUAUUCCCUAUAAAUUUAACAUUUCAGCUUUGGUGGCCGUUCUCUCAUUUCAGCUUUGGUGGCCGGAUGAGAGAACGGUCGGCUAAAACGUGGCCAGCUGGCACUGCCGUCGCGAGAGAGAGAGAGAGAGAGAGAGAGAGAGAUUUUUAUCAAAUCAUUUUUGCCAAAAUUACGAUUAUGCAACUGAGGGUAUUUUGAUCGUAUCUUUUUCAUUAUAACUCUGAUUCAAGCCCACUACGUGUUUACGGACUCAUCUCGCCGUGCUCUAUGCAAUUGUAUAGUUGAAAUUCCCAAAUUCCACCCCAGUCAAAAAUUCAACUUUAAACCCUACAAAAUAUUAUAGGGGCAAAAUGGUCUUUUAUCUAAUUAAAUUAAUAAUUGAAAAUUUAUUUAGGACCGGGUUGUUACACUGUCGUUGAUGGACUGUGCGAUGACACUCACACAAAGUCCUUGAGAAUAAAACACACACACACCAUGAAGAGAGUAAAACAAAUACACAAGUACACAAAGAUUUAUAAAGGUUUGGCCUUCUGCCUACGUCCUCUUGGUGAUCCACCCGAGAAAUUCACUAGUACGUAAGAACAACUUUGGUUACAACUAAACCCCCUUAGCUUUCAUAAGAACCCUAGAUCUCUUUUCUCCCACCCUUGCUCCAACCCUUUGAUGCCCUUGUAAACACUCAAGAAUUCACCCUUGAAUUCUGUCAUGUGUUACAUCUUCUCUUCUCCCCUUUGUUAACCUAACCCUAAAAGUUAUAUUUAUAAUUCAUAGGACUUUAAGUACAAGUUAACUAGGAAUAGGAAACAUAAUAGACCUCAAAAAUUGGAGAAAAUAUGUUUAGAUCUCGUUAGGAAAUUGCACAACACGUGCGAUCCGCUCGAGCGCCUGCAAAAUGAUCCCUUUGUCGCUCAAGCUGCCGAUAGCUCAUGGGAUGGGGGAAUUAGAGAUUUUUUUUUUUUUCAAUUUUAAUUGUUUAAAAGAUAUACAAUUUUUUAAUAAUAAUUUUUCCAUUUUUAAAAUACCCUUGAAAAUAGAAAGAUUAAAAUGCCCUUAAAAAUGGAUGGAAAAUUGGAUUGCGUUAAGGUCAGUUGACAAAUCAUGGAUUUUGAAAAAUUAAGGUAACAUUUCUCUUAAAUUUUUCUUUAAAGUGACAAAUUAAAAUUGAGGUAUAAGUUCAAGUUACAUUUAUGCAAAAAUCCUUAUACAUUAUGAUAUUCUAACAAUAAAAUUGGCUAAAAUUGAUAUGUUCCCUCUUUAUUUUCUUUUUCUCUUUUCCUUUUCAUUUUAUGAUCCAAUCCUUUUCAUAUAUUUUUGUUCAAGACUUUGUUUUAGAAUGCUCUAUUACUAAUUUGGUACAGGUCCCUAAAAUCUCGGAGCCGCCUUAGUACAUUCAUAAUGUACAUGUUCAGAGUUCAAGAAUAAUGUAUAGAAUGUGAAAUUGACGAUGCCGGCCUUUAUGAGGCAACGUCUUUAUUUCUUUGGUUAUUACAGUUUAGAAUAUUUGCACAAAUGAGAUGAUUCCAAGCAUAAAGUCACAUUCGACCAAAAAGCAUGAAGUCACACACAAAAAGAACACGGACAAUUGCUAAGUUUAUCCUUGUACCCUUAUUUUAUUGAUCCGACCCAAUUGAAAAUUAAAAAAAGAUGAUAAAAAAUAUUGUUCACUACUUUAAAAUCUAUGAGUAGAGUCCUCCAUUUGAAAUUUCGUCAUUAUACAAAAUUGGAAUGAAAAAAGAAAAUCCUACAGCUAAAUUUGAUAUAUUUCCUUUUCAUUUUAUGCUGGGUGUUAGGGCUUGUCAAUGGGCCGGGCUAGGCUAGCCCGGCUCAAAUUUAAUGGGCUUGGGCUAGGCCGGGCCAAGCUUUAAAGAGGAGAGAGAAAAUAUCCGGCCGAGUUUUUUAAGAAAAUUCAAAGCCCAAGCCCGAAUCACUGCUGUCUAGCCCGGCCCAAAUUUAAUGAGCUUGGGCCAGGCCGAGCCAAGCUUUAAAGAGGAGAGAGAAAAUAUCCGGCCGAGUUUUUUAAGAAAAUUCAAAGCCCAAGCCCGAAUCACUGCUGUCAUUUCAUUGAUUUGUGACGAGCACAACCACCAAAUCAGAAUUUACUCACGAAAAUAUCAAGUAUGUCUAGCAAAUUUCAAUUUUGAAUAAUACACAAUUUCAAAAGGAGGACAUGUUGCAAGACAGCAUACCUUCUCUUGGGGUGCUUUUCAUUUUGCAACAUUUCUUUACGUGUAAUUUCCAGAGGAGGGUUUAUCAUUGUAUAUAGCUUUUCGGGUGGUUUGUCUACAAAACAAAUGUCACAAAGAAGGAGGAGAAACGGAAAAGAUUUACUUGGAAUGUCUCAAGUCUCCUUUGAGAUAAAGGCAUCGAAUGCACAACAUUGCUUUUGUGCUAUUUCAUAAUUAAAGUGUGCUUCCCAAGUCUCCUUUGUGUUUUGUAACUUGUAAUGUUUGUUUUUUUGUUUCCCCUGUUUUCCCUCUUAUAAAAGAAAUACAGGUCCAAACCACACGGAUCUACUUGCAUAAUAAUGGACCAAAUUUAUGAUUUUUAGAAAGAACCUUCUGCCGGUGGAAUCUUGGGCUACUGUUGUGGCUCUCCUCUGUGUGCCUCCUUUUUAGAACGGUAAAAUAUUCAAAAUACUAGAAAAUGUUCGUGAUUAAUAUAAAUAUUAAGAAUUGAAAUUAUUAAUUAAAUGAGGAUAAUAUGGUAAAUUCACACUUUUUUAUAUUAAAAAAAUUAAAAUUAAAAGAAAAAUCAGAUAAUUGAUAUUAUUUUUAUGGAACACAGCUACUCAUUAUCUUUUUUAAUUCUAAAAUAAAUUUAAAUUAAAGAAAAAAACCCCUCUCACAGGCACGGAAGCGCGUGCUCAGAGGCUAGUUAAAAAUAAUGAACUUUGCUUCUGAAGACGUCUAUACCAGACCCACUCAACCUGCUUUAUGAUUAUACAAAGAACAAACUCGUCCUUAGACUCAUUUGGUUAAACUUAGAAAAUAAUGAAACAAAAAUAUGCACUCCCACAAGUAACACAGCCAGGAUUGAAAACAACUGGACAAAGAAAGGCAUGUUAAAACAGAAUUUUCAACAACUCAUCACCAUUAGACAAGAAAAAGAAAAAUCAAUACAAAAACAGAAAGAACAGAGAAUAAAUGUGGUGGAAGAAAAACGUUGAAGCCAUUUGUGAAUCCAACAACACUACCACUCUGUUUCUCUCCUUUUGUUCAGGCGGAUCUGCAUAUAUCCUAAGGCGUAUUACGGAAACAACUUCUUGCCGUUAUACUUGAAUGUUGUGGAUGCUUCAACGUUGCCAUCUGGGUGGAGUGGAUUUGUCCAAUUCACCUUCACUAUGGUAUAUACGUCCAAAUUGUUGUUAUUUGAAAGGCUUCUAAAUUUUAACAUUUUGAUUUUUAAAUUUUGUUUAAAUAUUUCGGCCCACUUAGUUCUUCUCAAAAUAUGUCAUCAAUAUCGUUGAAAGGUUGAACUUAGUGAAUUAUUAUAGUGCAGUACUGUAGAAUAGACACAUGAUAUAAUUUGUCCACAUGUUAUAAUAUAAGUAAAUAUUUAUUGAUAUUAUUUCUAAAAAUAAGAAAUAUCAACCAUUAUAUCCUCCCAUAUUAUAAUACAUAUACAAAUUAUACCACAUUAUCAUACUCUAAUACCAUUUUAUAAUUUCUCGUACUUAGAGCGAGUCAAUGACAUUACAUAAUAUAUAAUUGUUCAUAUAAUGGGGCAACUAACGUGAUCAACAAGUUGUGGUGAUUAAUUUAACAUAAUAAAAAAUAUACCAUUUACUUGAGUGAUGUAACAAUUUGUUCUUUUAAAUUGGAUUGCCAUCACUUUAAUAUGAUAUGUUUCUUAUUAUAGUGUCCCAUGUUAAGUGCUUCAGCAUUGUUUGUGGUGUGUACACAAAUUUUCUUAUAAAAUGUUUUAAUGCUUCUCACAUGUAUAUCAGAUAUAGACAGUUGAUGUGACUUAGAAAUCAAAUUGUCAAUAAAGCAAAAAAAUAUAAUUGGUGAUUGAGGUCCAAUUUAAUAGAAAAUAGUCUUAACUUGUAUAUUAGAGGUUUCAGAUUCGAAUCCUCACUGCAUUAUUGUUGUAUACGUACACGAGAAAUCCUCUUCUCCAAUAAUUUAGACUAUCACUUAUACUAAAAAAAUAUAUAUAUAUAAUGACUUUUACGGAUGCAAACAUAAAAUUACACCAAACAAUAAUGGAAUAGAAAGAUGCAAGUUAUUUUUUUUUUUUUUACAUCUAAAGUAUACUUUAUAUAUAUAUUUAUUAUGGGUGUUAUAACCGUUUAAUUUUCAGUUUUUAUUUUCUAUUUAUUGUUUUAAUUUUUAUGGUUUAAUGUGUAUGAAGAUUACAAGUAUUGGAUGUCUACCACUCCUCCUUCACAUCUGAAACAAACCACCAUCUCAUUUCUGUAUUUUCAUACUUUCAUAUAUUUUCUACUUUCCAGAUUAUUAUUUUUGGGCAACGGUUCUGUGACUUGCAGAUUUCUAUCCGAUUGUUAACAUGCUCAUAGCGGACCUUGAGCUUGCGUAUUGGGGAUCGUAUCUUGGAGCCUUAUAGACCUUUAUUACCUGCAUGUAGGGAGGUUAUAAAUGCUUUAGGUCAGCAUCUUUGACGUGCUUUUGCUUUCUUUUUUUUUUUACUUAUUUCUUCGUUUCUUUAUUUUUACUUUACUUUUAAAUUUUUAUUUUAUGUAUUAUUUAUAUUUAAAAGUUUUGAAUAAGAGUUUUACAGAAAAGGAAAAACACAAUUUCAAAUAACACAAAUUUCUCGUUUUUGGUUCUUAAAAUAAAUGAAUUUUUUACUUAUUUGUGAACUGAAAUGCCUCUAAAAAAAUAAUGAUAGUUUGAAGAAUUUGAUAGAAAUUAAAAAAUAUCCUCAAAUUACUUGGAAUUGAAGACCACAUAGGCAAAAACACCAUUUUGGACAAAGGCUGGUGAUAAUAGUCGAUAUCAUCUUUAAGUACUUUAAUAUGAUAUGUUUCUUAUUAUAGUGUCCCAUGUUAAGUGUUUCAGCAUUGUUUGUGGUGUGUACACAAAUUUUCUUAUAAAAUGUUUUAAUGCUUCUCACAUGUAUAUCAGAUAUAGACAGUUGAUGUGACUUAGAAAUCAAAUUGUCAAUAAAGCAAAAAAAUAUAAUUGGUGAUCGAGGUCCAAUUUAAUAGAAAAUAGUCUUAACUUGUAUAUUAGAGGUCUCAUAUUCGAAUCCUCACUGCAUUAUUAUUGUAUGCGUACAUGAGAAAUCCUCUUUCCUAAUAAUUUAGACUAUCACUUAUACUAAAAUAUAUAUAUAAUGACUUUUACGAAUGCAAACAUAAAAUUACACCAAACAAUAAUGGAAUAGAAAGAUGGAAGUUUUUUUUUUUUUUCCUACGUCUAAAGUAUACUUUAUACAGUCCCGAUCUCUUGGACCACAGGAGUCCAAGAGAUUGUGGUCACCCACCGUUGGAUAUUAAUCCAAUGGUUCAAAAUGAUAUAUAUAAAUGCAAUAUGACAUAAAUGAUUAUUACCCGAUCCAAGUCAACCGUUGAAUUUACAUUCAACGGUGGGUGACCAUAAAUCUCUUGGACUACAGGGGUCCAAGAGAUCAGGACUGAUACUUUAUAUAUAUAUAUAUAUAUAUUUAUUUAUUAUGGGAGUUAUAACUGUUUAGUUUUCAGUUUUUAUUUUCUAUUUAUUGUUUUAAUUUUUAUGGUUUAAUGUGUAUGGAGAUUACAAAUAUUGGAUGUCUAUAAAGGGCCACUCCUCCUUCACAUCUGAAACAAACUACCAUCUCAUUUCUGUAUUUUCAUACUUUCAUAUAUUUUCUACUGUCCAGAUUAUUAUUUUUGGGCAACGGUUCUGUGACUUGGAGAUUUCUAUCCGAUUGUUAACAUGCUCAUAGCGGACCUUGAGCUUGCGUAUUAGGGAUCGUAUCUUGGAGCCUUGUAGACCUUUAUUACCUGCAUGUAGGGAGGGUACAAAUGCUUUAGGUCAGCGUCUUCGACGUACUUUUGCUUUCUUAUUUCUUCGUUUCUUUAUUUUUGCUUUACUUUUAAAUCUUUAUUUUAUGUAUUAUUUAUAUUUAAAAGUUUGAAUAAGAGUUUUACAGAAAAGGAAAAAUACAAUUUCAAAUAACACAAAUUUCUCGUUUUUUGUUCUUAAAAAAGAAGAAGCAUUGAUUGGGGAGUUAUGGUAAACUCAAUUUCAAUGGUUGCGAUGAGAGGCGGUGGCGGCGAGGAGAGGACGAAGGCUUUGCUGCCGACGGGGUGGUGUGGGUGGGUGGAGACCUCGGCUGGCUGCUUGGUCCUGGGUUCUCCUUUAAUUCUCUGUUUUCUUUUUUCUUUUUCUUUUUCUCUUAGAGUUAUUGAUGUUAAGUGAAUGGACAGAUGCCAAAAUAGGGACAGAAGUAGGGGUGGGCAUCAAUCCGGCCGAUCCGGUCAAUCCGGCCGAACCGAUUAUAUUGGAUUGGUUUGGUUUGGUUUUGACCAAAGAAAAAGUCAACAUUUUGAAAAACCGAACCGAACCGGUUUGGUUUGGUUCAGCUGUGGUUUGAGAGUUUUAAAAACUGUCCUAAACCGAACCGGACCGAUUAUAAAUCAAUUUAUUAUUUAUUUAAUUUAGUUUACAUGUGGCAAGGUUUGUGUGCGUUUUGUGAGUCCGCGUAUCUGAAUGUUGGUGCACGUUUUGAUCUUCUAAUUUGCAUAUCCCAGUUAUUUGUGUGUGCUUGUAUUUCCCUCUCUUUCUAUCUCUACUAUGUGUGUUUGCUCUUUGUGUUGUGUGGCUCUUCUUACUCUAUCUAUCUUAAUUAAUGGGUCCAUUUCAUAAUUUCAUACGCAUUCAAACUCCACCUCUGUGAUAAAAACAUUUACCUCUUUGUGAUAAAAGCUUUUCAUUUGUUUGUAUUUCUCUUUGGCUUUUUGACUCACUCACUGUCUUUCUUUCUUUUAAUGCUACUUGUGAUGAAUGCAAUGAGUAAAUUUAAUGCUACUUGGUUAAUGCAAAUUUUGUAUAUGUUUGUUUUGAUGGAAAUUGUGAACUUAGAUGCAUGCUAGACAUUGGACAACCUUUGAAUAAAUGGAAUGAUGUUGUAUUAGCCUUUGAUGGAAUGAAAUGAAAUGAUAUAAUGGCAAAAUGUUAGCAUUAUAAUGUAAGAGCAGGUUGAAAAAUGCAUGGUUUUGUGUUAGGCACAAACCGGCCGAACCAAUCCGAACCAAACCGAUUACAAGUGGUUUGGAUUGGUUCGGUUUCCAUUAUGAUUUUAGGCUAAUCCGAACCAAACCGGACCGUUAUUUUCUUAUUGGUUCAGCUGUGGUUUGAGAGUAAAACCGAACCAAUCCGGACCGUGCCCACCCCUAGACAGAAGAUGUGAACCCAAUUAUAUACAGCUGAUUACAUAAAGUAACAAAUUAAUUAAUACUUGAGUGGAGGACAGGCUUGAGUGGAAGAAUUGAUUAAGGCUUGAGUGGAAGACCAACUUCAGUGGAGGAAAGUAUAGAUAAGGAAAGCAUGCCUCGUUUAACGGCUUUAUCUAAUAAAGAUUAGUUGUUGGCACUUGGAGUUUCUUAGGAAUGCUGGUUUUGUUUCCUUGGUGGACUUGAAAGGUGGUGCGUUGGCUCGGACAUCUCCCUAGUAAUUAAUCGAAGGUGGAAUCUUACAAGACAUACAGCUGCUCAUUAGCUGAAUAUCUCGCUCUCUUUAAAGAGAUCGAAGCAAACUGCAAUUUGCAAUUUGUGUGAUUCAAGCAUGAAUAUCUGAUAUAGUAACUAUACCAUUUGUUGGUUUGAUAAGAAAAGUUUGGUUAGCGAGGAUGAAACCAUAAAGUUCUCCAAAACACACAAAAAACACGAACAAUUGCUAAGUUUAUUCUUGAGUUCACACAUAUUUGUACAAAUGAGAUUACUCCAAGCAUGACUAUACCAUUUGUUGGUUUGAUAUGAAAAGUACGGGCAACGAGGAUAAAACCAUACAAACACACACAAAGAACGUGGACAAUAUACUAAGUUUAUCUUUGCGUUAUUGAUCCGACCUAACUGUAAAAUAAAAAAGAUAAAAAUAUAUAAUGUUCACUACUUAGAUCUAUGAGCACUAAAGUCCUCCUUUUGAAAUUGCACAAAACAUCACUUUUGGUCUUUGGUAAAUUUUUAAAAUAAAUGAAUUUUUUACUUAUUUGUGAACUGAAAUGCCUCUAAAAAAAUAAUGAUAGUUUGAAGAAUUUGAUAGAAAUAAAAAAAUAUCCUCAAAUUACUUGGAAUUGAAGACCACAUAGGCAAAAACACCAAAUUGCAACCUCACUUUAAUGAUAAAAAUGGUAAACUACAAAGACAAAAAUGACGUUUUGCCUUAUACAUAAUUGGAAUUUGCUGGUGAUAAUAGUCUACCAUCUUUUGUCGAUUUGCUGGUGAUAAUAGUCUAUCAUCUUUUGUCGGUCCGACCUAAAAAGAAGAAAAAGUUGAUGGCAUCUUGUACCAUUUUUGCCAAUGUGGGCCCAAACAAUUUGAAGAAGUCCACCGGCAAUUUCUCAAAAGCUAUUGUGUGAGUGUGAAGCUAAACCAAUAUUAUUUUGCAUAUACGACUCCACAUCCCCAUGUGAUGUGAGGCUACAAAAGUGUUUCCAAAACGAAAUAUGAUAUUUCAAAACGAAGCUAUGUAUAGAGUCAUUUGUAUUUGCUUUCACAAUAACAUUUGAUUUGUGAAAGCAUUUUAUAUUUAUACAUUCUGAUAUUCUAACAAAUAAAUUGACUAAAUUUGGCCAACAGGAUUUAGCCGAAUAGAAAAGUCCUUAUUUAUAGACUAGUGGUUUCAAAUUUAAAGUUUAGACUAUCGCAUGUAUUUAAAAAAAAAAAAACAAUUGGCUUAAUUUGAUAUAUUUCCUUUUUUUCCUUUUUCAUUUUAUACUGGGUGCCGUUAUUAAGUUUUAUCCUUAUUUUUUGUUGAAAAGAAAAUUGAAAAAAAAUAAUAAUUCCUACAGCUAGCAACUUCUCCACCUUCCCUUCUUCGCAACUAGGGAUGCCAUUGCAAGGUCACCAUCUCAGAUUAAGUCCUCCUUUUAAAAUUGUGUCGUUAUUCAGAAUUGGAAUAUAAUCCUGUACCACUUUGGCCACUUUUGAAGAUGUUCACCGACAAUUUCUCAAAAGCUAUUAAGCUGUACAUCCACAAUAUUAUUGCAUCCAUCCCCAUGUGAGGCUACAGAAAAAUUUUGAAAACGAAACUGGAUAUUUUAUCUCUAACAACAGCUUUCAUACUUCGUUUACCCUGUGUUUCCAAGUUGUGCUAGCUAUUUGCAAACCUUGGAAUAUUACUUCAUCCAAAUCCCUUGCAGAGAAGAGCAAGAUAUGGCUUUGAUCGGAGAAGCCCUCAUCUCCGCUACCAUCCAGACGUUUUGUGACAAAAUUGCUUCGCCUGAGUUCACCGACUUAUUUCGGCAGAAAAAGCUCGAUGAACAACUCCUCAACAAGCUGAAGACGACGCUGUUGACCUUGUCCGUAGUGCUUAAUGAUGCAGAGGAGAAGCAAAUUAAGGAACCUUUAGUGAGAGACUGGCUUGACAAUCUCAGACAUAAUGUCUUGGCUGCGGAGGACUUACUGGAUGAGAUCGACACUGAAGCUUUGCGAUGCAAGCUGGAAGAAGGUGAAGGUCAAACCCACAAUUUAACCAAGAAGGUACGUGAUUUUUAUCAACGCAUGAAUGUUGAGAUGAAAGAUUUAUUAGAAAGAUUAGAACAAUUUGUACAAGAGAAAAGUGCUCUUGGUUUGAGAGAAGGUGCUGGGAGGAAGGUUUCACAAAGAAGAACAACUUCCUUGGUUCAUGAACCUUGUGUCUAUGGUAGAGAUGAAGUCAAAGAAAAUCUGUUACAAAGAAGAGGAUUUGCCGUCAUCUCUUUCUCAUCUGAGUAUCUCGCGGUGUCCUGCCCUGGAGAAAAGGUAUAAGAAUAAGACGGGACAAGAUUGGGCAAAGAUAUCUCACAUUCCUUGCAUCAAGAUAGGAUACGAACUGAUCAUAUAAUAUGAGCUAUUCCAUAUUUCACUCUCAACCCUCAACUCUCAAAUCAAAGUCAGGUGAGGUAUGUGCCUUCUCUUACUUUAAAAAACUGCUUCUCUUCUUCUAAUUGAAUACAAAAACCAAAACACAUAUUCUCUUUCUCUUCCAAAAACCCAAAUACAUGUUGAACAUUGCCAAAUUUGAUCUCCAAAUUCCUAAUUAUUUCACGCUUUUUGUUAUUUUGUUGCUUAGUAAAUUAUGGUUGCUGGUCACAAAUUAUAGUCUGUUAAUAGGUUCAUGCCAUGAAUUAAUCUUUGGACUUUCCCAGGUACUGCAGGUUUGUUAUUAAUGUUGUGGCCUGAUAUUCGUCGUAUCAAUAGGUUGUCUUACGUUGAGGAGAGAGAUCGAUCAGCAAUUACAAAAUUGUUAGUGAAUUUAGCUUGUUUAUCAUCUCUCUCCUUUUGUUUGUUAAGUUUGGUUGUUCUAGGUUAAACCCUUGUCCCCGCAUUUCACAGCAACUCUAUGUUAUUCCACUCUGUUUAGUUUCAUUUAUGUUGUGAUUCGACUGCUGCUGUAUUUUAGAUUUCGUUCAUGUAAUGCUAGGAUGUUUAAUCUCUUAUCUGUGGUGGUAGUUGAGUAGUCUAGCUAAUCCAAUGAUAACUUGUCCCCUGUUUUGUAUUGUUUUUAUUUCUCUGGUAAUGAAAGCACGUUUCUUAUAAAUAAAUAAAAAAUAUUUCAUUGAUAUUCAUUGCUUAUUUUGAACUGCAGAAGCCUACUUUUGUCAGAGUCAGUAGAUGCCAGAAUGAAGUCAUUGCCUAAACACAUUGGCACCCUCACAGCCUUCGACAUUUUGGGAUAUAUGAUCUUCAAAAUCUUGUGUCAUUUGCCUCCCAACCUGCAAUAUUUUCAUAUUUUAAAUUGUGACAGACUGAGCCCUUUGGUGGGAGAUUACUGGGGUUUGCAAGGACUUGGUGGCAAUAUCUUGUAGACGUUUCUCAAGGAACAGCUGCUCAAUACCACUCUUCACACUCUAUAUAUUAUGGCCUGUCAGUCUAUAAUUCCUGCCAGGAGAGGAACUUGAACGCCUCUCUUCGCUGCAAAGGCUACAUAUUUGUGGGUGUGACAAUAUCCAAUUCCUGCCAGAAGAGUGUUUGCUGCCAUCUCUUUCUUAUCUGUGCAUCAACCAUUGUUUUGCCAUGUAGAAAAGGUAUCUCACAUUCCUUGCGUCAAGAUAGGCGAAGAAGUGAUCAUAAGAUAUGAGCUCUCUCUCCCUCUCGCUCACAUACAAUGUACUUAACACAAACACUCAAUCUGAUUUCUAUUAUUAUUUUGCUCAGUAAAUUUUGUUUAAAUUUGCUUUAUUUCUCAUUGCACUUGUUCUGCUGAUCACAACUUAUAUCCUAUUUAAAUCUCAAAUGCUGAAUAAUGAGCAGUCUUUUCGCAGGACAACAUAUCUUCUCUUGGAGAGCUAUUCAUUUGCAAGGUUUCUUUAUGGGUCAUUUCCAGAGGAGGGUUUACUAUUUAAUAGAAAGGUUCACCUGGAAUAUCUCAACUGACACAUUCCCAAAUACAGGCAUUGAAUGCACAACAUUUUGAGGUACUAUUUUUGUAAUAAAAAUGUACUUGAGUCUCAUUUGAGCUAGUUUAAAUUGUAUUCAAUGUCUAUGGAUAACCUGUGAGCUUAAGUUGUAAGAUAAAACUCACAGUAUAUUAUUAGGGUUUAGGGUUCAACUGUUCAACAGGUGAGCUUAAGUUGUACUUUCCUAGGUACUGCAUGUAUAUAAUCUUAGUAUCAACACUUGGUCUUAUGUGGACAAGAGAGAACAUUUGAGGAAUUACAAAAUCUUCUUAGUGAAUUAAUGUUGUUUCAGCUCUGUUUGUCAUCCCUCACAUUUUCUUUGUUAAGCCUUGAUUUUUUAUUAGACAUAAGAAAAAAUGCUUUUAUAAGACAGGAGAUGAAUGCUUUUAUAUGUUGAUGUCGUAGUCAGUCUUCAACCACACUCUGUUUUUAGAAUUCAUUUAUGUUACUAGUUGAGUGCUGCUGUAUUUUAUAUUUCGUUCCUGUAAUGUUUGGAUGUUUAGCUUGAGCAGUCUAGCUUAUCCAGUAGAUAACUUGUUCCCUGUUUUGUAAUGUUUUUGUUUCCUCUAAUGAAAGCAGGUUUUACUUAUCUUGAACUGCAGAAGCCUACUUUUUGACAUAGGUGGCAUGGCACAAACUCGCAUCCGCAUUUCCUUCCCCAUUGGCAUGCUGUCUCAUCUUUUGUAUUCUGUUACCAGCUUGAAGCUUGUGUAGACAUGUUAUGCUCUUGUAAUUCUGAUCACAAACAUCACUUGACAAAUGGAAAGUCACAAUCAGAUCUUUCAGGUGAUCGGGAGGUUUACUUUCUAACAUUUGUUUUCAUUGGGGGGAGGACAACAAUACAGAAUUUAAAAUUUCUGAUAAUCAAUAGUAGUUUGCAUAUAUCAGCUGGGACCUGUAUGACUGUAUUAUGUAAUUAAUUAUUUCUCUUAUUGUUUUGGUACUGUUAAAAGGAGUUAGCCACAAAAUAAAAAAGGAGGCCUCUUAUUUCAUACAAUUUUUCAAAAGUGAUCAUUCAUCCGUUUCUUUUUCAACAAUAGAGGAAUGUAUACUAAUCGUCUGGUCCAUCUGCUGCUUCACUCCCUAGUAGCUUCAUCUCCUGUCCUUUGCUUUAUUUCUGUUGAUGAAUGUUUUGUCUGGGUUAUUUAUUUUCAUUUCAUGUCCAUUGCUUCAUUUCUGUUUGGAUUCUGUCCUGGACUUGAACAAGGGUUAGGUUAGCUGUAUAAUUUGCGGUUUUAUAUACACAACUGUCUACAUUGAUUAAAACCAGCAUUAUUCUAAGGUUCAUUUAGAAUGUAUUAUCACCAAAAUUAUAAAGUAUACUUCUAUUACAAUUAAUUUGUUGAUUCUAAUUUGGACUUGUAGGAACAGACCAAACAUGUUCAUACGUGGCAUUGCUCAAGUCAUCAUCAUUCGGGACAGAGAAUAAGCCUUCAAAUGUCUGCUGAGUCAAUGAACCUUUCUAGAUAUCUCAAGUGUAGUGGAAAUUGAUGAGUUACAAAGGAUUUUUAAACAUUUUCUACUGGAGGCUAGAAAUGCUUCAAAUAAAUGACUGUGUUGCAAUUAUUUUGUAGGAUCAAAGACUCUGCAAAGAGGUAAGAAAGUCAUCAUCAAGUAACUUUGCUCUUCAAACUUUUUAAUUUUAUUUUUAAAUAUCAGUAAUAACUGGGAAAGUUUGCAUUUCCUUAAAUUGCUCAUUCUUACAUCUUUUAUAGUUUGUUGAUCUUGGGCAAGUGGAGAGAGAGGCGUCAAGUGAUACACAACAACCAUUUUCUGUGAGCUGAUUUGAUAAAGAGAAAUGGUAUGCUUUCUUGUCUUAAGCGGUGUGUUCUGCAAUUAUUUGAAACAAAGGAUGCCGCACUUCAAGUUCGAGAAAAUCAGGUAUUUUAGUAUUUUAUUCUGGAGAAAUUUGAUUUAUGUAGAAACUUGAACAUGUAAAUGAGAGAAAAAAAAAUUUAUAUAUAUAUAUAUUAUAUUGUAUAUGCUCUUAAUGAGUUAAUAUGGUGCUUGCUCCUGGUUGGAAAUUUAUGUAGUCAUCUACCUAUGAUCAAAUAAAGAUGAAAAAUAAAAUAAAAUUGAGAGCAUCUUCCUCUCCCCUGCUUUGCUCAUCCCUUGUUCUUCCACUUCAGCCCCACUAUUACACCAUUUUUUCAGCCACAAUUAUAAUAGCUCCAUGAGCAUUAAGUCCUUUUCAAAUUCUGCUGACAUUCAAAAUUGGAAUUGCUGGUGAUAUAUGAUAGCAUCCUUGUCCGACCAAAAAGAAAAAAAAAAAAAGUUGAUAGCAUAUUGUACCAUUUUGGCCAGUGUACGCAAUAUUAUUGCAUCCAACUUUGCAUAUUAACAUCAGUGGCCACAGUUCCAUGAUUUGAGUGCACAGAAAGGUUUCAAAAGUUGUCCCACAAAGAACAGUCGUUCAAAGUGAAAGAGAGUUUUCAAAGCUUAGUUACAAGUUCAUGUUAUUUACAAUAUCAAAAAGCUUUCAUACUUGCUUACAAACCUGUAUUUCCAAGUUCUGCAAACCUUGGAAUAUCACUUCAUCCAAAUCCCCUUCCAAAGCAGGAAAAAUGGCAGCAGCUUUGAUUGGAGAGGCUCUCAUCUCUGCUUCUAUCGAGUUGUUGUGUGACAGAGUUACUUCAGCCGAGUUCAUAGACUUAUUUCAGCAGAAGAAACUUGAUGAAACACUCCUCAUGAACCUGAAGACGACACUGUUGAUUUUGUUUGCGGUGCUCAAUGAUUCAGAGGAGAAGCAAAUUGUGAACCCUGCUGUGAGAGAGUGGCUUAACAGCUCAAGCAUGCUGUCUUUGAUGCAGAGGACUUACUUGAUGAGAUUGACACUGAAGCUUUGCGAUGCAAGCUGGAAGGUGAGGAUGAAACCCACAAUAAUUAACCAAAAAGGAUCUUUUUGAUUGUUUGAAAGGAGGGUCUUGAUGAUUUGAAAGGAGAGGGUUGCUUUAUUUCUGUUGGAUGCUUAAUUAAAUCUUAUUUGGAGUUGAACAAGGAUUAGGUUAGCUGUAUAAUUAGUGGUAAACGCCUUUUUCUAAGGGUCAUUUAGACUCAUAUUACGAUUAAUUUGUUGUUUCUAAUUUGGACUUGUAGGAACAGACCAAAUAUGUUCACACGUGGCAUCGCUCAAGUCAUCAUCAUUUCAGACUGAAAAUCAGCCUUCAAGUGUCUGUUGAGUCAAUAAAACUUUCUAGAUAUAUCAAGUGCAAUGGAAAUUCAUGAGUUACAUAGAGAUUUGUAAACAUUUUGAAGAUUGCAACACCUGCAAGUGAGAUAGGCGGUGACGAAAUCAGAGAUGAAGCCUCUGAUGCCCCUGUUGUUGCAAGUUGCACCUGAGAACAUGUUUUUUUUUCUUCUUUGGGGUAAAAAACUGGCAACAUGUUCGGAGCUGACAAUUCAAUCCCUGAUGAACUAGAGAAGCAAAGCUCCGGUAAGGAAAUUGGUCAAGGUUGUGACAGGGAUGAUUGAUGGUGAAAUGGAUGCUAUUUCUUAUUGCAGCCUGUUCUUAAAGUUCUUGUUGGCAAAUGCAAGAGAUGGAGUAUUUUGAUUGGGAGGAGAGAUAAUGACAUGGCUUGACAAUUCUAGAACAGCCCAUCAUUAAUCCCAGAAAAAAUCCAGUUUCUGCUAAACAAUCACUUAUGGCAAGGCCAACUCUGUAAAUGGAAUUUGUGAUCCCUUCAAAUUGUACACAUUUUUUCUUUUUGAGGAAUUUAAUCAAACAGUAUUCUAAUGCAUUAUGAUGGCACUACACGCUUUUGUUGUAACAAAUUACAAGGAGGAAUUUGGAUUGAGUUUCUUGUAUAAGCACACCUUACACAAAUUUCGUAUAUUUUCUUCCAGCAAGUCUGUCUAUUAAACCCCUUAUUUGAAAUUAAUUGUUAUAAGUUUUGAUUCAUCUUUAAUCAGUGUCUUCCCCUUGUUGAAUAACACUCCUCUUUCUAAUUUAUAUUUGAAGUUUGAGGUUUCAAUUUCAAUUGUGGGUUUUGAUUUUACAGAUUUUGUUUGUCAAUUUCAGUUUGGACAAAGCAUAUGCAAUCAAAGUAAGCAUUUUAUGUUAUACUUUUGAACUAGGUGUUGAUUUGAUUUAAUCAUAAGUUUUGCUGGUGCAUUUACUAGGCUAAUCAUUCAAUACUUUUGAUCAUAGAACUUCUUUGGUUGAUAUUAUCUUUGUUAAGUUUAACCAUAACUUUAGAGAGGGGACUUAACAGAUUUAUAAUCUCAUCAUUAUAGUAUUAAAAAUUAGAGAUUAUUUAAGGCAUUGUCUAUUAUCUGAAUUCUGCUUACUUUUAGUUCAUAUGUUUACAUCUUAGCAUAUUCAUGUGAUUAGUGCGGCUCAUACCACAAAGGCAAUUUUAGGCUCAUCAAGUGCUAAGCAAUGUCAAGCUUCCAAGUGACAAGUUCUCUACAUAGUUUGAGACCUACACUUACUAGAUAUUAGAUCAUUUGGAUCAUUUCCAUAUGUGUAUAUGUAAUUGACAUGUUAUAACAUUUUUGUAGCGUUAUAUAAUUAUUUAGCAAUUUAAUUAUUUCUUUGCAACUUUAUUUUUUUUGUCAGUCAUACUAUUGUUGACUGCUAAAAACCAUCAAGAAAUAGUUCUUAAGUUAUAAAAAAAAAUUAUAAAAAAAAAGAUUUGUUGAUGCUUAAAAAGCAUCAAGAACAGAUAGUUUCUUGACGGUUUUGUGACGUUUCAUAACUGUAAGGGGCUUUUUCUUUCGACAGCUGUAAAUGGGCUGGGCUGCCGUAAAGGUCAAGACUGAUGAAAUUGUCCCUUUUUGUCUGAGCUCGAAAAUUAUGCCCCAAAAUACUUUGAAAGGGCAGCAGAGCCUUAGGAAGUAUUUUGGUUACCCUCACCAACUAAAACAACAACAACUUACAGGUAAUUUCUUAAUGCUUACAGAUGAACUCUUGUGCUUGGCAUGAGUGACAUGUGGCAUGGAAGCAAAAUCAACAUGAGUUUAGCACUGAGGCGAAAUUUAGGCUCUCUUGGGGGAAAAAGGGAAGUGUUAAGGUGAGAGAGGAGAAGUUUGUAGGAGAUUUAGCUAAGAAAGGAGAAAUAUAGAACAAUGCUCUUCUGGCAACUUGACAGAUGCUCUGUCUGCCAAAAAAGGAAGAUGGAGAAGAAAUGUGAAUAGUGCACGAAUUUGCUAGAUUUUUGCAGGUAAGAGAGGAAGCUUGCCCUAUGGGUCUGAGUUGAGUUUUGUUGGGUGGAAGAGACCUCAUUUUAUAGCCCCUGGAAACCAUCACUUCCCAAGAAACCCUAAUGGCUUCUACCUAUUUUGGCCAAGCUUUUCCCUUCCUUUCUCAUUUCCUUCCUUGAGUUUACCCCUUUUGAUGAAAUCCCAUCUGCCUAUUUGCACCAGAUCAAAGUUUUUUGAAGCUCAAGGCCCCCAUUUUCUUGCAGUUGUCUCAAUGGGAGACUUCCAUUCCCAGUCAUUCUCCUUUAUUGCUUUCCUUUCUUUUUUUCAUGGCCUAGUCUGGUGGGGAAAGGAGUUGGGAUAUAUAUGCUGGUUUGAAGGGUGCUUCUCUUCCUGACAUCUUACACACUAAUACCCCUUGGUUCCUUGAAUGUUUUGGCUUUGAAACUUGCUCCCCCCCUCCCCCCAUGUACUGGAACCUCCCAGCAGCUCUGUUCAAUGAAUUUUCAGACCUUUUCUUCAUGGCUUUUAUUUUUUUAUUAACUGGCUGGAGCUUUUGUGGCUCAUUGUGGCAAUUGUAUGGGCUAAGGUGGUUCAUUAAGUAAGUGAGCUAUUUUUAUUAAACAUUGGGCUUUUUGGUUGAGUCACUAGGCUAUUUUGAUUGGGCUAUUGGGCUAUUUUUUCCUUUCUUGUACUCACCCACAUGUUUGGACCAAAGAAAUGAGCUUGAGUCCUGAGGCUCCCAAGCGACCCGAGACUUUCCAUUUCUCGGCCCAUCAAUGGGCCUCAUGUUGAUUUAUUACCAUCCAUACCACAACCCACUCAAGCAAGCCCCGGGCAUUUGAGUGGCUUGGGCCCACUUAGGCUUGUAGUGUGGUUGGGUGCGAAAUGACGAUUUCGUGCUUGGCAUGUUUUAAUUUUAUCAUCCUUGGGAAAGGCUGCGAUGUUUGAUUUCGGCAUGGGCUUGUAGAGCUGGUAUGCUUUAUUUCAACUCUAGCAUGACGAAUUAUUUAUUUAGCAUGGCACGUGAAUUACAACUCGCAUGGGGUGGGUUUUUGUGUACUACACCUUACGCCUCUUCUUAAUAGAACAUCGUUUUGGGCUGAUAAUUUAUUCGGGCCCAACUGUGAAUUUUUUGGGUCUCAAUAAUAACCAUCAUAAAAUAUUACAUUUUGACUGACGUCAAGAAAUGGGGUAUCCCUUUCCUGAUAGUGGCAUCCAUGAUGCCUUCCAAGCCGUCAAUUAAGGGCUAUCGUGAUGCAUUUUAGUUGUCAGCAAAAGGUGUUUUUCUUGUAUUGUAUUCACUCAAAAUCAUGUUUCAUUUAAGACUAGUAGUAUGGUUGAAUACCAUUUGUUUUGUUAAAGAAUAUUAUACAUUAGGGAUUUUUGUAGAAAUGUCAUUUGAACUUAUACCUUAGUUUCAAUUUGUUACCUUGAAGAAAAAUUUAAGAGAAAUGUCACCUUAAUUUUUAAAAAUCCAUGAUUUGUUAUAUGACUUUAAGAUCAUCCAAUUUUCCAUCCAUUUUAAGGGGAUUUUAGUCUUUUCAUUUUCAAGGAAAAAAAAGAGAUGAAAAAAGAGACAUCUCUCUUACUUUGUUGCCCAACCCAACCCAACCCCACCCGCCCCCCAAAACCACAUAGGAUUGCCUCCCCUUUCCCCACUUUUCUUUUUUCUUUUUGUCCUACUUUUCCACUGUGUUUAUGUUGAAGGAUCUAAAGUUUGCUUGGUCACCAUCUGUUACGUAGGCUUCCCAAUUGUUGGUUUGGGUGGGUUGUGGGAAUUUGUGUGUGGAGGGCAAGACCCUAUCUGACAGGACCUGCCUCGAAUUCCUCGAAACCCGAGACGAAUCUUGUGGAAUUCCCGACAUUACACCGAUGUCGGGCCCACUUAUGAACUAAAUCCUCCUUUCCAAAAUUAAGGAAAAAGAGUACGAGGCUUUCUGCCGAAAUUGCGGCAGUGUCUUCCUUAUAAAUUUAACAUUUCAGCUUUGGUGGCCAUUCUCUCAUUUUAGCUUUGGUGGCCGGAUGAGAGAACGGCCGGCUAAAACGUGGCCAACUGGCAUUGCCGUCGCGAGAGAGGAGAGAGAGAGAGAGAUUUUUAUCAAACCAUUUUUGCCAAAAUUACGAUUAUGCAACUGAGGGUAUUUUGAUCGUAUCUUUUUUGUUAUAACUCCGAUUCAAGCUCACUACAUGCCUAUGGAUUCAUCUCGCCGUGCUUUAUGCAAUUGUAUAGUUGAAAUUCCCAAAUUCCAUCCCAGUCAAAAGUCAACUUUAAACCCUAUAAAAUAUUCUAGGGGAAGAAUGGUCUUUUAUCUAAUUAAAUUAAUAAUUGAAAAUUUAUUUAGGAUCGGGUCGUUACACUGUCGUUGAUGGACUGUGCGAUGACACUCACACAAAGUCCUUGAGAAUAAAACACACACACACCGUGAAGAGAGUAAAACAAAUACACAAGUACACAAAGAUUUAUAAAGGUUUGGCCUCCUGCCUACGUCCUUUUGGUGAUCCACCCGAGAAAUUCACUAGUAUGUAAGAACAACUUUGGUUACAACUAAACCCCCUUAGCUUUCAUAAGAACCCUAGAUCUCUUUUCUCCCACCCUUGCUCCAACCCUUUGAUGCCCUUGUAAACACUCAAGAAUUCACCCUUGAAUUCUGUCAUGUGUUACAUCUUCUCUUCUCCCCUUUGUUAACCUAACCCUAAAAGUUAUAUUUAUAAUUCAUAGGACUUUAAGUACAAGUUAACUAGGAAUAGGAAACAUAAAAGACCCCCAAAAUUGGAGAAAAUAUGUCUAGAUCUCGUUAGGAAAUUGCACAACACGUGCGAUCCGCUCGAGCGCCUGCAAAAUCAUCCCUUUGCCGCUCGAUCUGCCGAUAGCUCAUGGGAUGGGGGAAUUAGAGAUUUUUUUUUUUUCAAUUUUAAUUGUUUAAAAGAUAUACAAUUUUUUAAUAAUAAUUUUUCCAUUUUUAAAAUACCCUUGAAAAUAGAAAGAUUAAAAUGCCCUUAAAAAUGGAUGGAAAAUUGGAUGGUGUUAAGAUCAGAUGACAAAUCAUGGAUUUUGAAAAAUUAAGGUAACAUUUCUCUUAAAUUUUUCUUUAAAGUGACAAAUUGAAAUUGAGGUAUAAGUUCAAGUUACAUUUCUGCAAAAAUCCUUAUACAUUAUGAUAUUCUAACAAUAAAAUUGGCUAAAAUUGAUAUGUUCCCUCUUUUAUUUUCUUUUUCUCUUUUCCUUUUCAUUUUAUGAUCCAAUCCUUUUCAUAUAUUUUUGUUCAAGACUUUGUUUUAGAAUGCUCUAUUACUAAUUUGGUACAGGUCCCUAAAAUCUCAGAGCCGCCUUAGUACAUUCAUAACGUACAUGUUCAGAGUUCAAGAAUAAUGUAUAGAAUGUGAAAUUGACGAUGCCGGCCUUUAUGAGGCAACGUCUUUAUUUCUUUGGUUAUUCCAGUUUAGAAUAUUUGCACAAAUGAGAUGACUCCAAGCAUAAAGUCACAUUCGACCAAAAAGCAUGAAGUCACACACAAAAAGAACACGGACAAUUGCUAAGUUUAUCCUUGUACCCUUAUUAUCCGACCCAAUUGAAAAAUAAAAAAAGAUGAUAAAAAAUAUUGUUCACUGCUUUAAAAUCUAUGAGUAGAGUCCUCCAUUUGAAAUUUCGUCAUUAUACAAAAUUGGAAUGAAAAAAGAAAAUCCUACAGCUAAAUUUGAUAUAUUUCCUUUUCAUUUUAUGCUGGGUGUUAGGGCUCGUCAAUGGGCCGGGCCAGGCUAGCCCGGCCCAAAUUUAAUGGGCUUGGGCCAGGCUGGGCCAGGCUUUAAAGAGGAGAGAGAAAAUAUCAGGCCGAGUUUUUUAAGAAAAUUCAAAGCCCAAGCCCGACCCAUGAGCCCGGCUUGAGAAAGCCCAUCGGGCCGGCCCGGGCCUAAACAGGCCCUACUUCGUUAAAAAAAAAUCAUAAACUUAAUCAUAAGGUCAUUUUAGUCCAAAUUUGAGAUUAAACUCACUUAAUUCCAAUAUUUUCACUUCAAACCAAAUUCAUAAAACACCCAAUAAAGUCACACAGCUUGUAAGAUUUUCCACAAAAAUAAUAAAACCAAGUACUAUUUUUGAGGUUAUUACAUAAUUAGAUCGUAAUAUGUUUUAAGAAAUAAUUUUAAAAAAUAAUAUUAAUAAGUAUCAAAAAAAUAAUUUUUUAAAGGAUGGUAUGAAUAAAUAUGCAAAUAUUUGGUGAUGUGUUCAAGAAAAGGAUGAUUAUAUUUGGUGGUACGAUUAUGUUUCGUGAUAUGAUUAUAAUUAGUGAUGUGAUAUGUUGUUCAUCUUAUAUAUAUAUAUAAUUGUUGAAUUAAUAAUUGACACAAAUUAAUGUGUUAAUCAUCCAAUUAUAAACUAGGAAUGAAUAAAGAAAAGUAAAUGAAAUGAAACAAAUUAUAUAUGUGAUUUAAGUGAUAUAAUCCUAAACCUAAACUCUUAUUUAUACAUAAUUAUAUAUGUAUGCGGGCCUAACGAGCCGGACUUUUGUGGGCGGGUAGGGCCGGGCUUUAUUGGGCUUAAUCGGGCUUUAUUGGACUUAAUCGGGCUGGGCCUAUAGGUCGGACCGAGCUUCAGACAUCCAAGCCCACGCCUAGCCUCGCCCGCCUUGGGCCGGGCCAUUCUUUUUUUGGGGUUCUAUUUCUCUUUGAAUUAACUGCUGAGUUUCAUGAACAUGUCCUCCUUUUGAAAUUGUGUAUUAUUCAAAAUUGGAAUUUGCUGGACAUACUUGAUAUUUUCGUGAGUAAAUUCUGAUUUGGUGGUUGUGCUCGUCACAAAUCAAUGAAAUGACAGCAGUGAUUUUGCAAGACAGCGUACCUUCUCUUGGGGUGCUUUUCAUUUUGCAACAUUUCUUUACGUGUAAUUUCCAGAGGAGGGUUUAUCAUUGUAUACAGCUCUUCGGGUGGUUUUUCUACAAAACAAAUGUCACAAAGAAGGAGGAGAAGCGGAAAAGAUUUACUUGGAAUGUCUCAAGUCUCCUUUGAGAUAAAGGCAUCGAAUGCACAACAUUGUUUUUGUGCUAUUUCAUAAUUAAAGUGUGCUUCCCAAGUCUCCUUUGUGUUUUGUAACUUGUAAUGUUUGUUUUUUUGUUUCCCAUGUUUUGUCUCUUAUAAAAGAAAGGCUUUUUAUCACAAAUGGUCCUUCAGGUUUACAAAAUUAUCACAAAUCGUCCUUCAAGUUUUUUUGUGACACUAAUAGUCCUUCAGGUUAUCAUUUACCCAUCAAAAUGGUCCUUCUGUCAGUUUCUGUCAAAACUGACGUUAAAUUCCUGUGCUCAGCCUGCUUUUGAAAUGAUAAUCUCAUCUUUUCCACUCAACCUUCAACCAAACUCAACUGUCAGAACCCUUUCCCUCCAUUUCCUCAUGGUCCUUCCAGUUUGGCGCCCCUGUAAUAUAUAACCAAUCUUAAAAAUUAAACUUCUGAAGAAAUUGAAACAAUCCAAGCUCAAGAGAAAGACCAACAAUUGAGAACUGCAGAGAAAGAUCAAACUCAUGGAUCAAUAUGGUAAAGCCAAAUUGAAAAACAUAAUUUGCUAAAGAUAAAGCCAAACUGAAAAACCAAACUGAAAAACAUAAAGAUAUCAUUGACAAAUAUAAAAAGUUAAAAAAUAUUGCACAAUCAAAAUACAACCACAUGUUUCACAAAACAAAACAAAACAACCACAUUUGCAGACAAGCUGUAGUUUACACUUUAACAAAGAUUAAAAAACUAACCUGUAUACUUUGGUUGUUUCCCCCCCUUUCGAAAGAACUCCUCGGACUCAUCCAUCUAGUCACUUUUGUAAGAAGAAUAAUGCGUAUUUGACUCUUACGAACCCAGAUAUUCCUUUUGCAGACCAGCUUUAUCAAUUAAAAACCCAAAAAACCUUAAUUGUGCAGGGCCCGAGGAUGAAAUGGAGGGAAAAGGUUAUAUAUGCGGUUUAGAGCGCCAAAAUGGAAGGCCCGAUGAAGAAAUGGAGGGAAAGGGUUAUUUCAGUUGGGUUUGGUCGAAGGUUGAGUGGAAUGAUGCGAUUAUCAUUUCAAAAGGCAGGCUGAGCACGCGACUUUAACGUCAGUUUUGACAGAAACUAACAGAAGGACUAUUUUGAUGGAUAGAUGUUAAACUAAAGGACUAUUAGUGACACAAAAAAACCUAAAGGAUGAUUUGUGAUAAUUUUGUAAACCUGAAGGACCAUUUGUGAUAAAAAGCCUAAAAGAAAUACAGGUCCAAACCACACGGAUCUACUUGCAUAAUAAUGGACCAAAUUUAUGAUUUUUAGAAAGAACCUUCUACUGGUGGAAUCUUGGGCUACUGUUGUGGCUCUCCUCUGUGUGCCUCCUUUUUAGAACGAUAAAAUAUUCAAAAUACCAGAAAAUGUUCAUGAUUAAUGCAAAUAUUAAGAAUUGAAAUUAUUAAUUAAAUGAAGAUAAUAUGGUAAAUUCACACUUUUUCAUAUUAAAAAAAUUAAAAUUAAAAGAAAUAUCAGAUAAUUACUCUUAUUUUUAUGGAACACAGCUACCCAUUAUCUUUUUUAAUUAUAAAAUAAAUUUAAAUUAAAAAAAAAAUCUCUCUCACAGACACGGAAGCGCGUGCUCAGAGGCUAGUUAAAAAUAAUGAACUUUGCUUUUGAAGACGUCUAUACCAGACCCACUCAACCUGCUUUAUGAUUAUGCAAAGAACAAACUCGUCCUUAGACUCAUUUGGUUAAACUUAGAAAAUAAUGAAACAAAAAUAUACACACCCACAAGUAACACAGCCAGGAUUGAAAACAACUGGAAAAAGAAAGGCAUGUCAAAACAAAAUUUUCAACAACUCAUCACCAUUAGACAAGAAAAAGAAAAAUCAAUACAGAAACAGAAAGAACAGAGAAUAAAUGUGGUGGAAGAAAAACGUUGAAGCCAUUUGUGAAUCCAACAACACUACCACUCUGUUUCUCUCCUUUUGUUCAGGCGGAUCUGCAUAUAUCCUAAGGCGUAUUACGGAAACAACUUCUUGCGGUUAUACUUGAAUGUUGUGGAUGCUUCAACGUUGCCAUCUGGGUGGAGUGGAUUUGUCCAAUUCACCUUCACUAUGGUUAAUCAACUAGACAGACAUAAGUCAGAAACAAUAGGUAUAUACGUCCAAAUUGUUGUUAUUUGAAAGGUUCUAAAUUUUAACAUUUUGUUGUAAAUGUGGAGAGAAAAAGUAGAGAAUUGGAAUAGAGAGGAGAGACUGAUUUUCUCAUUCAUAUGUUCAGAUGAAUGUCUUCAGUGUAUAUUUUACAAGUAGGGGGAGGUAUCUAUUUAUAGGCUAAGGUUUUGGUAAAAUACAGGGAAGGAAAGUUCCUGGAAGAUGCAAGGAAACUUCCUCUGUGGGCUCCACCUUCAAACUUUUACAACACUCCCCCUUGGAGACCACAAAUGAUAUGGAAUAUGCCUCGUUAAAAACCUUGCCAGUAAAAACCCAGUGGGACAAAAACUGGUCAAAGGGAAAAAGAGUACAUAAUGAUGUGUAACAUAAAAUUCUGUGUAUAUUGACGCGCGUGCGACACUGCCUCGUUAAAACCUUGCCAGGAAAAACCCAGUGGGAUGAAAACCUGGACGAAGGAAAAAGAGUACAGUGUUUGAAGAUCUUUAUUGAUAGCAUGCUCCCCCUGAUGCUUGGUAAAAUAUCUUUAAGUCAUACUGUUGAUCACCUUUCUGAAUAUCGUAGUUGACACUGCUGCUGUGAGUCAAUCUUGAGCGACACUGCCUCGUUAAAACCUUACCAGGAAAAACCCAGUGGGAUAAAAACCUGGAUGAAGGAAAAAGAGUACAGUGUAUGGAGGUCUUUAUGAAAAACCACGCUCCCCCUGAAAAAUAUCUCCCCCUAAAAAAUUUCAUGACUAGCUUUUCCAGUAUGCGACCAUAGAAAUUUUCAUAGUAUACUCUAAACCCUUGAGCGACACUGCCUCGUUAAAACCUUACCAGGUAAAACCCAAUGGGAUAAAAACCUGGAUGAAGGAAAAAGAGUACAGUGUGGAGCUGACCUCUAUCUGGUCUAGUAUACUUCCGGAAAAACAUUUAAGGUGUCCAACGGAUAAUCCUCAUAAAAAUGCUUCAAUACUUUCUUAGUAUAAGCAAGAAUCUCGUUGGCAUAAUGCUCGAUCUUUAAGUCGAGACAAAUAUUUCGUGACUUCUGCAGAAGCUUUAAUGUGUUGCAAACACAUUAUAAACAAUGUACUCACUGAGGUAAUUUAUGCAUAUUAAUAUUGAGUACAAAUUUUGUGCUUCAAGCACAUGUCCUUUAGGGACUUGCUUUAUGCAAUGUCAAUCCUCUCAACGGAUUUUGUUUAAAAGGGGAUUAAACUUUAUGACACAUUAUAUAGCUUUAACCCAGCUAUUUAUACAUCUUUAGGGAAUCACUUCAAGUGAUAUGCUCUGUGCAUUUAAUAACCCUUAAAGAUAACAUGUUGGUCUCCGUAAUUGUGCAGUAAGGGGGGAGGCACAAUUGAAUCUGUAAAUAUGGAAAAGACCCAACAUUCAUUGUUUCUGCCAGAAACAUUGUGUCAUACAAAGUAGGUAUAUUCCCUUUUAUUCCGAACACCCAAGUAUAAGUUUCAAUAUUAACAUCUUUUGGGGUUCGUACUGUGGGUUUGUUCUUUCACGUUCAUUCUCAUCUAUAAUGGAAUUACCUCUUUCCAUUUUGGCCAAUGAUAUUGUCGACAUCUAAUAAUUGAACGUGGUUCCAAUCAACACAGCCCAUUGAUGAUUUGAGUAGCUACUCCAAAACCAAAAAUUGUCAUUCAUCAAUUCAUUAUCCCACCAUUCUCAUGUGCAUGCGCAUGCAUCAAUUAUAAGCAUUUCUUUGCUUUUGGGUACCCAAGCCACUUCAGGGGGCUUUUAUUAUGUGAGAAUGUGGAUUAUAACCUCCAAUGGAGCGUUAUUUUGCAGUAGGGCGUGGAUAAUCUCCAUUUAGGGAGUUGGAACAUUUAGAACCCAUAUAUCUGUCAUGCUGCAGGCAUGCCACAGAUUAAUACAUACAUGUCAAUUAGUUUAUGGGACUUUAACCCAUAUGAUGGGACUUUAACCCAUGUAAUUUGCUACGCAUUCGGCGUGCAUAAUCUCAAUAUUGACAUGUCAAAGGAUUGUCCAUUCGGGACUUCAAUCCACAUCAUUUGCUACGCAAUAGGCGUGCAUCAUAUUGAUCACUGCUAUACCCAUAUUCUGUUCUUAUGGGACUUUAAUCUGUGCAAUGUAUUAUCAAUGUAUCCAACUUGCAAUCUGUAAAAUUUGCAUUAAUAAUACAUGGAUACAUACAAGCCAUUCUUUUGGGACGGACUUAUCUCCCCAUUUGGUUACCUUUCAAUAUAAAAUAUCAAAUAGGUAUAUAAGCAUAAAAUAACACAAGUAUUGCUUACAUCCUUAGGUGGGAGAAACUUUUCUCAAGUAUCGCUUGAUGAUCUUGUUAUAUCCUGCAAGAGCAAAAAUCACAAUUCCUUUCUCUGUCAAAAACAAAUAAGAGGAAUAGGUAGAACCGGUGAAUUUCAAAUUAACCAUAGGAAAAUUGCGAGAUUCUCGGGAUGCUUUUGAAAAAGUAGCUCCGUGAAAUCCGUAAAGCAAGAUUGGCUUUGAAAAUAAUACUUGAAAACGCCGAAAGUGCCGACAGGCAUUAUUAGAGGCCACGUGAAGUUUUGGACUUCUAGGAAAGAAAAAGAUAAUAUGGGGAUUCGAGAAGAUAUUGGGGUCUUGAAAAACAGUAGCCAUAUUUCCUCCUAUAGAUAUGGCCUUUGCAACAAUUGCGCACCUUCUUAAACUUGCACCUGUGGUUUUUACGCCUUUUCAAAAUGACGGUUUGGAACCUUGUGCCUUAUAGGUUCAAAUAACCACAUUGUUUCUCCCAAAUUUCAUAUUUUAUCGCAUGGUAGCCCGAAACUUUUGGCCUGGGCACAAAUUCAGAAUUUAUUUGCCCUUUUCAAAUGGACAUGAAAUAUGAAUUGAGUAAAAGCCAUGAUAAUAUCGCAAUAUAGUAGUGAAGAGCAUUAACUACUAUAUACCCACAACUUCAAGUUCAGGAUCUCUCAUAUAUUUGGAUCCAUGGGUUUCCGGCCCAGAUAUAACAAAAUAUGUGGGGAGCCUCAAUUCAUCAUUUGAGGUUCAUACUGAUAUUAUCCAUUUCACGGUGUAUUCUUGACAACCGGAAUUCACAAAAUAUAUUUCUUCCUUGAAGUGUCGAUUAUAACAAAAUCGAACUUUAAAUUCAUCAUCUUCUUAUGCCAAAGAAAUAUGUGGCAUACCACAAUUUGCAAUAAUACCUCAAGGGUUGUCCAUUUAAUUGUUGGAACUUCAGGUUCUCAACACUGUUAGAUUUUGAACUUCUGGCCAAAAUCACAUAUUCUCAUGGUAUGGACAUUCAAUCCCCUUAGAUUUUGAACUUCGGGCCAAAAUCACAUAUUCUCAUGGUAUGGACAUUUUUACAAUUUUCUGUACAUAUUUCUGGACUUCAAGCCCUUACAUAAUUGUCCAUAUUUUGAGGAACUUCUGGCAUCUCAUUUAAUUGCUCAUCCAUGAGUUUAAGGAACUGCAGGUUCCCUUUUGAAUGGUGAUGGUUUACCCAAAAUGGUAAAUACUUAUGCAUACAUCACUAUUCAUGUAUACGGCACUAUUUAUGUAUACAGUACAUUUGCCAGUACAGUUAUCAUCCAUGUGUACGGCAUUAUGAACAAAUACGGUACUGUUACAUCAUUAAGGAACCCCAUGUCCUUAUUUACAUGUCAGGGAUCAAGGACCCUCAAGUCCGAUCACAUGUUUACAAAUAUAGUACCGGAGAGACUGCCAGCUCUCAUAUUAACAUCAUCAUCAAGGAUCUUCAAGUCCUGAUGUAAUUGUAUGAUGAGGAUCAAAGAACUUCUGGUCCUGAUCUGUAUACUGUAAAAACUCAUCAUACAGCACAUUUAAUCCAUAGAAUAAAUUGCUGGUAAAUAAAUUACUGGUAUGGACGAUAAACUCGCACCAUACUUUAAAUAAAUAUUGCCUUACAUACACUUACAGCAUCAAUAAUUGAUAUCCAUCCAUGAUCCACCUGUAUAAAUGUAUAUAUAUAUAUGUAUAUAUAUAUAUAUUAUUUUUAUUUGGACUUAAACAGAAACAGGCAUUUUCUAUAGCUGUAAGUAUAAUUGUACCUGCCUACGCUGAAGAUUCCUUUCAUUGUUGCAGGAUGGUGGGCAUUCAGUUUAAAUAAAGCAAACACACACAUUUCAAAUUUUAAUUGAAUUUCAAAUUAGCAGUUUACUUACAUGCCCAUCCAUGACGUAAAAAGCAGAGACAAGUGAUUGUCUUUCGACAAUGACAUGAUAUCACAGUAGUGGGGAUAACGCUAUGAUAUUGGCCGAUCGGCUUCGCUGUAUCCCUGCACACCUUUAAUAAUUAUAUAAUAUUAAAAUAAUAUAAUUAUGUACCUGCACUAUAGACCUGCAUCUUAAGCUUCUUCCCUUUAUGGGGUCUGCCGCUUUGCCUUUUGUUUCCUUUGCUUUGCUUUCCACUGAAGCAAGUUGGCCAGCACCAAUAAUGCCGCCCACAAUGCAAAAAUCAAGUUGGCCAGCACCAAUAAUGCCGCCCACAAUGCAAAAAUCAAGUUGGCUACUUUUGCCUGUUGCUUUCUCAAUUUCCUCCACCCUUUCAUUGUCUUUUCUUCUUUCACUACUUCUCAUCUUCUGCCUCUCUCUUGCCUUUUUUUUUUCUUUUUUUUUUUUUGUAUUCGAUUUUCUGGCAAGCCUCCAAAGACAGCAACGACCAAGUUGCCUUGUCAUGGCUGGCGGCCAUUGCAAAAGCCUUUUCCAUGAAGAAAUGGACUUGGACACGAGGCUGGUUGAUUAUGUAGUUGGAGAUGAAGAAAGCAGCUGACAGUCUAGGGAGGGAGCGAACCAGAGAGUUUGUUACUCCACUGGUGUGGUUGGGAGGUAGGGAUCGUCUGUGGUUGGUACAGAGUUUUCUUCCUCAGCUCAAGCAAGGCAAUAGAGGUAGGUUUGUUUGCUCAGCUCAGCUCAACCUGUGCUCUCUGUGUUUGUUUGCUGGGUUAUCUGGGAGAGUAAUUUUCUUCGGGUUCGGUUCUGGUAUGCUUUUGCAUAUAGAAAACAGAGAACCCAGAAAGGAAAUCCAAGAGAGAGACUUUGGUUGAGAAAAUGGCAAUUUUUGAGAAAAAUGGAGAUGCUGAGGUUGGUUGGACAACACCGAAUGGAAGUUGUUGGGCUCGGAGCAGAGAAUUGGUUCUCUAGAUCGGAGGUUUUGUGUGAAAUUUUACUGGCAAGCAAUCCGUGUGGCUCUGUACAAAACUGGGUUGGUUUUGGGUGGGCAAUCUGGGCUUGGUUUCGAACUGGGUGUCUUGAUCAAUUUCUGGGAUCAAGAAAUCAGAGAUUUCAGCCGGUUAAAGACUCGUGCUGAUAUCGUGUUGUAAAUGUGGAGAGAAAAAGUAGAGAAUUGGAAUAGAGAGGAGAGACUGAUUUUCUCAUUCAUAUGUUCUGAUGAAUGUCUUCAGUGUAUAUUUUACAAGUAGGGGGAGGUAUCUAUUUAUAGGCUAAGGUUUUGGUAAAAUACAGGGAAGGAAAGUUCCUGGAAGAUGCAAGGAAACUUCCUCUGUGGGCUCCACCUUCAAACUUUUACAACACAUUUUGAUUUUUAAAUUUUGUUUUAAUAUUUCGGCCCACUUAGUUCUUCUCAAAAUAUGUCAUCAAUAUCGUUGAAAGGUUGAACUUAGUGAAUUAUUAUAGUGCAGUACGGUAGAAUAAGCACAUGAUAUAAUUUGUCCACAUGUUAUAAUAUAAGUGAAUAUUUAUUGAUAUUAUUUCCAAAAAUAAGAAAUAUCAACAAUUAUAUCCUCCUAUAUUAUAAUACAUAUACAAAUUAUACCACAUUAUCAUACUCUAAUACCAUUUUAUAAUUUCUCGUACUUAGGAGGUAUAGAGCGAGUCAAUGACAUUACAUAAUAUAUAAUUGUUCAUAUAAUGGGGCAACUAACGUGAUCAACAAGUUGUGGUGAUUAAUUUAACAUAAUAAAAAAUAUACCAUUUACUUGAGUGAUGUAACAAUUUGUUCUUUUAAAUUGGAUUGCCAUCACUUUAAUAUGUUAUGUUUCUUAUUAUAGUCUCCCAUGUUAAGUGCUUCAGCAUUGUUUGUGGUGUGUACACAAAUUUUCUUAUAAAAUGUUUUAAUGCUUCUCACAUGUAUAUCAGAUAUAGACAGUUGAUGUGACUUAGAAAUCAAAUUGUCAAUAAAACAAAAAAAUAUAAUUGGUGAUCGAGGUCCAAUUUAAUAGAAAAUAGUCUUAACUUGCAUAUUAAAGGUCUUAUAUUCGAAUCCUCACUGCAUUAUUGUUGUAUGCGUACACAAGAAAUUCUCUUCCCCAAUAAUUUAGACUAUCACUUAUACUAAAAAUAUAUAUAUAUAAUGACUUUUACGAAUGCAAACAUAAAAUUACAUCAAACAAUAAUCACUACUACAAAAAAGCAAAAAGACGACGGUAAAUCACCGUCGUGUAUUGGGGUUUUCAAUGGUCGUGGAAUCCACCGUCAUCUUUUCCCUCAUAAACCACGACGCUAAAUAACCGUCGUUGUUAAAAUAUACAACGUCAUCAACAAAUACAAAACGACGUCUUUGUACUGCAAAAAGAUCUAAAAAAAGCAAUCGAGGAUGAUAAUAGACGACCAACUCUCUAAAAAAACCGUCGUUAAAAAGAAAAAAUAUGACACAUAUUAAGAGAACAAGGCCGCAAGAUAGACAUACAACGACGAAAAUAAAAAUACGACGACGUUAAAUAUAAUUUUCACGACAAUAAAAAAUAUGACGUCUUUAAAUACAUUAGAAGACGACGUUAUUGAUACAUACUACGUCGCAUAUAUAAAAACAACCGUCGUAAAAUUAAUUUUCCACUUCGAUUUUUCGAUAAAAGAUGACGUGGAAAUAGUUGUCAGUGUCAUUAUUUACGACGUAUGUGUUUAUAGAUUAGACGUUGAAAAACUAAACAACGUCGGUUACAAAUAUAUGAGAGUCGUAUUACAAAAUUUAUACGUCCUAUUUUCAGAAACAAACAACGACGAUAAAUAUUAGACGUUGUUAAACAAAACAACGUCGGAAAAAUAAAAACAGACGUGUUUAGUCUGCUAAAGUUCUAGAAAAUAGUCGAGGAUGAGAAUAGACAACCAACUCAAAAAAAUCACCGUCGUUAAAAAGGAAAAAUCUGACACAUAUUAAAAGAACAAGGCCGCAAGAUAUACAUACAACGACGACAACUAAAAUACUACGCCGUUAAAUAUAAUUUACACGACAAGAAAAAAUAUGACGUCUUUAAAUACAUGAGAAGACGACGUUAUUGAAAUCUACUACGUCUCUUAUUUACAAAAAACCGUCGUGAAAUAAAUUUUCCACUUCGAUUUUUCUAAAAAAGAUGACGUGGAAAUAGUUGUCAGUGUCAUUAUUUACGACGUACACAUUUAUAUAGUCGACGUUGUAUUUAUAUGUAUUCAUUACUCACGACGCACUUAAUAAUAUAGACGACGUUGAACUUCUAAACAACGUCGGUUCCAAAUAAAUGAGAGCCGUAUUACAGAACAUAUAGACGGCGUAGAUUAUGAUGAGAGCCGUAUUACAAAUAACGUCGUUUAAUUGUUAUUAGACGGCGGUUAUAAUGAAUUUCCGUCGGAAUUCAUUUCGUUCCUCUUCGUUUAUAAAAGAACUUGCGACGUGGAAAAUGUAUGAUGACGUCGUAUUUUUUAACGUUCAGAUUAUAUAUCUCGUUUUUAGACGUCGGUAUUAUGGGAUUGGAGUCGUGUUAUUUUGAAUUACAUGGCGGUUCUUAAUCCUUCACCGACGUGAUAUCCUGAAUAAUUGCUUCACAAUAGCGUCGUGGUUCUUCAUUGUUACGUUGCUUUAAGACGUCGGUAAAUAUGCUGAAUAACUGAUUCACAAUAACGUCGUGUUUUAUUUGAACGUAGAAAGUGAAGAAAUCACAUUACAAUAUAUUACAAAAUUAAUGUCAUACACUGCCAAUUACAUAAGCAUCAUUCAAUCCAUAUAUCUUCACACCCAUCUCGAAUAUUUUGACCGCCUAACUCACCCACCAGUUCAUCAAAUGUGUCAACAUUUGGCAUCCCUCUAGUAAAUGGCUCACACUCAAUUAUCACAUCACCUAAGACUUCAUCACCAAUAACAUCAUUAUAUUCUCUAUUAGGCAUUGAUAACACUACCGACCAACCACGAUGCAUCGGGUCGUCAACAAAAAAUAUUUGUUUGACUUGAGAAGCCAAAACAAAUUGGUCAUUCCUAUGUCCAAUUUUACUCAAAUCUACAAGGGUAAAUCCAAGUUCGUCGACUACAAGACCAGAACUAUCUAUCCAAUCACACCUAAAGACUGGGAUUGUAAACUUUUGGUAGUCAAGGUCCCAAAUUUCUUGAAUGACACCAUAGAAACCCAUAUUUGAGAGAAUUGGGUUUUUAUCCUUGGCACUAGCAACUUGCAUGGUAUGUGCAAGUAAAUAAACUCCACUAUUUUGAGUUGUCCGCACAUCAUCUUGUGCCUUGAUAUUGAAUUUAAUACCUUUAAUAAGAUAGCUCCUAUAUAAUGGCACUGACAUGUUUGGACCAGCUGCUAGCCACCUUAAAUUUUCUGAUACGCCAUGAUUGUCUUCCUCAAGUUCACUUUGAACCUGCAAAUUAAUCAUAUCUUAAUUCAAUCUAACAUAUAAAUAAGAAGAAAAUUAAAAGAGAAAUAUGUUAUUCAACAACAUAUACCUUGAAGCGUAGCCAUUGAAUGAAAGUGCUAUUGUGCUUAUCCUGCAGCCACUUUGUUCUCUUUCUAAAUUUUGGAUAAGCAGUCUUGAUGUGGAUCAUAUGUUGCCCACAUGACACGAAAAAUUCAAGCAUUACGAUCCUAAAUAUAGAAGAUAAACAUAAGAAAUAAUUUAAAAUGGAAACUUAAAGAAUAAAGCUCAUACGUACUCGAUAUAAGGUAGGACUUCCUCCGUAUUCUCCAAGACAUAUAGAUGUGCUUGAUUCAACAGGUCCUGAUCAACUACGCUCACUGUGCAACCUGAUAAUGGCUUUGAAAGCCCCAUCUUUUGGCUUGAAGGCACUCCAACUGUACUAACAUCAGAUAAAUGCUGAGUACAACACUCUACCGCUUCUUCAGCUAUAUACCGCUCAGCAAUGCAACCUUCGGGACGAGUACGAUUCUGAACAUACCCCUUCAGCACUUUCAUAUAUCUUUCAAACGGAUACAUCCACCGAAAAUAUACUGGCCCACAUAGACGAACUUCUCUGACAAGAUGUACUACUAGAUGAACCAUGAUAUCAAAGAAUGAAGGGGGAAAGUACUUCUCAAGCAAACACAGAGUAACUACUACAUCUUCUUCCAACUUAUCUAGCUUGGAAACAUCAACAGUCUUUGCACAUAUAGCAUUGAAGAAGAAGCACAAACGAGUUAUUGCAUACCUUGCAGGCUUCUCCAAAACAGAACGAAUUGCCACAGGGAGCAAUUGUUGCAUUAAGGUAUGACAAUCAUGUGAUUUAAGGCCAAGAAGUCUUGAAUCUUGUAAAGAUACAAGAUUUUUAAUAUUUGAAGAAUAACCUUCAGGGACCUUCAUACCAUAGAAAGAAUUGCAAACCUCUCUCUUCUCUACUCUUGACAAAUUCCAAGGCCCAGGAGGCAAACGAGUACGUCUUUCUCCAUACUCGGGUUGCAAAUCAGUUUUGACCCCCAUGUUCAAUAAAUCUAAUCGAGCAGCAAUCCCAUCUUUAUUUUUUCCAGGGAUCUCCAGCAAUGUACCAAUGAUACUAUCACAAACAUUCUUCUCAAUGUGCAUAACAUCUAGGGCAUGCCUUACAGGAAGGUAUUUCCAAUACUCGAGAUCAAAGAAUAUUGAUUUCUUCUUCCAACAAACUCUGUCACCAUUUUCAACCAUAUGCAGCACUUCUUCUCCGGUUAAUGGCUCGGGAGGUAUGCCAUAUUCAGGUUUCCCAUUAAAAGCUGCACGUUGCCUCCUAUAUGGAUGAUUGAUUGGUAACCAUUUUCUAUGCCCAAUGUAACAAAUUUUGUGGCCAUUUUUCAACCUGUGACUAGGUGUAUCAUCGCCGCAUAUUGGACAAGCUUUAUAUCCUUUAACAACACAACCAGAUAAGUUUCCAUAGGCGGGGAAAUCAUUAAUUGUCCACAUUAAUGCAGCUCUGAGUGUAAAGUAUUCUCCAUUAUGUGCAUCAUACACUCCUCUAAUCCCAUCCCACAAAGAUUUUAAAUCAUCAAUCAAAGGCUCCAAGUAGACGUCUAUAUCAUUUCCGGGUUGUUUAGGACCGAAAAUCAAUAAGGUUAACAUCAUGAACUUUCGUUUCAUGCACAGCCAUGGAGGGAGAUUAUAUGUAACUAAGAUAACCGGCCAACAACUAUAUCUGCUACUUAGAGAACUGUGGGGAUUGAAUCCAUCAGAUGAAAGAGCCAAUCUCAAGUUUCUCGGCUCAUUACCAAACUCAGGCCAUUUAUCAUCAAGAAGUUUCCAAGACGGGGAAUCCGCCGGAUGAGACAUCUGACCGUCAAUUGAUUUUCUAGGAGCAUGCCAAGUCAAACUCUUAGCUGUCUCAUGUGAUUGAAACAUCCUUUUAAACCUUGGAAUUGGAGGAAAAUACCACACCACCUUCGCUGGCACACCCUCUUUCAAGAUUGAAUCUUUGCCUUCCUUCCACCUUGAGAUACCACAAGUAGGACAAUUAGUUGAAUCCUCAUACUCCUUCCUAUACAAGAUGCAAUCAUUGGGGCAUGCGUGCAUUUUCUCAUAACUCAGCCCCAAUGCACACAAAGUCUUUUUAGCCUCAUACAUAGAGGUUGGUAUUGUAUUUCCUUAUGGAAGCAAAUCGCCUUGAAGUAUCAAUAAUUCUGUAAAACAGACAUCACUCAUCCCAUGUUUUGCCUUCAAAUUAUACAACUUCACUAAUGCCGAUAACUUCGUGUACUUUCUACAACCAGGGUACACUGGUUGAUCUCCAUCCCCAAUCACAUUGGCAAACUCAUACGGAUCGGAACCAAAAUCAUUAUCAUCCAUAUCAAUUUCUUCAGACACAAAACUGUACCUACUAUGGCCAUCAUCUUCUUCAACAUUUCUACUAGCAUUAGUAGUUGCUUCCCAAGGUUCUCCGUGAAAUGUCCAAUUCUUAUAGCUUUGGUCAAUUCCAUUAAAGUAUAAGUGAUCCCUUAUAAUUCCAACCCCAAACAACUUCAAAUUAACACAUUUAACACAUGGACAACGGAUAUGUGUUGUAGUUAGAAGAUUUUCUACAGCAAAGUUCAAAAAUGCUUCCACCCCAAACUCAUAUGCCUUCGAUCUUCUAUCCGAGUGCAUCAUUGACUUAUCCAUCUCCGACACUAUAACCUAUUAUCUAUAAUAAAGUGAAAAUACAGGCAAUGACCAUCACUAUAGCAGAUUAUACAAAGAUCUAAUAGCAAGUAAUACACAACAAAGACGACGGGUUUUAAACAAAAACAGACGUAUUUGGCAUAUAUAGACGACGGAUUUUCAACAGACGUCGUCUAAUAUAAGUAAUACAAACGACGGUUUAUGAAAAAACCGUCGUGUAUAAGUAAUACAACGACGGUUUUUUCAUAAACCGUCGUGUAAUCGUCGGCGUAUGCCUAAAAAGGCGUCGUGUCUCAGUUUAUUUUCAAGAACCCAAAACCCAUUAAGAACACAACAUAUAUAUGAAACCAAGCAAGAAAACAACAUAUACAUGAAACCAAGCAUGAAAACAAUAAAUCCAUUCCCAAUUCAACAUAACAUAGGGUGAUUAAAAGAUCCGACAAAAUUAAAUCCAUUCCCAAUUCAACAUAACAGAUAAUGUAAUCCAUGAACCCAUUAAACAGAAAAUCCAUGAACCCAUACUUAUAAGCACAUUAUUAACAGAUCGCAAAGCAUAUACCUAAAACCCUUUAACAAAACAACCUAAUAUCAUUCAAUGAAUUUACAAGGGGAAGAUAGGGUUUGUACUUACAGGUUGGACGAGCUCACAGAUUCGACGGAGCAGAAGUGAGAGAGCAACUUUUAAUUAGAGCAGAAGUGAGAGAGCGAAAUGUUAUGUUGCGCGAAAUCUGAAAAUUUUAGGGUUCAGGGUUAGAAGAAUAAGAAUAAGAGCCAAAUAUAAAAAAAUUUAGGACGCGUGAAAAUUUUUAGAGCGCGCGCUCUUUAAAACUUCGAAAGAAAAACCAUGGCGAAAGUUCUACAAGAACCGACAUAAAUGUAAUAUUCCACGACGGAAACACUGAACGUAACGCCGUUUAUUUUGACGCUUCAUUUUUCGGAUUAAUUUUAAAUUUAUUUUCAAUAUUUUGAUAUAAAGACGACUGAAAAACCACGUCGGGGUUAAGAAAUUGAAAACGUUGUAAAUUAUAAUAGACGACUUACAUAUUAAAAUGACGUCGUUUAAAGUAGAAACUAUGUCGGAUAAUUUACUGCACGACGUAACAUAUGUAUUCCACGACUCAACCACCGUCGUUAACAAUUAAUACCCUAAACCCUUAAAACUAAAUUAUAUAAUUUUAAAAAUUAACUUUAUAAAAGGGUUUAUGGUUUUACAGCCUAAUAUAUACCCUAGACUACCCAAAAAUUAUACUUUAAAAAUAAACCCCAAUAAAUAACAACCCUAAUCUCUAAACCCUAGACUCUAAACCCUAAACCAUAAAACUAGAAGUGAUUUUAUGACUCAUCAAAACAAUUUUGUUUUGGAUGUUCAUUUUAAAUUUUUGUAAUUCAAAAUGAAUUUUUUCAAGGUUUAGGGGGAAGAAAAUAUAUCAAUGACUUCAUAGGAGUUGACUUUGCAUUUUUCUGAUUUAUUUUAAAUUUAUUUUGAAUAUUUUGAUAUAAAAAUAAUAAAAUAUUCUUAUCACAACAACAAACCACGUCGGUGUUGAUAAAUUGUAGACGUUGUAAAUUGUAAUAGACGACUAAGUUGUUAAAAUGACGUCGUUUAAAUGAGAAACGAUGGCGGAUAUUUAACUAUCCGACGUAAAAUAUAUAUUCCUCGACUUAACCACUGUCGUUACAAAGUACUACCCUGAACCCUUAAGAAAUUGAAGACGUUGUAAACCAUAAACGACUCCAUUGUUCAAAGAACGUCGUCUAAAUAUCCUUUUACGCCGGAUUUGUUUAAAACGAAACCACAAAAAACGACGGCUUUUGACUUUAUUACGUCGUUGGAAAAUUAUUACACGUCGGUUACGCAUUUUGUAUGUUUGUUUUUGUUUUUACUUUAAGAAAACCUCAACAAAUUUUUACAUUAUAUAUUAUAGACAAAAUUUGUACAUUAUACAUAAAUAUCAAGUGUUCAAUAAUUCCCCUAUUCCAGUUGAAUGCAAACAAACUCUGCCCAUUCAUUCCGGACUUCAUCAAUUGCUUCUUGGGGGUAUGGCUCUUCCUGUUUUCCCUUCGCAUACUGCAUAAAAACAAUGACUAUUAGGGUUUAUAAAUAAAAGGAAAUUCAAUCACAGACGACCAUAACCGACGUAGUAUAUCUAUUCAACGACGGUAAUUUUACAUGACCGUCGUUGAUAAUACAAAAAACGACGUAAAAUGUUUGAAGGUUAUUUCUUCUUACCUUCUUCUCAAACCCCAAGGAAGGAUCCAUGAUGAUGUCCUUCAUGAAGCGCAUCACGUAAUACCCGCAUUCGACAUUGCUGGGUUGCUUUGGUGUGCCUGACAGGGUUUUCCAAAUGACUGCCUUACGGCCUGAUCUGGCUAUGUGGGAAUUAUAAAUUUUUAUGGCACUGUUCACGAUGUCUUUGGCCUCUUCAUCGACCACACGAUUUCCUGGCAGAGGAUCCAGAAAAUAGACUGUUUCCCUCUUUGCUCUUACAAUCAGCAAGAUCCAAUGACGGCUGCACAAAAUUAAUAUAAAAACGACGGUUAUUUACAAAAACGACGUAUUAUAAUAUUUCACACGACGAAAUAAAGUAGCAAUCGACGACAUUAUAUAUUUAUAACGACGAUAAAUAACUACCGACGUGGUUAGUCGUUUCAAACGACUCAAUAAAAUAAAACACCGACGUGGUUAGUUUAUACGCUGUCAUUUAUUGAAAAUCAUAAAAACAAAAUCCUGUUAAGGAGACUAACCCUGGAUUGUAAGGCAUGAGGAAAAUCUGUUCACCGUCAGUCUUCUGAAGUCGUGAUGCUACAAGCCGUGAUCUGUCAGCUAUUGUGCCAGAGCUGGCACUAACUGUAGCAGGGUCGAUAAAGCCAACCAUUGUGCACAUAUUUGCUUGUUUUAAAACAUCGUGUAAGUACCUAAAUAUAUAAAAUAAUAUAAACAAGUCAGCGCAAAAAAAACACACGACGGUUAUGUAUAACAAAACGACGUAUUAUAAGGUUUCACACGACGUACUGAAAUAGACAACGACGUUAUAAUAAAUUUAUCACGACGGUACAUACUAACGACGUGGUUAGUUAGUUAAGACGACGCAAUAAAUAAACCAACGACGUAUUAUUUUAGAAUGACAAACCUCAUAUAUACAGCAAUGACUGUAGCUCCUAUUUCCUCCAUGCCUGCAAAUUGUGUAAUAUCUUCAGGCAGGAGGAAGGUAUCGCGCUCUAGACCAAACACCUCCUUAUCAAUUGUAAAGUGCAGGGUCUUAUCUUGAGUUACGAGUGUCGUUUCCACAUAACGACAAAGGGUUUGUAAAGAAGAUGGCGCCUCCAUAUUUGAAUAAUCAACAACUUUAGUAACCUGUUUAAAGAAAUAAAAAAAUGACGUGGUAAUUCAAUAAAAACGACGGUUUAAGGAAUAAAAUGUCGUUUGAAAACAAUUUAAACGACGGUGAAAAAACCGUCGUGGUGAAUUAUUUAUUACGUCUUAGAAAACAAUUCCGCCGUCUAAGUUGUAAACAAACGACGGUUUAAAGAAAAAUAUCGACGUCUGGAAUUUUGAAAACAAAUAAAAAAGGUAAAGUUAUGUGAACAUACCUGGUCGUCAUCUUCUUUCUCCUUUUCAUCUUGUUUUUCUUCCUUAUUCUCUUCAUAUAUGACGUCGGGAAUGAUUAACUCCGUCAUCUAAAAACCACAAAGUUUUAAAAAUAACGACGUUUAAUGGCGUGUAAAACAAGUAAACUAAAUACGACGUGGUAUUGAAAUACAAACGACGGUUUAUUUUUAAAAUCGUCGUGGUAUGUAUUUCAAACGACGGUUUUAUUAAAAAUAACGACGUCUAAUGGUUUUUAAAAAAACAGAGAAUUCAAAGUUCAGAUAUGUUACCUUUUCUUCCUGAUGUUUCCCAUUUUUGGCAGUAUCAUCCUCAAAAUGCUGGGAUCUCACAUCACCUCCAGAGCAGCUUGCUUUGUCAGACAUUGGAUUUUUGGGACUUUGGCUAAUUCUGGGUUUAAGCAUGCUUGGAUCAAAAUUGGGAAUUAAUUGGGAAAGCUGACUCAGGAAAUGCUCCCUCUCAGCCUCUACCAAUUGUUUCGUUCUAGCCUCCAUUCUUAAAGCCUCUUCCCUUGCCUUAGCCUCCAUCUUUUUAGUCUCUUCUUGAAGGAGAACUCUUAAACUGUCCUUCAAACGGUCGUCAAAGCUCACUCUCUGUGGUUUGGGUAAAUUGAAAUAUUGCUUUGGUGAGAUCCCAGCACCUACUCCUCUGACUCUGCCUGGAUGCUCGGGGCCCAAAGCCAUGGUCAGCACAUCAUUGCUGCCAGAGACGGUGACUUUGCCUUCCGAGACUUGUUUUUGCAAAUCAUCCUAAAACAAAGAUAUAUAAAAAAGUAAGAACAAAAACACACGACGGUUAUUUAUAUACAAACGACGUAUUAUAUAAUUUCACACGACUCAAUAACAUAUAAAUCGACGUUAUUAUAAUUUAUCACGACGGUAGUUAUACCGACGUGGUUAGUUCUUUAAAACGACGAAAUUAAUAAACCACCAACGUCUUAUGUAACAGAGGGAUGAUUCAAUAUUCACACCUUUAACGACGUUGUUUAAAACAUUUCGACGUAGUAAUUUAAUACAGACGACGCGAAAUUGAACCACCGACAUCUUAUGCUAUAAUUACAGAAAACAGAGUUCUGAUUCCUAUUUAGACCUUUAACGACGUGUUUUAAAAAAUGUCGACGUGGUAAUAUCAUUCACACGACGCAAAAUAUAACAUAAGACGUAAUAAGAAUUAUUCACAGUUUAAUAAAAAUUUAAAACAGAGUGAGUAGGCUUACAAUUAAUUUUGCUUUCUCUGCCACCUUUGGAUCAGGGAUGUUACCAUGUUUGUCAUGUCUAGCUCUCUUCCAUAAGGUAGAUCGAUCAAUUUCUACCCCAGGCAUGGUUUCCUCUAAUUGAUCCUCCAAACCGGCAUAUCCUUUUCGAGACAAUCGAUGAUUGUACUCGAGUUUCUCCCUAAUCUGUGCAUGUUGAGAAUGCACAGACUCAAAAUCUUUGGAUAGCCUUGAAGCUACAAAGGCAUCCCAUUGUGCUUUCUCUAUGAAUUUAUAUGUUUCAGGGGGUUGGCUUAAUCUCUCCCUGUCAUUGGUGUAUGGAAGGAUAUAAUGCCUCGUUAGUGUAGACUUGAAAUCCUUCCAUUUCUUGGCAGCAGAAGCUAAGACAGAGUUCUUGCCCCCUUGACCUACUACAAAAGCAAUGUCAACUGCUUCCCAAAUCUGCUCCUUUAUAUCCUUGGGGAUUUGAGCCCAUUUCAAGUCCACAAGUGGAACUCUGGAGCGUGCCAACACACCAAUAUAGGACUGCAUCUCACUAUGAGCUUGGCCAAUUCCUUUCCCCCUUUUAUUGUACUCAACAAUUGGCCUCAGUUUCUGCAGUUUUCUCUUCACAACACGAGGCAUUGUGCUCAUACCUCGACCAGCCUUUGAAUCAUCAGAUAUUGUUGUCCCGCUGGUUGGUUCUGUAUCAGCAGAUGAUGAAGCAAACUUCAUCUUCUUCGAAGACUUCAUUAUCUUCGAAGACUUCUCUUGAGGAGGUACUUGCUCCUCACCUCCAUUUUUCUUGGAGCCAGAAUCCUUACUUUAGUCUUGUUGAGAAACCAUUUUUACAGACAAAACUGCAAGUGAAAAUAUUUCAAGAAAAGAUUAAGAACACAAACGACGGUUAUUAAUAAAAUACGACGUAUGAUAUGAUUUUAAACGACGCAAUGAAAUAAUAUCAGACGUAAUAAAUUUUUAAAACGAAGGUAAUUAAACAACGACGAAAUAAUUGACUACAAACGACGAGAUAAUUAACUAUAAACGACGGAAUAUUUAUAUAACGUCGUGGUAUUGAUGUUCACACGACGUCAGUAGUAAUAUACCGUCGUCUAUAUAAGGAUCCAAAACCCUUCUUUCUUUCUCUGUGAAUGUUUGAUUGCAGAUUUGAUUUUUCUGAACCAUGGUUUUUGUUUUCUAAUUUGAUAAAAUACAAGGCCAAGAAAGAAAGUUUUGGAAUCUUAUAUAGACGACGGUAUUUUAAUAUGACGUCGUGGUAUUAACAUUCACACGACGUAAAACAAUAAGAUACUGUCGUCUAUAUUAGAUACCAACCCUAAUUUCUUUUUCUUUAUAUUUUAUCAAAUUAGGGAAAAACAAAAACCAUUGUUCAGAAAAAUCAAACCUGCAAUUAAACAAGCAAAUAAAAAAAAGACUAAAAUUUUAAAAACAACUUUGUCAAUUUUCAGACGACGCUAGAACGACUGACGAACCGUCGUGGUCUACAUAUUUAACCACGUAAAUAAGAAGCUACCGUCGUCUUAUUUAGUUAAGGUAGUUGUCUUCAAAGUUGGAAACUUUCCCUCUUUGUCUGUAUAUUUUAUCGAACUUGGAAAGAAGUAAAAUGAUUUUGGCCAGAAAAAAGGUAAAAAGAUUUUUCAAACAAAAAACGUAUGAGCAUGCAAAACAGCAACCAAAAUAGUGAAAAUGAAAGCUUACCUUUUGUGUGCAAUGAAAGCAAGAGGAAGACGAUCGAUGUUUAAAUUCAGAGACGACGAAGAAGACGAGAGGAAGACGAUGAGAUACUCUGAAAGUGCUCUGACAAGGAAAAAAGUCUAAAAGUUUUCUCUGGGAGAUUGAAAUUUUUAAUCGGGUUUGGAAAAAGUGCAUGUGUAAGUCAGGUAGACGAAAAGUUGCUUAUAUAUAAAACCAUUUCAAAAAAAUAAUACGGCGGUUACAUAUAACUACGACGUAUAAAUUACAAAAUACGACAGUACGUUUAACUUCGGACGUGGUAAAUAAUUACGACAGUAGUGUUAUAGGUACCGUCGUAGUAAACUCAAAAUUAAAGUACAUAAGUAAUAACUCGCGUCAUGGUAGAUCAUUUAACACGUCGGUUUUAUUAAUGUACCGACGUGGAUUUAUGUAAUAUACGUCGGUAAUACCGACGUUGAUUUUACAAUUUAAACGGCGGUUUUUUUGUAAGGACCGCCGUUGGUUUUAAAAAUUUAUUCUAUAAAUUUGUUGCUUUCAUUCAUUUUCGGUUUACAUUUAGGGUUCCAAGUUCUUCCUCUCUCAGAGACACUAUCUCUCACAUCUCAAAGACAGUAAUUUGGAUGUCUUUCUCAAAGAGAAAUUGAGCUUACUCGCAUCAAAUCUAUGUCCACAAGAAGAAGCUUGUCAACUAGCCUUCUCACUUCCUUGAUCAAGCCUGAUAGGACACUUAGUGCUUCUGAAUACUCCUUGCUUUCCAUCAAAAGAGAUGCAAGCCUGGCCUCCACUCGCUGUCGAAGGAAAGUUCGCUUCUCAGGGAAAUCUGAAGAUCAGAUGUGCCUGAUCCUCUGCUUGAUUUUCUUGGCUAAGAAGAUCCGUCAGAUUUGUGAUAGCCUCUUCCUUUAUCCGUAGAGCUUCAGAAGAAGAAGAUGGGUUUCAAGAAUGCGAUAAAGAAUAGAAAUGGCUUCAGAUGGCCUCUAAAGCAUGAGCAAUCGAAUCAGUGCUUUGAACUAUACUUUGAACUAUACAAGUCAAUGCUUUGAACUAUACAAGUCCUGCAGAAAGAUAAAGGACCAAACUAUUAAAGAAACCCCAAACUAACACGACGCAAUAUUUGUUUUGCGACGUGGAAUCUUUUCAUUUAACGUCGUUAGGUUUAAUAUAACCGACGUGGAUUUGAAUUUUUAAAUUAUGAAUAGCAUUUUUUUUCCCGUGACCUUUCAGUUUAUUUUUCAAUUACAGUGCGUUAUAAAUAGAGUUUUUUUUCCGGAGGAAAUUUAAAAUGAAGGAAAUUAAUGUUCUGGAAUAUGUAAAAUUUCUUUUUUGGAUGACAGAUUUAAAUAAAAUAAGAAUAUAAAAACAACGACUGUUUUUGUAUUACUGUCGUCGUUUUUCGUCGUCUUAAGUAAGACUAAGACAACGUAAUAUAUUUGUUGAGCGACGUUGAUUUGUGUUUUAAACGUCCUUAGGUAUAAUAUAACCGUCGUUGAAAAUUGUCUCUCUGAUUGCAAAUUUGCAACGACGUUAGGUAUAAUAUUUGUAGAUACACAAACGCACACACAUCAUCAACUUCCAAAAAAUUGUCUCUCUGAUUGCAAAUCUGUGUCAUCUGUUAAGAUUAUGAUGUGGAACAAAGUUCCAUUUGGUAAGAUUUCGUAACCCUUGGGAUCUCAGAAAAAUCUGAUUAUGUCGGCGAUUUUCUAUAUAAACCGUCGUGGUUAUUUCAAUUCUUGUCAUUAAGUAGAUCUACCGACGUAGGAUAAGAAAAUCAAAGAAAAAAAUUGUUAACAAAAAUUCUUAUUAAGACGACGGUUUAAAUUAAAGGUAAGACGUAUAAAAUGAAUAAAUACGACGUUAAAUUUUAUAGUACGAUUUAAAGAUAACGUCGUAGAACUAUACCAGAAUGACGUCGAUAUAUUUAUAUUUUUCGUCGUUGUACAUUAAUUUAAUACGGCGAUAUUUUGUAUUUUAAAGUCGUGGAUUUGUUUGUAAUUAUACAGCGUCUUAUACGAAAACCUCGUCGUGUUAUUUUAUGAGUAAAAACGGCGGCUUUUAUUGAAAUCGUCGUCUUUACUUUCUACGUCGGUUGAUUCAUAACUUCUGUCGUUCUUUGUUGGCUUUGAUUUUACACUGCGGAAAUCUGUUUCAAAUAGACGUCGGUUGUUUAAUUAAGUACGUCGUUGUUUUUGAACAGCCAUUUGAAUCUCCAUUUUUUAGUUGUCUAAGGUGGUAUUACACGACGGUGUUUUUAGAACCGUCGUCUUUUUAAAAACCACGACGGUUUUCACUGAGACCGUCGUUGUUUUCUGGUCGUCUUUUUCACUUUUUGUAGUAGUGAAUGGAAUAGAAUGAUGGAAGUUAUUUUUUUUUUUUCCUACGUCUAAAGUAUACUUUAUAUAUAUAUAUAUAUAUUUAUAUUUAUUAUGGAAGUUAUAACCGUUUAAUUUUCAGUUUUUAUUUUCUAUUUAUUGUUUUAAUUUUUAUAGUUUAAUGUGUAUGGAGAUUUCAAGUAUUGGAUGUUUAUAAAGGGUCACUCCUCCUUCACAUCUGAAACAAACCACCAUCUCAUUUCUGUAUUUUCAUACUUUCAUAUAUUUUCUACUUUCCAGAUUAUUAUUUUUGGGCAACGGUUCUGUGACUUGGAGAUUUCUAUCCGAUUAUUAACAUGCUCAUAGCGGACCUUGAGCUUGCGUAUUGAGGAUAGUAUCUUGGAGCCUUGUAGACCUUUAUUACCUGCAUGUAGGGAGGCUAUAAAUGCUUUAAGUCAGCGUCUUUGACGUGCUUUUGCUUUCUUUUUUUUACUUAUUUCUUCGUUACUUUAUUUUUACUUUACUUUUAAAUCUUUAUUUUAUGUAUUAUUUAUAUUUAAAAAUUUUGAAUAAGAGUUUUACAGAAAAGGAAAAACACAAUUUCAAAUAACACAAAUUUCUCGUUUUUUGUUCUUAAAAAAGAAGAAGCAUUGAUUGGGGAGUUAUGGUAAACUCAGUUUCAAUGGUUGCGAUGAGAGGCGGUGGCGGCGAGGAGAGGACGAAGGCUUUGCUGCCGACGGGGUGGUGUGGGUGGGUGGAGACCUCGGCUGGCUGCUUGGUCCUGGGUUCUCCUUUAAUUCUCUGUUUUCUUUUUUCAUAUUUUUCUUUUUCUCUUAGAGUUAUUGAUGUUAAGUGAAUGGACAGAUGCCAAGAGAAGAUGUGAACCCAAUUAUAUACAGCUGAUUACAUAAAGUAACAAAUUAAUUAAUACUUGAGUGGAGGACAGGCUCGAGUGGAAGAAUUGAUUAAGGCUUGAGUGGAAGACAAACUUCAGUGGAGGAAAGUACAGAUAAGGAAAGCAUGCCACGUUUAACGGCUUUAUCUCAACAAAUUAGGAAUGCUGGUUUUGUUUCCUCGGUGGUUGAAAGGUGGUGCCUUGGCUCGGACAUCUCCCUAGUAAUUAAUCGAAGGUGGAAUCUUACAAGACAUUCAGCUGCUCAUUAGCUGAAUAUCUCGCUCUCUUUAAAGAGAUCGAAGCAAACUGCAAUUUGCAAUUUGUGUGAUUCAAGCAUGAAUAUCUGACAUAGUAACUAUACCAUUUGUUGGUUUGAUGAGAAAAGUUUGGUUAGCGAGGAUGAAACCAUAAAGUUCCCCAAAACACACAAAGAGCACGGACAAUUGCUAAGUUUAUCUUUGAGUUCACGCAUAUUUGCACAAAUGAGAUUACUCCAAGUAUGACUAUACCAUUUGUUGGUUUGAUGUGAAAAAUAUGGGCAACGAGGGUAAAACUAUACAAACACACACAAAGAAAGUGGACAAUUACUAAGUUUAUCUUUGCGUUAUUCAUCCGACCUAACUGUAAAAUAAAAAAGAUGAAAAUAUAUAAUGUUCACUACUUAGAUCUAUGAGCACUAAAGUCCUCCUUUUGGAAUUGCACAAAACGUCACUUUUGGUCUUUGACAAAUUUUUAAAAUAAAUGAAUUUUUUACUUAUUUGUGGACUGAAAUGCCUCAAAAAAAAUAAUGAUAAUUUGAAGAAUUUGAUAGAAAUUAAAAAAUAUCCUCAAAUUACUUGGAAUUGAAGACCACAUAGGCAAAAACACCACUUUGGACAAAGGCUGGUGAUAAUAGUCGAUAUCAUCUUUUGUCGGUCCGACCUAAAAAGAAGAAAAAGUUGAAAGCAUCUUGUUACCAUUUUUGCCAAUGUGGGUCCAGACAAUUUGAAGAAGUCCACCGACAAUUUCUCAAAAGCUAUUGUGUGAGUGUUUUGAAGCUAAACCAAUAUUAUUUUGCACAUACGACCCCACAUCCCCAUGUGAGGCUACAGAAGUGUUUCCAAAACGAAACAUGAUAUUUCAAAACAAAGCUAUGUAUAGAAUAGAGUCAUUUGUAUUUGCUUUCACAAUAACAUUUUAUUUGUGAAAGCAUUUUAUAUUUUUACAUUAUGAUGUUCUAACAAAUAAAUUGACUAUAUUUGGCCAACAGGGUUUAACCGAGUAAAAAAGUCCUUAUUUAUAAACUACUGGUUUCAUAUUUGAACUCUAUGACAUUCUCUUUACCCUUAAAGUUUAGACUAUCGCAUGUAUUAUAAAUAAAAAAAAACAAUUGGCUUAAUUUGAUAUAUUUCAUUUUAUGCUGGGUGCCGUUAUUAAGUUUUAUCCUUGUUUCUUGUUGAAAAAAAAUUGAUAAAAAAUAAGAAUUCCUAUAGCUAGCAACUUCUCCACCUUCCCUUCUUCGCAACUAGGGAUGCCAUUGCAAGGUCACCAUCUCAGAUUAAGUCCUCCUUUUAAAAUUGUGUUGUUAUUCAAAAUUGGAAUAUGCUGGUCAUUCUUGAUAUAAUCUGUUCCACAAAAAGAAAAAGAAAAAAGUUGAUAGCAUCUUUUACCACUUUGGCCACUUUUGAAGAUAUUCACCGACAAUUUCUCAAAAGCUAUUAAGCUGUACGUCCACAAUAUUAUUGCAUCCAACUUUGCAUAUACGACCCCAUCCCCAUGUGAGGCUACAAUAUUGUUAAAAAAAUAUGCUAACAUUGUCAUUCAGUAUGCUAACAUUGUCACUAUGUUUGCGAAUUGCAUAUUAUCUAGAACAUAAAGGCUUUGGUGUUUUGUAGAUCCUCAGGGAGCCAAACCCGUCUUUAUAAAAAUGGUCCUUAUGAUACUACUUUAACAACAAUAAAGUAUAAUAAACUAGGCCUUUGUAGUCACUGAACGAAUGUUUUGUCAUAUAUAUGACUAUUUAAAUGUAAUUACGGGAUUAAAACAUUAUAAUAAAUUGGAGUGAACCAUAACAUUAUAUAUGAUCCAAUCCUUUGCAUAUAUUUUUGUUCAAGACUUUGUUUUAGAAUGCUCUAUUACUAAUUUGGUACAGGUCUCUAAAAUCUAUGCCUUUAUGAGGCAACGUCUUUAUUUCUUUGGUUAUUCCAGUUUAGAAUAUUUGCACAAAUGAGAUGACUCCCAGCAUAAAGUCACAUUCAACCAAAAAGCAUGAAGUCACACACAAAAAGAAUACGGACAAUUGCUAAGUUUAUCUUGUAUCCUUAUUUUAUUGAUCCAACCCAAUUGAAAAAUUAAAAAGAUGAUAUAAUAUACUGUUCACUGCUUACAUCCAUGAGUAAAGUCCUCCAUUUGAAAUUGCGUGAUGAUAUAAAAUUGGAAUGAAAAAAGAAAAUCCUACAGCUAAAUUUGAUAUAUUUCCUUUUCAUUUUAUGCUGGGUGUUAAGUUUUCUUAUUUCUUGUUGAAAAGAAAAAUGAAAAGAAAUAAAUAAAUUCCACAGCUAGCCACUUAUCCACCUUCCCUUCUUCCCAUGUAGUGACAACAAGGGAGGCCUUCAAUCCAAAAUAAAGACAAGGGAUGCCAGAUCAGCAUCUCAGAUAAGUAUCCCAACCAAAACCAAUCAAAUAAUGACAUAUGUAUCUCUUUUUGUGUUUUGUUCUAUUUCUCUUUGAAUUAACUGCAUAGUUUCAUAAGCGUGUCCUCCUUUUGAAAUUGUGUAUUAUUCAAAAUUGGAAUUUGCUGAUCAUACUUGAUAUCAGCUAAAAAAGUUUCCAACAUCUUGUACCAUUUUUUUCCAGUGUGGGUCAUAACUUGAAGAAGCCCACCGACAAUUUCUCAAAAGCUAUUACCAUCCAACUUUGAAAAAUAAAAGUUUUCAAAAGUUACCCCAAACAACAGUCCUUGAAAGAGAGAGUUUUCCAAGGCUAAAGAUUACAAGGAUGUUAUUUACAGUCUCGACAACGACAAGCUUCAUAUUUGUUUACAAACCUGUAUUUUCAAGUUGUGCUAGCCUAGCUACUUGCAAAAAAUAUCCAGUUGGCACAUGCAUUAACGUGUGACAAGAAGUUAGUUAUAUUUGUAAAGUAAAAGAACGAAGUACAUAGCAUGUAAGUUGAUGCUAAAUAUUUGAUCAACAGAGUUAAACAUAAAACCACUGACAAUAUAACGUUGUUCACCAAAAAUUGCAUUUCGUUGAGGGUCAGUAGUGUAGGUUUCAAGAUACGAUUUAUUUUGUUAAAGAAUAUUCUGAUAUUCUAACAAUAAAAUUGGCUCAAUUUGAUAUGUUUCUCUCUCUUUUUUUGUUUCUGUUUUCCCUUUCAUUUGAUGCUUUGUUGUGCUAUUGCUAAGUUUAUCUUAGAGACCAGGGAUGCUUAGCAAGUUUCUUCACCUGCCCUUCUUCCCAUGUACUAACUAGGGAUACCAUGUCAGAAUCUUAGAUAAGAAUCCCAUGCUUUGUUGUGCUAUUGCUAAGUUUAUCUUAGAGACCAGGGAUGCUUAGCAAGUUUCUUCACCUGCCCUUCUUCCCAUGUACUAACUAGGGAUACCAUGUCAGAAUCUUAGAUAAGAAUCCCAACCCAAUCAAACUAUGACAUCUGUAAGUAUUCAAAAUUGGAAUUUGCAUUGUGAUAGUUGAGUGGAAGAAUCGAUUAAGGCUUGAGUGGAAGACAAACUUCAGUGGAGGAAAGUAAUUAAUUAGACCAUUAUUUGUUGGUUUGAUGAGAAAAGUUUGCUGGUGAUAGUCCAUAAUCUUUGUCCGACCAGAAAAUAAGAAAAGUUGUCUUGUACCAUUUCUGCCAGUGUGGGUCCCACCCACCCCAUGCGAGUAAUUUGAAGAAGUCCACCGACAAUUUCCCAAAAGCUUUGGCGUCCAACUUUGCCGACCCCAUCCCCAUGUGAGGCCAUAGAAAAGUUUUCAGCCACAAUCAAAUAAGGAACAGUCCUUGAAAAGAGAGGGUUUUCCAAGGCCAAGAUUACAAGUUCAUGUUAUUUACAGUCUCAAAAAGCUUCCAUACUUGUUUACAAACCUGUAUUUUCAAGUUGUGCUAGCCUAGCUAUUUGCAAAUCUUGGAAUAUUUUACUUCAUCCAAAUCCCUUGAAGUCUGCAGAGAAGAUAAAAGACAUGGCUUUGAUUGGAGAGGCUCUUAUCUCUGCUUCCGUCCAGGUGUUGUGCGACAGAAUUACUUCACCCGAGUUCGUUGACUUAUUUCGGCACAAGAAACUCGAUGAGCCACUCCUCAGGAAGCUGAGGACGACACUGUUGGCCUUGAACUUGGUGCUCAAUGAUGCAGAGGAGAAGCAACUUGUGAACCGAGAUGUGAAAAAGUGGCUUGACGAGCUCAAACAUGCUGUCUUUGAUGCGGAGGACUUACUGGAUGAGAUUGACACUGAAGCUUUGAGAUGCAAGCUGGAAGAAGGUGAAGAUCAAACUCACAAAUUUACCAAUAAGGUGCGGAACUUGCUCUUUUCUUCUCGUAGUCAUUUUUAUCAGAGCAUGAAUGAUAAGAUAAAAGAGUUACUAGCAAGGUUAGAAAACUUUGUACAACUGAAAAGUGCUCUUGGUCUGGGAGAAGUUGCUGGGAGGAAGGUUUCGCAAAGAACUCAAACAACCUCCUUGGUUCUUGAACCUUAUGUAUAUGGUAGAGAUGAAGUCAAAGAAAAGUUAUCAAAAGUUUUGCUAUCUGAUGAAGCAGGCAAGGAUCCUGUGUCUUUCCUCACCAUUGUUGGAAUGGGUGGGGUUGGCAAGACAACCCUUGCUCGAAUGCUUUACAAUGACGAUAAGGUGAAAGGGCAUUUUAAACUUAAAGCUUGGGCUUGUGUUUCAGACUACGAUGAUUAUAUUAAAAUUACUAAAACUCUCCUUGAGGCAGUCACUUCAAAGCCUUGUAACACGGCAAAUCUGAAUUUGCUUCAAGAAGAUCUAAGAGAGCAAUUGAAGGGAAGGAAAUUUUUAUUUGUGUUGGAUGACCUAUGGAAUGAGAAUAAUGAGGAUUUGAACUACCUUAGAGCUCUUUUUAUUACUUUAGGAACAAUGGGAAGUAAAGUCAUUGUAACAACACGGAGCAAAAAUGCAGCAUCUGUCAUGCAAAAUGUUCAUAUUCAAUACUUAGAACCAUUGUCGCAGGAGGACUGCUGGUUAUUACUUGCAAAACAUGCAUUUGGAAAUGUAAAGUGUAGUGCACAUUCAAACUUGGAAGAUAUUGGAAACCAAAUUGCACGCAAGUGCAAAGGGUUGCCUUUAGCUGCACAAACACUUGGGAGUUUGUUACGUUGCAAUAUGAAUUUCGAGUACUGGAAUAGAAUACUAAAUGAUAGUUUUUGGGACCACCCCUAUGAUAAAACUAACAUUCUUCCGGCUCUAGGGUUGAGUUACCAUUAUCUUCCUACUCAGUUGAAACGAUGCUUUGCUUAUUGUUCAAUUUUUCCAAAGGAUUAUGAGUUUGAAAAGGAAGAUAUAGUUCAAUUAUGGAUUGCAGAAGGUAUAAUUCCACAAGCUGAGAAUGGAAAUAGGAUGGAAGCAUUGGCUAGAAUAUACUUUGAUGAGCUGUUAUCACGAUCGUUGUUUCAAAAGUCAAGUAAAUUCAGCUUCAUUAUGCAUGAUCUCAUUAAUGACUUGGCUAUGUUCAUGUCUCAGGGGUUUUGCCUUAGGCUCGAAUAUGGGGUAUCCCAUGAAGUUAAAAGAGCUCGUCAUUUGUCAUAUGCUAGGGGAGCAUUUGAUGCUGCUCCAAGAUUUGAACCAUUAUAUGAGGCUAAAUGUUUGCGGACCUUCCUACCUACCUCUUUAAAUCCAUAUAGAUUUUAUGAAAGAUUUUUUGUAAGUAAAAAAGUUCUACAAGAUUUGUUGCCAUCACUAAGAUGUUUACGGGUGUUAUCAUUGUCACGUUAUCAAAAUGUUACUGUGUUACCUGAUUCUAUUGCAAACCUCAUUCACUUGCACUACUUGGAUCUUUCCCAUACCGCAAUUAAAAGGUUACCUGGGGUACUUUGCAAUCUCUUCAACUUGCAGACAUUACUAUUGUCAAAUUGUUCCUCACUCCAUGAAUUGCCUGCAGACAUUAGAAAAUUGAUUAAUUUACAGAAAUUGACAUUGGGCGGUUGUAGUUCUCUUAAUAAAUUGCCUGCAGGCAUGAAGGAGUUGACUAAUUUGCAUCAUCUUGAUGUCAGUGGAACUGAAAUAGUAGAGAUGCCGGUGCAAAUGGGUAGACUGAAAAAUUUGAGAACAUUGACUGCAUUUGUUGUGGGCAAAUCUACUGGGUCAGGCAUAAGAGAACUGAGCGAGUUCCCGCAACUUCAAGGAAAACUAUCAAUUUUGAAGCUACAAAAUGUAGUUGAUGCGAGGGAUGCACUGCACGCCAAUAUGAAGCUCAAGACAGAUCUCAAGGAGUUAGAGUUUUCAUGGGGUGCGCAGGAUGCUGAUGAUUCCCAAAAGGAGAAAGAUGUACUUGACAAGCUCCAGCCUUGCGUGAAUUUGGAGAAAUUAACCAUUGGAUUCUAUGGUGGAACCAAUUUUCCGAAUUGGUUAGGAGACUCGUCUUUUUCUAACAUACAAGUCAUGCAUCUCAGUGACUGUAGUUAUUGUUGGUCGCUCCCACCAGUUGGACGGCUGUCGGCACUCAAAGAGCUCUGUAUAAAAAGAAUGAAGUCUUUGAGGACGAUUGGCGUUGAAUUCUAUGGCAGAGAUGGAGCUUAUCUGACUCAGCCAUUUCGAUCUCUGGAGAAGCUAGAGUUUAUAGAGAUGCCGGAGUGGGAGGAAUGGGUACCAAGUGGAAGUGCAAGUGGUAGUGAAUAUGGUCCAGACUUUCCUCAUCUCCAGGAGCUGAUUCUAAACGAGUGUCCGAAGCUAAGAGGAAGUUUGCCUUGUGAGUUGCCUUGCUUGAAGAAGCUUACGGUGUAUGGGUGUAAGGUUUUACAUGAUGGAAGGGCCGCUACCGCAACUACCAAUAGUCUUAACUAUAAAUCUCUGGAAGAAUUGGAUAUAAGGGGUGGAUGCCAAACUCUGUUAUCAUUAUUAGAGACAAAGCUCCUGUCCCGACUUAAGAUUGAAAAUGUUGACGUACAGUGCUUGCCCAACUGCAAUCGUCUUCAACGUUUGACUCUUUUGAAUUGUCCAACGCUGUCGUCAUUCCCUAAAGAUGGCCUACCCACUACAUUGACAUCACUUACUAUACUCAAUUGUAGGAGAUUAGAAUUCCUACCUCAUGAGAUGUUGGCCAAAUUAACAUCGCUUGACUAUUUGGGCAUACAAAGUAGCUGUGAUUCAAUGAGGUCCUUACCGUUGGGCAUUUUUCCCAAAUUGACGACGCUUCAAAUUCUUGGUUGUGAGAAUCUGGAAUCUUUUUCCUUGAUUGAAGAAGAAGGAGCUGUUGAGAAUCUCAGCCAUCUCAAUUCCUUGCAAGUCAUUAACUGUCCAAAAAUGGUGUGUUUUCACGAGGGAGAAUUGCCCUUUCCCAACCUGAGUCACUUUGUAGUCAUUGACUGCGAGAAUUUGAAGUCAUUGCCCGAACGCCUUCACACCCUCACUGCCCUUCGAUCUUUGAAUAUAUGGAAUCUUCCGAAUCUGGAGUCAUUUGCAGAAGAUGGGGGUUUGCCUCCCAACCUCCGAUCUUUUAUCAUUAGGAAUUGUAAGAGACUGAGGGCACUUGACUCAGUGGGUUUGCAAGCACUUGUCUACCUUCAGAUCGAUGGAAGUGACCAUGUCUUGGAGACGUUGCUGCUCCCUACCACUCUUCACACUCUCUGCAUCUCUGAUCUAUCAACUCUGAAAUCUUUGGACGGAAAGGGUCUUGGACACCUCACUUCUCUUCAAACUCUAAAAAUUUACAGCUGUCCAAGUCUUCAAUGCCUGCCAGAAGAGGGUUUGCCGCCAUCUCUUUCUCAUCUGAGUAUCCGCUGUUGUCCUACCCUGGAGGAAAGGUAUAAGAAUAAAACGGGACAAGAUUGGGCAAAGAUAUCUCACAUUCCUUGCAUCGAGAUAGGGGAAGAAGUGAUCAUAUAAUAUGAGCUAUUCCAUAUUUCACGCUCAACCCUCAACUCUCAAAUCAAAGUCAGGUGAGGUAUGUGCCUUCUCUUACUUUAAAAAACUGCUUCUCUUCUUCUAAUUGAAUACAAAAACCAAAACACAUAUUCUCUUUCUCUUCCAAAAACCCAAAUACAUGUUGGACAUAGCCCAACGCUGUACUUUCAUAGGUACUGCAUGUAUAUUAUCUUAGUAUCAACAGGUGGUCUUAUGUGGACGAGAGAGAACAUUGAGGAAUUACAAAAUCUUCUUAGUGAAUUAAGCUUGCUUCAGCUCUGUUUGUCAUCCCUCUCAUUUUCUUUGUUAAGCCUUGGUUUUUUAUUAGGAGAUGAAUGCUUUUAUAUAUUGAUGUCGUAGUCAGUCUUCAACCACACUCCGUUUUUAGAAUUCGUUUAUGUUACUAGUGGAGUGCUGCUGUAUUUUAUAUUUCGUUCCUGUAAUGUUUGAUGUUUAGUUUGAGUAGUCUAGCUUAUCCAGUAGAUAACUCGUCCCCUGUUUUGUAAUGUUUUUGUUUCCUCUAAUGAAAGCAGGUUUUACUUAUCUUAAACUUUUAUUUUUAUUUUUAAAUAUCAGUAAUAACUGGGAAAGCUUGCAUCUCCUUAAAUUGCUCAUUCUUACAUCUUUUAUAGUUUGUCGAUCUUGGGCAAGUGGAGAGAGAGGCGUCAAGUGAUACACAACAACCAUUUUCUGUGAGCUAAUUUGAUAAUGAUAAAUGGUAUGCUUUCUUGUCUUAAGCUGUGUGUUCUGCAAUUAUUUAAAACAAAGAGUGCCGCGCUUCAAGUUCGAGGAAAACAGGUAUUUUAGGUUAGCUGUAUAAUUCGUGGUAAAUGCCUUUUUCUAAGGUUCAUUUAGACUCCUAUUACGAUUAAUUUGUUGUUUCUAAUUUGGACUUGUAGGAACAGACCAAAUAUGUUCACACGUGGCAUCGCUCAAGUCAUCAUCAUUUCCGACAGAAAAUCAGCCUUCAAGUGUCUGCUGAGUCAAUGAACCUUUCUAGAUAUAUCAAGUGCAAUGGAAAUUCAUGAGUUACAUAGAGAUUUGUAAACAUUUUGAAGAUUGCAACACCUGCAAGUGAGAUAGGUGGUGACGAAAUCAGAGCUGAUCUUGAAGCCUCUGAUGCCCCGGUUGUUGCAAGUUGCACCUGAGAACAUGUUUUUUUGGGGUAAAAAACUGGCAACAUGUUCGGAGCUGGCAAUUCAGUCAGUGAUGAAGUUGAGAAGCAAAGCUCCAGUAAGGAAAUUGGUCGAGGUCGCCACAGGGAUGAUUGAUGGUGAAAUGGAUGCUAUUUCUUAUUGCAGCCUGUUCUCAAAGUUCUUGUUGGCAAAUGCAAGAAAUGGAGUAUUUUGAUUGGAAGGAGAGAUAAUGACAUGUCUUGACAAUUCUAGAACAGCCCAUCUGAGUUCUUUUGUCAGGCUGCAUCAUUCAAUCCCGGCAAAUAUCCAGUUUCUGCUAAACAAUCACUUAUGGCAAGGCCAACUCUGGUAAACAAUUACAUUUUUUCUUUUGAGGAAUUUCACUUUGUCAUCAAACAGUAUUCUAAUGCAUUAUGGUAGCACUACACGCUUUUGUUGUAACAAAUUACAAUGAGGAAUUUGGAUUGAGGAAUUUGGAUUGAGUUUCUUUUAUGCUUUGUUUAGAUUAAAAAUAUCAGUUUCCUGUGUUAAUAACAUUACAGUUUUAUGGAAUGGUUUAUCUUGUUUUUCUGGACAAAAAUAUUUAGAGAAAUUUUCAGUAUAGCUUGUCCUUUAGAUUAAUUUCUCCUGUAGGGUGUUAAAGUUUGAUCUUUUUUUUUGUUUUUUGUUUUUUGUUUUUUGUUUUUGUUUUUUUUUGGUAAAUAAGUUUGAUCUAUUUAAAUUGAAUAGGGUGUGCAUGAGACAUUUUUCUUGGAAUAAUUUUUUAAUUGCAGUGGCAAAAAAAGGAAAAUAGUAGUCUUCAAAACGAAUCUUAAAUCCAGUUUCCUCUUCUUGGUCGUCACUCUUAGAAAUUGCUAACCAUAUAUAGCCUGGAGUAAGCACUGCACAAAACGGCAUACCAUCACAAAUCCUAAUUCCAUACAAUCUGUUGAAGGAAAAUGUGAUCCUCCUAAUAUAAUUUCACCACCACUAAUUAAAUAACGGGGUUUUAUUAUUUUAGGUUCGACCCAUUCGAGACGCAAGUCUCUUAAUUACAAUCCCUUGCUUCAAGGGAACACCCUUUGAUUCCAUCAUAAAGAAACAGAACGUUUGUGUUUGAUUUUGCAACUGCUCCCAAGUCCAACCUCAGGAUGCCUACGUAUCCCUUGCGGGAAUCAAGCCACUCGUAGUUCAAAGAAUCGCAAUGAAUAAAUGACUCAUUGCGAGGGAAAUUUGAUUUGAAUUGUACUGAGAAGUGUUUGAGUGAAUUUAGCUGAAUAAACCAGGGAUUCGAUAUGGGAUUGCAUUUGGGAUGGUUGCAUCUAGAUUGAAUCUCUAGAUUGCCUACGUACCCUUUCAAAGGGAUCAAACCAACGUAGUUCGGAAUUUGGAAAUCAACGGGCAAGUGUGGCCCACUAAUUGAGAAUUUCUGUUUAAGAGACUUGGAUUUAAUCUCAUUAGAGUUUUCAUGGGUAGAUGACCCAUGGAAAAUUGGAUGGUUUUGUACCACUUUCGUUGUUGUCCAUGUCCAAGAAAAAUAAUGAGUAAUUUUAAUUAUCCCAUUAAUUUUUCCUAAACAUUGACAAUUGCGUUUGGGGAUUUCCAUAGGUAGAUGACCUAUGGGAAAAUUUGGAAAUUAAUGGAUAAGUGUGGCCCACUAAUUAAGAAUUUGUAUUUGAGAGAUUUAGAAUUAAUCUCAAUGAAAUUUUGCAUGGGUAGAUGACCCAUGGGAAAUAUUAGAAAUUAAUGGGUAAGUGUAGCCCACUAAUUGAGAACUUGAAUUUGAGAGAUUUGAAUUUAAUCUCAAUGAAAUUUGUAUGGGUAGAUGACCCAUGAAAAAUUGAAUGGUUUUGUACCAUUUUUCUGGUUGUCAAUGUCCAAGAAAAAUAAUGAGUAAUUUUGAUUAUCCCAUUAAUUUUCCCUAAAAAAUUGACAAUUGCACUUGGGAAAGUGUUUUUUUUUGGCGAAAUCUGGUUAAGAUAAGCCAGAGAUUUAUACUUGAUUGCGGUUGCGUCUAUUGGGAUGUUAGACUGCCUACGUACCCUUGACGGGAUCAAACCGACGUAGUUCCAAAUUUAGGAAGUUAAUGGGUAACUGUGGCCCACUAAUUGAGAAUUUGUGUCUUUGGGACAAUUUGGAGAUUUUCAUAGGUAGAUGACCUAUGGAAAAAAUUGGAAAUUAACGGGUAAGUGUAGCCCACUAAUUAAGAAUUUGUGUUUGAGAUAUUUGAAUUUAAUCUCAUUUGGAAUUUGCAUGGGUAGAUGACCCAUGGAGAAAAUUGGAUGGUUUUAUACCAUUUUUCUUUUUGUCAAUGUCCAAGGAAAAUAAUGAGCAAUUUUGAUGAACCCACUAAUUCUCUACAAUUGACAUUUGCAUUUGUAUCCAUGCAUGAUUUGGAGGAUUUGAGAUUAAUGGGCUUUUUUGAUCAACAAAACCCAUUAAUCCAUAUUGAUGCUCCUUUAAAAUCUUUUGGGAGUUGAGCUUAAUGCUCCGCGUGUGACAAAUAAUUUAUUUGGACUGGAGUCACCGUCACAGCAUGGUUGAGUCACUUGGCACUCUUUUCUGAAUCGCUUCUUUGCCACAAUGGUUGAUUCCCACAUUUCUUAGUGUGGCUUUUGAAGUGGUUUUGUACCCCUUGACAUCUGGUGUGGUUUUGUACUACUUGAGUCUUCACUUGACGUUGAGUCUUCACUUGACGAUUUGAGAAUUAAUGGGCAUUUUUGGAAUUUAAGCCCAUAAUCCAUCAUUUGCGGACUUCAGGAAUUGGAGACUCAAAGGAAAUCUCAAACAAAGUGGCUGACGCCAUUUGACUUUUCUUCCCUUAUUUCGGUGCGAGUCUUCCUCUUCGUUUAUUUGUUGUUGCCAUGUGCAGCACCAAGCCAAUCCCUCUUUCGUCUUUCUUUGGUUUUGACUUGUUUUUUUUUUCUUUGUUUUUGGUUUGCUGCACAACACCAAGCUGCCAACAAGACGUGGCUAUCCUUUUUUCUUCAUUUUGUUUGUUUGUUGUUGCUAUGUGCAACAACACCAAGUUGCCAAAACGUGGCUGUCUUCAAUAACUUUUUUUUUUUUAGUUCACGUGUCUGUAUGGCAACAUCAGUGGUUUGAACAAGUUGGUUGUCUUGAGCCUUUCCUCCACCCCAUAUGACGAGCAGCAUUUCUUGACUUCCACAAGUCUGCAAAGGGAACUAGCCUUUUUCUUGAUGGUGGAUCAUUGUUAUCACAAAAAAAAUGAUAUUUGUGUGCCUUAUCCAGCUGGUUCUUUUCGGCUUGGUGCCAAAAGUAAAUGUCUUUUAAUUUGAUCAAGACACCCAAGGGAUAGAAAUUCUUCUCCAAGUGAAGUAUGGAUUAAACUCCUUAUUGAUUUGGAGCUGGUGGAUCAUCCAGUGAAGUAAACUUCUUGUCCACAUAGGAUUGGGUUGUCUUCCUUAUAAAAAGGAAAACAUGUGUGCACCAGCAAACAGCCACAAAACGAAAGUCUUAACAUUAUUCUUCGUUUGCUUCUCCAGACCAGCCCAUAGCUUUGCUCAAGCCACCUGUUGCACCAUCAAACAGAAGAGGAUUUCACGUGGUAACCCACAUGCCAUUCCUUAGUUCUUCUCUUUUAUUUUAUUUAUUGAUUGAACUAACUAGGAUUUUUUUGGCAUGGGCAGCAAUAGCUGUAGCAAUUGAAGAGCCUCCAAUUAAUUGGAUGCUUCCAGGCUGACUUGGAACCAAAAGAGACAAUUUCUCUUAUUGUCCUUUGUGUGCUGUAACCUUCCCAAGGUCAAUAACCCAAGACAAAGGGAAAGAGAAAUCAUCUUGCGUUUCACGUGGUAACCCACCCCUUGACAAAUGUCUUUUUUCUUUUGUCUGUUUCCAUGUUUCUGACCUCUUGUCUUCUCUUUUGUAUGUAGAGGCUGUGCUGCCAGCUUGAAGGCUUUGGAGUUUGGUGGAGGAAACCAUCUGUCAUUUUGCUUCAGAAACCCAAGAAAGAACUUGUGGUACUUGCUUUGCCAGCUCCUCUUUUUUUUUGUUUGCUAUUGCUGUACUUUUACCACUGCUCAUAUCCAUUUCUUUUACUCAAUUUCCAGUCAAAGAAACAUUCAAGAGGGGGAGGAGGGGCUGUGCGAUACAGCCCCCCUUUUUUUUUUAUUCCAUCACCUUUUUUUAUGUCCCUUGUUUUGUCUCUUUGCAUACAAAACACAAGAACAAAGUCAGCCACCAUUUUUUUACUCCAUUAUUUCUUCUUCCUUACUCCUUUUUUUCAAUCAAAGCAGACCAAUGGAACUAAUCUUUUUACCUUGAAAUGGCUCUUUCCUUUCUCAAGGCUGCUUGCUAAUUUUUCUUCUUGCUAUGACUGUUCUCCUUUCUGCUCUUUUUCUGUCCUCCUGCUGUUCUCCUCCCUUUCUUCCUUCUUUUUUUUUUCUCCUGCUGUUCUCCUCCCUGCGUUUUUUCUUUUUUUUUUUUUGUCCUCCCCUCGUGUCAUGCCUCUUAUAGAGGCUAUCUUAUGAUGAGUUUUAAUUCCAGCUGAUGACCACUUCUCAACUGAGAUACUUAUCUCUUGUUGUUUCAAAACCACUGAAAUACAUCUAUUUUAUUUUUAACUGUUUUUCUUGAUAAGAUUGCAGGGACAAAACAAAUUCAAUCCUAAACCAAGUCAAACUCUUGGCUAAUUAUUUUUUGUGAAAAUUUUCCGUUCAACAGAUGCCUUCUCAAGCGUUGUGCAUGAAAUGACUUUUUAUGUGCAACGCUUGAUAGCUUUUCCUUUGAACUGCGCAUCCCCUGACUUUUCUUGUAUUAAUUAAUUUUUUUUUUGGUUGAAAAAUUCAGGAAAUGGACGCGCAAGGUCGAUUCGGGUUUGAGCGAGUCUUUGAUUCGCAUGGUAGGGAAUUUGUCUCUGGCCCCCAAUAUGCGAGAUCACUGCCUUUGAGAUCUGUGAAGCUUAAUGUACCCCCUGAAGGCCGUGCAACCUGGUAUACCACCGCCUCCGUAAAUUCGGGGUAUCUUGAAUUCAAACCCCACGCAGAAGAUAAGGUGAUUUCAGUAUGCCAAACGCAUCGUGCUGUGUUUACCGCCCAUUGUUUGGAGGAUGUGAAUAAUGAAGUGGAUGGAGACAUGAAAUUCCAAAUCAAAGAUCUUCCCACACGUGAUGAUUUUUACCCCGCUUUGCAUAGAAUGAUCAAGAGUAAGUUGGAGUGGGGGCCCCAGUAUCAGUUCUAUGGCCGAGCCACUUUUGAAAUUGGCGUUGCGGAGUGGACAAAAUGCGUUAUGAGUGACUUUGGAGACAUAUUGCAUAAGGCAAAAAUAUAUUGUGCCGUAGCAAUUUCCCGAUAUCCUUACGAGUGUUGCCCAAAUAUAUGGAGAGCAUUUUGUGAAUUAUGGGGGCCCUUGUGCAACACCUUUCAUCAUGGCAAUGGUGAGAUGGGGAUUUCUCUCUAUGACAUGAAAGUCAUUUGUGGGUUGCCAAUCUUGGGAGAUGUCCAGUAUGAGGAAUUUAUUCCCCAAAAUAAAGACUUGCAACAAAAUGGAGCAUAUCCUCCGACUAUCACUGAACUUUUGAAGAUCCACUCCCAAUUAUGUAUUUAUCAUAAUCAGUCUACCGUCAGCUGGGCCCAAUGGAUUGGGCACUUUUAUCGGGCGAAGAUUAUUUAUAAGGCCUUUGGGAAUGGCAAGAGGAAACCUCAAGAUCAACUUUUAAGGGCUCCCGAAAUCACUUUACGUAUUUCAAAGGAAGGGGGGUUGGCUGCAUUCUUGGCACUUUGGUUGAGUAGAUUUGUGUUACCUUCCGUGGAUCGCAACGUCAGACCUGAAACUUUUCAUAUGGCAUGUUUGAUGGCACAAGGGGUCAGAGUUUCACUUGCACCACCUGUUUUGGGGUAUAUUUACCAUGGUCUUGGAGAAAUUGCCACUCACCCAGAAGGUCCCAGCUUGUCAAGUGCUUCCUUCCCAAUUCAUUAUGUUAUCGGUUGGUUAGGCGAACAUAUUCCAGGAUUGUACCUACCACAAACUGACAAGGAAUUUGUCAAAGACUACCCUUUUUUGGUGAGGUACGCGGGUGUUAAGCCAAAAGGUUUUAGGCUUAAUCAUGCCAGAAUUAUAUUCCGUAGUGACAAAGAAUUAAUCUAUCGCCCAACCACGUUUACUGAAGAUGAAGGCCGUUCCUUUGUUGACAAGAAGGCUCUAUCAGACAGAAAAUUUGAAUUUCUAGUUUGCACACGUUAUGCGCUUUUGCCGGUGAGGGUGAACAACAAUCUUUGGUUGGAACCAUACUACCCGAAUAGAUUCGCGCGUCAAUUUGGUUUUGACCAAGGUGUCCCUUCGAACAAGCUUUCCUUUAGCGUUCGUGACAGGUGCAAGUGUGGCAUGGAGGAUUUGGCCAUAGCACAAAUCACUUUACUUAGAAGAGAUACCACAGCUGGAUUUUAUAUCCCACGCUAUACUCGUGUUGGAGUUUGCACUUGGUGGUAUUGCAAAUGGUGGAUGGGGUCAUCAGCACCAUAUAUGGGAUUAUCUGUAGCUAGAAUUUUCUUGCCUUCUAGAAAACACCUCGAAAGGCACGAUAAUAUUUUUAUUGUUAGGCCGGAGAAUCAAGGCCCCACAAGUUGUCAAAAAGAGGUCUCCAACAAACGUCAUUCUUCGCGUAGUGACAACAACAAGAGUCCAAAACGAAUUCGAAGCCAGAAUCUUGACCAUCCAGUUGAUGAGGGAGUCAGUUCCUCCCAUGCCGAUGCUGCUACUCUUAUCAGAGACUUGGUUUUCCCCAUGAAUGACGGGCCAUCCGAACAAGGUAGUACCACGAACUUCCCAAGUGAAGCAGAUGAUGCUCAAGAAGUGAGCAAUGAACUGAAUGCUACAGUCGUUGCUCCUGAUGUGAGUAAUGAUCCAAAUGAGACAGACGAUAUUGUUGAAGAUGACUGCCCCUUGCCAUUGGUAGAAUACUUGCCCUCCUCACCUUAUGUGAAGAAUUUCAUUCACCGCAUUCUUGGUCCAAGUGUGGCUCCACGUAGGCGAAGGUUCAUUGCUGAGGAAAUGCAAGACAUCUUUGAUAGAAUUUCUUCUUCCAAAUCACCUAUAGACCUACUAGCUCACCGUGAUCAUAUUUUGGGGGCACUUGGUCUCUUGCGACCUAUGAUUAAUACCCUUGAAUCAGGCCAGGAUGAGUUUCAGGAAUUUGAAACGACUAUCCAACACAUUUUCGAGUUGGUCACUUCAUUUUCCAAGAACGUUGCCUUUGUGGGAGAACAUGCCCAUCUAGAUGUUGACCGCAUCAAUGCUUUGAUCACCCAAUAUGAGCAGUGCUUCGCUGCCAUAAAAACCAUGAGCGUGCAUCUAAUAGAACUUAAUAGUGAGCUUGCUGAUGUGAAUGCCACAGUGGUUGAUGUUGAAAAGGCAGAGAAGGAAGCUGAAGAGGCAGCAAGACGAGCUCAUGAAAUGCGACAACAGUUUGAAUCGAAGACAAGUGCCCUUAAAGAACGUGCAAACGAUUUGCAGCAAUCUUUAGACCAACAAUUCGAAAAGGAAAUUGGGCUUCGACAAGCUAGAAUUGAUGCCAAUGAAGCAAUGCUCCCAAAACUCAUAGAGGCACGGAACUUAGGCUUCACGCAAGAGAAAGAAAUUCGCCAGUUAGUUAGCUCAUUGAUUUCCCUUUGCAGUAGAGUGGAGUAGACUCCUUUUUCCAUUUUCUUUUCUUCUUCUUUUUUCCUUACCUCUUAGUUAUUGUAAACUCAUUCGUCCACCUUAACUAGUAUUGAAUGAAAAUUUUUUUAUUUUUUUAUUUUUUUAUUUUUUUAUUUUUUUAUUUUUUGUAUACAUACUCAUGCUAAUUUUUUGAGCACUUACAUCAUUUAGCAAAUUUGCCGCAUACAAAACUUGACUGGAUGAUAGGGUUUUUUUGGUGGUUUACGACUGCACUCAGCUUUUUUUACUUUUAAAAAAAAAGCUAAGUUGCCUACGUACCCUAUAAAGGGAUCAAGCCAUACGUAGUUCACCCCUUGAUUCUCAGGGGAAGAAAGGGACAAAUGGAUUUUGUGGCCGCAUCUAGUGGCAAGACUAGACUGCCUACGUACCCCUUUUGAGGGAUCAAGCCGCCGUAGUUCCUUUCCUUGGACUGCCCUCUCGGGUUUUCAGCCCACGAAGGUUUUUUUUUUUUUUUUUUUUUUUAGCUCUAACUUUUGCUUGGACCGCCCUUUUGGGUUUUCAGUCCAACGAGCCUUUUUUUUUUUUUUCUCCAUCAGGCAUAAAACUUCUUGACGAAUUUCCCAUUCACACAAGGGUAUACGCACUUGCCUUCGGCGUUUGACAACUCAUAGGCACCCCUGGAGAAAACCUUAGUAAUGACGUAGGGCCCCUCCCACUUGGGUUCAAACUUACCGUGCAUUUUCCUGGUAAUGACAAAUGGUCUUCGGACAGUUAAAACUAAAUCUCCAAUUGAGAAAGAUCUGAACUUAACUUUUCUAUUGAAUGCCCCUGCAACCUGAGCUUGAUAUAUUUCGAGCUUUUGUUGAGCUGCCAGUCUUUUCUCAUCGAGGGCUUCCAGCUCUGCCAGUCUCACAUAUGCGUUUUCGUCAGGUGUACAUCCUUAACGAUGGCAAUUGGACUUCUAACGGUAGAACAGCCUCGGAGCCAAACACCAAAUUGUAGGGUGUACAUCCUGUUGAAUUGCGUAUGGUCGUCCUAUAAGCCCAUAAUGCUUCAGGGAGGCGCUCAUGCCAGUCUCUUUUAUUUCCUGAGACCGCCUUCUUUAGGAUGUUGCACAGUACCUUAUUGAAAGCUUCAGCUUGACCGUUUGACGACGGAUUGUAACUCGCGGAAAACGAGUGUUGAAAUCUAUACUUCUCGCACAACUUGGUCAUGGACUUGCACUUGAAAUAUAAUGCAUUGUCGGAUAUUAUCUUCGAUGGAACCCCAUAACGGUAGAUGAUAUGAUUUCUUAUGAAGUUUGUGACAUCGUCUGCUCGUACCUCCUUUAAAGGAAUCGCUUCAGCCCAUUUAGAGAAGUAAUCGGUCGCGGCCAAGAUGUACUGAUGUUGACGUGAUGACUUAGGCUUUAUCAUGCCAAUAACAUCUAAUCCCCAAGCUUCAAAUGGCCAAGACAAAGUAGUCGGAUGUAAUUGUUGGGGUGGCUGGUGAAUAAAGUCUCCAUGUAACUGGCAAUCUUUGCAUGUGGUUGCAAAUUUUAUUGAGUCUUGGACCAUUGUUGGCCAGUAAUAACCCAAUCUCUUCAGUUGGUUUGAGAGUUUUGGACCAGCUUGAUGAGCACCGCAAGUGCCAGCAUGAGUAUCAUGAAAGGCCUUAGUUGAGUCUUGUUUCGACAGACACCUUAACAACAUACCAUCAAAUGAUCUUUUGUACAAGGUGUCAUUUAGGUACAGAAAUUGAGUGGCUCUGCGUCGGACUUCAGCCUUUUUCCUUGAGUCAUUUGGCAACUUGCCUUGUCGGAGAUACUCGAUUAUGGGAUGGCGCCAAUCAAGAUCAUCUGGUUCCCCCUCACAUUCGGAAGCCGUAAUGACGUUUGAAUCAACAACUUCCUCAAUUCUCUCUAUAGCUGGGAGUAGUAAGUGACGUUCCCCAACAGUGAUUUGGAUAUCCCUUUCAUCAGGUAGUGUUAACGAUGCAGCCAAAUUAGCUAGUGCAUCAGCUUUAUCAUUUUCCGACCUCGGGAUGUGACUAACAUGGAUGUCUUGGAACUGCGACAUGAGAUACUUUGCCCUUUCAUGGUAUGGGACGAGAGUAGUAUUCCUGACAGCGUAUUGGCCAUUCAACUGUCUAACGACUAACUGUGAAUCACCGUAUGCUUGCAAAUAAUCAAUAUGCAUCUCGAGAGCAAUUUCAAGGCCAAUGAUGAGUGCCUCGUAUUCUGCCACAUUAUUUGAACAUAAAGCUAGUAAAGAGAAUGAGUAUGGGAUUAAGCCCCCAGACGGCGUGAUGAAUACUACUCCUGCCCCAGCUCCUUUUCCUCUUGCUGCCCCAUCAAAAUAUAACUGCCAUAUAAGUGCUUCUGUCGUGAACACCUCUUCGUCGGGCAAAUCAUUAGAUAACUCCAUGUUGUCAGGAGUAGGAUGAGCAGCCAAGAAAUCAGCAAGAGCCUGCCCUUUGAUUGCCUUUUGUGGCACAAACUUUAUCUCGAACUCGGAGAGAAGGAGAGACCACUUGGCUAUUCGCCCAGAGAGCACAGGCUUGGACAUUAAAUAUCGGAGUGGAUCUGCCUUGGAAAUCAAAAUGACUCUAUGAGAGAGGAUGUAGUGUCGUAGUUUCUGUACAGCGAACACCAAAGCGAGGCAGACCUUUUCGAUCGGGGUGUAAUUUUGUUCUGCCCCUACGAGAGUUCUACUCAAGUAAUAUAACGCAUUUUCCUUUCCAUCCUCGUUGUGUUGGGCGAGCAAUGCACCUAAUGAGCGUUCUAAUGCCGCAAUGUAUAGGAUUAAAGGCUUCCCUUUGAUUGGCGCCAUUAGAACUGGCGGAUUUAACAGGUAUUGUUUAAUGCUUUCCAAAGCAUUUUGGCAUGCUUGAUCCCAUAUAAACGGAACAUCCUUCUUCAUUAGCCUUGAGAAUGGUUGACACCUUCCAGAGAGAUUUGAGAUGAAUCAUCGUAUGUAAGCUAGUCUUCCUUGCAGCCCCCGCAGCUCCCUUAAAUUUCGAGGGGGAGGCAUCUCACGGAUUGCCUUGAUUUUUGAGGGAUCAAUUUCAAUUCCACGAUGUCGGACGAUAAAGCCAAGGAAUCUACCAGAACUUACCCCAAAUGCACAUUUUAAGGGGUUCAUUUUCAACUGGUGCUUUCGGAGUCUAUCAAAAACUCGUUUUAAGUCCCUCAAAUGAUGUUCUCUUUUUCUGGUUUUGACAACCAAAUCAUCAACGUAGCAUUCAAUGGUAUUGUGAAGCAUGUCAUUGAAAAUUACCGUCAUGGCUCUUUGGUAAGUCGCCCCUGCAUUUUUCAACCCAAAAGGCAUCACAGUGUAGCAAUAUAUUCCUUUUGGAGUGCGGAAGGCAGUUUUCUCUUGAUCCUCUGGAGCCAUUUUUAUUUGGUUGUAACCUGAGAAUCCAUCCAUAAAUGAUAGAGCACCGAAACCGGUUGUUGCGUCUACCAAUAAUUCUGUAAUUGGGAGUGGAAACUCAUCUUUUGGGCAUGCAUCAUUGACGUCUCUAUAGUCCACACAUAUGCGUAGUGCCCCAGUUUUUUUGAGGACUGGGACGAUAUUGGACAACCAGGUGGGAUAUUGGACCUCUCUGAUAAAACCCGCGGCAAUAAGCUUGUCAAUCUCGAUUUCUAUUUGGAUUGUUAGCUCUGGCCGAAAACGGCGUGGAGCUUGCUUCACCCAUCGAGCCUCAUCCGGUAUCCCAAGUUUGUGAACUGCAACGUUUGGGUCUAAACCUGGCAUGUCUUGAUAACCCCAUGCAAAUACAUCUCGGUACUCUUGUAACAGUUGUGUGUAUUCUUCUAACUCUUGCGGUGUUAACAAAGCACUGACAAAGAUAGGCUUUGGGUUGUCAACCGUACCGAGAUUAAUUUCUUGCAGAUCAUCAAUUGUGGCUUGACCUCCCUCCUCCAUUUGUGGUGGAGCUGGUUGGACUAUGUCGAUGAAUUCCUCAAUAUCUUGAGGACUAUCAUCUUGGUCCACUGUUUCUUCGCAAGAGGUGCAAUUGACCUGGACAAGGUCAUCCUUUAUUUUCACCCUUUUGAUCGUUUCGAUCACAGCUUUCUCUUGACUCUUAACUUUCCAUUUCCUUUUAUUAUGGACCUUUCCUUGUUGAGAACUGGAAGGGUUCUCCAAGCGUUGAAAGACUGAGAUGCGGGGUGGUUGUCUGCCCCCUAGGCGUUUGAACACGGAGAUGCGAAUCGGCUUUAUAUUCACCUCAUCUUCUCUAAACAUGGCUUGUUCCAUAUUAGUGAGUAUCUCAGGCUCGGAGGCUUCUAGAUGUGGCCUUCGAAGAGCCACUUUGAGUCCACUACUCUCAUUUUGAACUGUGAGGCCAACAUUGCUUUUCUUUGCUUUUCGGCCUUUAAGUUCUAUCUUUAAUGGAGCAGAUGUUGUUUCUGACAAUGAUGCCUUUUUGUGAAAAACUACACGUUUACUUGGGCCAUCGUUUUUGCCAAAAGUAGUCUAAAUGACCAAACUGCCCCCAGGGAUAGACUGAUUGAUCUUACGAAGAGGACGAGUGUAACUUGCUGUUAUCAGUGACUCCAUUGUUUGUUUCAAUGAGCUUGUUUCCUUUUCACUAGGCUCCUUUUUUGAAGUCUUCACAAUUAUCUUUGGCUUGGGAGCCCUUGCAGUCGGGACUUCUCCCACUUUUGAGGAUGACGCACCACGAGGUUUUAGCUUCACUCGGAUUACUUUUGAAGGUUUAGAUACUUCUACAUUUUGGGCUUUUCCUGUUUCAACAGUCGCUCUUUUCUCUUUAUCAACCUUUGAUGGCUGUGUAAAUGAGAGACCAAGUGGGCUGUAAAACUUCGCAUCAGAGUAAUUUACCUCUUCCCCUUUGAACGGGUCCAUGUCAGCUGAAACACUCUUGACUUCCCCAUCCACCAAGUAUUUAAAGCACUGGUGAAGUGUAGAAGGGACUACGCCAUAUGUAUGGAGCCAUGGACGUCCUAGCAGGACGUUGUAUGAAGUAUCAGCCUCGAUCACAUGGAAUAGGGCGUCUGAAUAUAAGUCUCCUAUUUCCAUUUGCAAUGCGAUAGAGCCCAUGGCCUUUUGCCCAAGUUGAUUGAACCCUUGAAUAGUCAACAUAGAGGGAGACAACUGUCGGGCACUCAUCCCUAUAGCAUGGAGCGUCUUUAAUGGGAUAAUAUUCACGGCCGAACCACAAUCUAACAAGAUUCGAUUAAUGGUUGUGCCUCCAACUUCGCCAGUGACAUACAGAGGUCGAUUAUGGAAUUUGGACCCAAGUAAAAAGUCAUCUUCACCAAAGGUAAUUGCUGCCAGACAUGAUGCACAAAACUUCGAUGUUUCAGUUGUGUGGACAUCUGCUGAUUUGAAACAUGACUUAUACAAAUCUGGGUUCAUUAAAGCCAUUACAAGUGCCUCCCUAAGUUCCCUCGACAUUUGUAAAGCGUCGUAGACACUUAGAGGAGCGGGGAUGCGCUUAAGAUGAGCUAGAAUAUCAUACUUAACUAUAUGUGAUUGUGAUGGCUCCUUUGCUUUACUAGUAUCGGGCUUAGAAUCCUUUGCUUUUGGAGAGGAAGGUGGAACUUCCCCUGCAACAGUUUUUCCUGACAAGAAGACCUUAAUCUCUUUCGCCUUUGGCUUCUUCUCGGUUUUAGAGGGAUCAACUUCCUCAUUUUGUUGUGCUUUAUCAGCAGAUGGGAUGCUUCGACCGGAGCGGAGAUUAACCUCAUCAACUUCUGUGUCGACCUCAUAUUCCUCCAAAGAAACCAUGUUGCAUUGAAUGAUUUCUUCCUCACCUUCAGAUUCACUCGAGAAAAACUCAACUGGCAAAAACUCAGUGAGUGUGACAGGGACCCUUGCGGGUUGCUCAUAUUCAUCUUCUUGGGUGAUUUGAACUUUCUUUUGCACUCUCUUCUUCCUCCUCUUAUUUUUCAAGGGUGGCAUGCCUCGAAUCUUGACACCCGGACGAGUCGUAAAUCUGUGAUUGGGUGGGAGAUAUUUAGCCAUGUGCUUGGCCCUUUUAACAAAUGUCGUCCACCCCUCAGCAAAUUCGUCGGUUGAAGAAUCUUCCCAUAUUUCUAGACUAGGGGCAGCCACGAGCUCAUGAAGAGUAGGAAUUUGAAGAUCAUUAGACCAUGGUGCCUUCGGACAAGUAUGUACGAUUGUACCCCGAUGGUCGGUACUAAUACCUGCAAUUUUCGCUCCAUCUAGUAAUGCAGUGAUGGGUGUGAGCUUUUCUUCUAUCAUAUUUGCCGUAGCUGAAUGAUGUCGGGAAGAGGAGUCUAUCUCCAAGCCGCCAUUGUUGAGGAGCUCUUGGAUUUUAUCCUUCAGGAUAUAACAAUCCUUGAGCGUAUGACUGACAAGGCGAUGAUAUCGACAAUACCUAGGGUCAUCUGUCUUGUUGGCCUCAGCAGGACGUUUUGAUUCUGGCAGAGCAAUAGCAUUGGAGGCCAGAAGUUGGUCAAAGAUUGCUUCUACAUCAUCAUCAUCAAAAGAAUAUUUGACCUCUUUGCGUUCUUUAAGAGUUAGCCUUUUAGGUGGGUCUUUGUUUUGGCCUUUGUCAUUUUUCUUUUCAGUUUUGACGAAAGUGGCCAACGACUCUCCUUUCAUGGACUUCUUGUCAUUUUUCUUUUCCCCAAAUUGAAUUUUUUGGGACGCGGACUUUUGGCGAGCAAUUUGUCUUUCAACAUUGCUCGCCUUUGACACCAAAGCGUCAAAUGAUUAGGGUUCAGCAGUGGCGACAAAAGUCGCAAUGUCUGGCAUGAGGUUAUUGUAGCACAUUUGCACUGCUGAUAGCUCAGUAAUUUUCUCAGGGCAUUGAAGAUUGAGACUCCUCCAUCUCAUAAUAAAGUCAUUAGCACUUUCCCCUGGCUUUUGGGCAGUUUGAGCUAGGUCCAUGAUCGAGACCUUCUUUUUAGAACUGACAAAUUGUGCCAAAAAUGCUUUUUGCAUGUCGUCCCACGUCAAGAUAGAGCCUGGCGGUAGCUGUGUAUACCAAGUGAAAGCUGAUCCUUUUAGGGAUUGGACAAAUUGACGCACCAGGAGAGCGUCUGACUGAGAUGUCUCGCCACAUGCUAAGUAAAAAUGUGCCAGAUGUUCAUGGGGUGAGCUAUUUAUGCCAUCAAAUUUAUCAAAUAUGGGCCGUUGAUAACCCUUCGGGAAUGGUAUGGCGUCAUAGUGAGAAGGGAAGGGUUUUCGGUACCCUUGAACAGGAAGCGCUAUGGACAAUUGGAACUCACGAAUCCCCUCAGCAAUUAAUGCCUUCAUGUCGUUUGGGGAAAUUGUGCUUGUAGAGCUCUCUGCUUUUUCCUCUUUUGUUUGUUGUUCAUGGGUCAUCGAUUCAUUUGUUUUGCCCCUGUCUUGCUCUCCUAUGACGGCUUUCCCUUUCAACUUAGCUGAUAGUAACGCUAUUUCCGCGUCUUUCUCUGCUAACUUCUGCUGCAUUUCCUUUCGCAAGUCUUGCAUCAUCUCUUGGAUUAAGGGCAACUGGUCCUCAGUAUUAGAAGUACCAGUCAUCAUGACUUGCAUGCUUUCCACCCCGUCAUGAAGUUUGGCCCCUUGGGAUACUACACAAUCAUUCUCUUGAUUUUGAGAUACAGGAUCAUCAUAAAGAGGAUUCCAUUGCAAAUAAUCGUCCAAACGGGUUGAGUUUGGAGCGGAUAACUCGGGAAUAGUCAUCCCCAUCAUGUCUCGGGAUUUGGAACGAGUCAAUGGACCCAUGUAGGGCCUUGACAGCUCUUGAGAUUUCGGGACUCCCCCUUGUGAUACGGGAUUUUGAUCCCUUGAAGCAUCAGUUGUCGUCACCUUUUGCAUACGCCUUCUUUGUGGAUGAGGUAUAUUCACCACCUUCUUCUCCAUGAUGAUGGCUUUGUUUUUACCCUUAGAAGAGCACGGGUAAACCUCUUGUGAUAUGGAUUCCACAGCGUGGGUUUUUGGACUUGACGGAGGUUCGGCCCCCUGGGCCUCAGCGUUCUCCACAGAGUCGUCCUUUUGACCUUUCUCACUAGUUUCAUUGGUGGAAGUCAUCAGAACAGAAUCUGUAGGAUAUAGGUCGACCGGGAUUGAUCCAAUCAUGAUUUGGACCAAUUGGGUAGCAUUUGUCCUCUUGGAAGUCGGCACAGCCAGGGUGCUCGAGGUGUUCUUGCCUUCAGUCACAAACGGGCUUGUCCCCGAAAGCUCAACCAAAACUGCCUCAAUAGACUCCCUCUUUGCUUCUUUCUUUCCUAAAGCACGCGCAGCCCUCUUUCUUGCAUUUCGGAGAGCGUUCUUGGAAGGUGCUUUCUUCAAUUGGGUCUUGACAACCUUAGGAGUGACCUGAGGCUUGACCCUCUGAAUGGGCUUUGGAACGGCGCACUUGAUGAGGCUCUCACCAACAAUGAAAGUCUUUUUGAACCCCACUCGUUUGGUGCACGCAUUCCAGGUAGCUUCGAUCUUGUGGAAGAAAAUUGUAACUUGUGGUGCCAUCGAAUAUGGUUUUGUUAACCUGUGGCAUACACAAAAAUAAAAACAUUAGUCACUUUAUGAUUGGAGAUGAAAAGGUAAAUGGAUCCCACCGGGCGUGCCAAAAAUUAUGUUGAAGGAAAAUGUGAUCCUCCUAAUAUAAUUUCACCACCACUAAUUAAAUAACGGGGUUUUAUUAUUUUAGGUUCGACCCAUUCGAGACGCAAGUCUCUUAAUUACAAUCCCUUGCUUCAAGGGAACACCCUUUGAUUCCAUCAUAAAGAAACAGAACGUUUGUGUUUGAUUUUGCAACUGCUCCCAAGUCCAACCUCAGGAUGCCUACGUAUCCCUUGCGGGAAUCAAGCCACUCGUAGUUCAAAGAAUCGCAAUGAAUAAAUGACUCAUUGCGAGGGAAAUUUGAUUUGAAUUGUACUGAGAAGUGUUUGAGUGAAUUUAGCUGAAUAAACCAGGGAUUCGAUAUGGGAUUGCAUUUGGGAUGGUUGCAUCUAGAUUGAAUCUCUAGAUUGCCUACGUACCCUUUCAAAGGGAUCAAACCAACGUAGUUCGGAAUUUGGAAAUCAACGGGCAAGUGUGGCCCACUAAUUGAGAAUUUCUGUUUAAGAGACUUGGAUUUAAUCUCAUUAGAGUUUUCAUGGGUAGAUGACCCAUGGAAAAUUGGAUGGUUUUGUACCACUUUCGUUGUUGUCCAUGUCCAAGAAAAAUAAUGAGUAAUUUUAAUUAUCCCAUUAAUUUUUCCUAAACAUUGACAAUUGCGUUUGGGGAUUUCCAUAGGUAGAUGACCUAUGGGAAAAUUUGGAAAUUAAUGGAUAAGUGUGGCCCACUAAUUAAGAAUUUGUAUUUGAGAGAUUUAGAAUUACUCUCAAUGAAAUUUUGCAUGGGUAGAUGACCCAUGGGAAAUAUUAGAAAUUAAUGGGUAAGUGUAGCCCACUAAUUGAGAACUUGAAUUUGAGAGAUUUGAAUUUAAUCUCAAUGAAAUUUGUAUGGGUAGAUGACCCAUGAAAAAUUGAAUGGUUUUGUACCAUUUUUCUGGUUGUCAAUGUCCAAGAAAAAUAAUGAGUAAUUUUGAUUAUCCCAUUAAUUUUCCCUAAAAAAUUGACAAUUGCACUUGGGAAAGUGUUUUUUUUUGGCGAAAUCUGGUUAAGAUAAGCCAGAGAUUUAUACUUGAUUGCGGUUGCGUCUAUUGGGAUGUUAGACUGCCUACGUACCCUUGACGGGAUCAAACCGACGUAGUUCCAAAUUUAGGAAGUUAAUGGGUAACUGUGGCCCACUAAUUGAGAAUUUGUGUCUUUGGGACAAUUUGGAGAUUUUCAUAGGUAGAUGACCUAUGGAAAAAAUUGGAAAUUAACGGGUAAGUGUAGCCCACUAAUUAAGAAUUUGUGUUUGAGAUAUUUGAAUUUAAUCUCAUUUGGAAUUUGCAUGGGUAGAUGACCCAUGGAGAAAAUUGGAUGGUUUUAUACCAUUUUUCUUUUUGUCAAUGUCCAAGGAAAAUAAUGAGCAAUUUUGAUGAACCCACUAAUUCUCUACAAUUGACAUUUGCAUUUGUAUCCAUGCAUGAUUUGGAGGAUUUGAGAUUAAUGGGCUUUUUUGAUCAACAAAACCCAUUAAUCCAUAUUGAUGCUCCUUUAAAAUCUUUUGGGAGUUGAGCUUAAUGCUCCGCGUGUGACAAAUAAUUUAUUUGGACUGGAGUCACCGUCACAGCAUGGUUGAGUCACUUGGCACUCUUUUCUGAAUCGCUUCUUUGCCACAAUGGUUGAUUCCCACAUUUCUUAGUGUGGCUUUUGAAGUGGUUUUGUACCCCUUGACAUCUGGUGUGGUUUUGUACUACUUGAGUCUUCACUUGACGUUGAGUCUUCACUUGACGAUUUGAGAAUUAAUGGGCAUUUUUGGAAUUUAAGCCCAUAAUCCAUCAUUUGCGGACUUCAGGAAUUGGAGACUCAAAGGAAAUCUCAAACAAAGUGGCUGACGCCAUUUGACUUUUCUUCCCUUAUUUCGGUGCGAGUCUUCCUCUUCGUUUAUUUGUUGUUGCCAUGUGCAGCACCAAGCCAAUCCCUCUUUCGUCUUUCUUUGGUUUUGACUUGUUUUUUUUUUCUUUGUUUUUGGUUUGCUGCACAACACCAAGCUGCCAACAAGACGUGGCUAUCCUUUUUUCUUCAUUUUGUUUGUUUGUUGUUGCUAUGUGCAACAACACCAAGUUGCCAAAACGUGGCUGUCUUCAAUAACUUUUUUUUUUUUAGUUCACGUGUCUGUAUGGCAACAUCAGUGGUUUGAACAAGUUGGUUGUCUUGAGCCUUUCCUCCACCCCAUAUGACGAGCAGCAUUUCUUGACUUCCACAAGUCUGCAAAGGGAACUAGCCUUUUUCUUGAUGGUGGAUCAUUGUUAUCACAAAAAAAAUGAUAUUUGUGUGCCUUAUCCAGCUGGUUCUUUUCGGCUUGGUGCCAAAAGUAAAUGUCUUUUAAUUUGAUCAAGACACCCAAGGGAUAGAAAUUCUUCUCCAAGUGAAGUAUGGAUUAAACUCCUUAUUGAUUUGGAGCUGGUGGAUCAUCCAGUGAAGUAAACUUCUUGUCCACAUAGGAUUGGGUUGUCUUCCUUAUAAAAAGGAAAACAUGUGUGCACCAGCAAACAGCCACAAAACGAAAGUCUUAACAUUAUUCUUCGUUUGCUUCUCCAGACCAGCCCAUAGCUUUGCUCAAGCCACUUGUUGCACCAUCAAACAGAAGAGGAUUUCACGUGGUAACCCACAUGCCAUUCCUUAGUUCUUCUCUUUUAUUUUAUUUAUUGAUUGAACUAACUAGGAUUUUUUUGGCAUGGGCAGCAAUAGCUGUAGCAAUUGAAGAGCCUCCAAUUAAUUGGAUGCUUCCGGGCUGACUUGGAACCAAAAGAGACAAUUUCUCUUAUUGUCCUUUGUGUGCUGUAACCUUCCCAAGGUCAAUAACCCAAGACAAAGGGAAAGAGAAAUCAUCUUGCCUUUCACGUGGUAACCCACCCCUUGACAAAUGUCUUUUUUCUUUUGUCUGUUUCCAUGUUUCUGACCUCUUGUCUUCUCUUUUGUAUGUAGAGGCUGUGCUGCCAGCUUGAAGGCUUUGGAGUUUGGUGGAGGAAACCAUCUGUCAUUUUGCUUCAGAAACCCAAGAAAGAACUUGUGGUACUUGCUUUGCCAGCUCCUCUUUUUUUUUGUUUGCUAUUGCUGUACUUUUACCACUGCUCAUAUCCAUUUCUUUUACUCAAUUUCCAGUCAAAGAAACAUUCAAGAGGGGGAGGAGGGGCUGUGCGAUACAGCCCCCCUUUUUUUUUAUUCCAUCACCUUUUUUUAUGUCCCUUGUUUUGUCUCUUUGCAAACAAAACACAAGAACAAAGUCAGCCACCAUUUUUUUACUCCAUUAUUUCUUCUUCCUUACUCCUUUUUUUCAAUCAAAGCAGACCAACAGAGGGAGGGAGGGCUGUGCGUCACAGCCCCCCUUUUAUUUAUUUUUUUUUUCAACUCCUCUUUGCAGCAAAACACAAGAAGCAAACCCACCAUUUUCUUUUGCUCCAUUACCUCUCCCUCCGCUGGCUCUCUUCUCCUUCUCUUUUUGUCUUUUUUUCCUUCUUUGUUGACUUGCUGGCGGCAGCUGCCCAUAGGGAGGCAAUUCAAUUGCCGUGCGCCCCUUUUGGUUUCGGAUGCUUCAUACAAGCCUUCUCUCUUUUGAUUUUGAUCCCAUGGUGGGUUCAUCUCUACAUCCAUGAUUUGAGGGAUUCUUUGCUCCUGGAAGAGCUUAUUUGAUGGUGCAUGAUGGAAUAGACUAUGCCAUAAAACAUGAUGAUUGAAAUCAUCAUGUAAGGCAAACUUGAAAACACUGCUGGAGUUCUUUGAGCGGAGCCAAGCCUCGGAGAGAUUCUUCCUUGGUUAUGAUGAUUUCAAUCAUCAUAGCCAAGAAUUUAUGUGGACCUUUUUAUGAUGAUAGAAAUCAUCAUGGUCAGGAACCCUUGAGUUGAAUGGAACCUGAAAUCUUGAGCAAAAAAUCAGAACAUGGUGCCAUGGAACUAAUCUUUUUACCUUGAAAUGGCUCUUUCCUUUCUCAAGGCUGCUUGCUAAUUUUUCUUCUUGCUAUGACUGUUCUCCUUUCUGCUCUUUUUCUGUCCUCCUGCUGUUCUCCUCCCUUUCUUCCUUCUUUUUUUUUUCUCCUGCUGUUCUCCUCCCUGCGUUUUUUCUUUUUUUUUUUUUGUCCUCCCCUCGUGUCAUGCCUCUUAUAGAGGCUAUCUUAUGAUGAGUUUUAAUUCCAGCUGAUGACCACUUCUCAACUGAGAUACUUAUCUCUUGUUGUUUCAAAACCACUGAAAUACAUCUAUUUUAUUUUUAAAUGUUUUUCUUGAUAAGAUUGCAGGGACAAAACAAAUUCAAUCCUAAACCAAGUCAAACUCUUGGCUAAUUGUUUUUUGUGAAAAUUUUCCGUUCAACAGAUGCCUUCUCAAGCGUUGUGCAUGAAAUGACUUUUUAUGUGCAACGCUUGAUAGCUUUUCCUUUGAACUGCGCAUCCCCUGACUUUUCUUGUAUUAAUUAAUUUUUUUUUUGGUUGAAAAAUUCAGGAAAUGGACGCGCAAGGUCGAUUCGGGUUUGAGCGAGUCUUUGAUUCGCAUGGUAGGGAAUUUGUCUCUGGCCCCCAAUAUGCGAGAUCACUGCCUUUGAGAUCUGUGAAGCUUAAUGUACCCCCUGAAGGCCGUGCAACCUGGUAUACCACCGCCUCCGUAAAUUCGGGGUAUCUUGAAUUCAAACCCCACGCAGAAGAUAAGGUGAUUUCAGUAUGCCAAACGCAUCGUGCUGUGUUUACCGCCCAUUGUUUGGAGGAUGUGAAUAAUGAAGUGGAUGGAGACAUGAAAUUCCAAAUCAAAGAUCUUCCCACACGUGAUGAUUUUUACCCCGCUUUGCAUAGAAUGAUCAAGAGUAAGUUGGAGUGGGGGCCCCAGUAUCAGUUCUAUGGCCGAGCCACUUUUGAAAUUGGCGUUGCGGAGUGGACAAAAUGCGUUAUGAGUGACUUUGGAGACAUAUUGCAUAAGGCAAAAAUAUAUUGUGCCGUAGCAAUUUCCCGAUAUCCUUACGAGUGUUGCCCAAAUAUAUGGAGAGCAUUUUGUGAAUUAUGGGGGCCCUUGUGCAACACCUUUCAUCAUGGCAAUGGUGAGAUGGGGAUUUCUCUCUAUGACAUGAAAGUCAUUUGUGGGUUGCCAAUCUUGGGAGAUGUCCAGUAUGAGGAAUUUAUUCCCCAAAAUAAAGACUUGCAACAAAAUGGAGCAUAUCCUCCGACUAUCACUGAACUUUUGAAGAUCCACUCCCAAUUAUGUAUUUAUCAUAAUCAGUCUACCGUCAGCUGGGCCCAAUGGAUUGGGCACUUUUAUCGGGCGAAGAUUAUUUAUAAGGCCUUUGGGAAUGGCAAGAGGAAACCUCAAGAUCAACUUUUAAGGGCUCCCGAAAUCACUUUACGUAUUUCAAAGGAAGGGGGGUUGGCUGCAUUCUUGGCACUUUGGUUGAGUAGAUUUGUGUUACCUUCCGUGGAUCGCAACGUCAGACCUGAAACUUUUCAUAUGGCAUGUUUGAUGGCACAAGGGGUCAGAGUUUCACUUGCACCACCUGUUUUGGGGUAUAUUUACCAUGGUCUUGGAGAAAUUGCCACUCACCCAGAAGGUCCCAGCUUGUCAAGUGCUUCCUUCCCAAUUCAUUAUGUUAUCGGUUGGUUAGGCGAACAUAUUCCAGGAUUGUACCUACCACAAACUGACAAGGAAUUUGUCAAAGACUACCCUUUUUUGGUGAGGUACGCGGGUGUUAAGCCAAAAGGUUUUAGGCUUAAUCAUGCCAGAAUUAUAUUCCGUAGUGACAAAGAAUUAAUCUAUCGCCCAACCACGUUUACUGAAGAUGAAGGCCGUUCCUUUGUUGACAAGAAGGCUCUAUCAGACAGAAAAUUUGAAUUUCUAGUUUGCACACGUUAUGCGCUUUUGCCGGUGAGGGUGAACAACAAUCUUUGGUUGGAACCAUACUACCCGAAUAGAUUCGCGCGUCAAUUUGGUUUUGACCAAGGUGUCCCUUCGAACAAGCUUUCCUUUAGCGUUCGUGACAGGUGCAAGUGUGGCAUGGAGGAUUUGGCCAUAGCACAAAUCACUUUACUUAGAAGAGAUACCACAGCUGGAUUUUAUAUCCCACGCUAUACUCGUGUUGGAGUUUGCACUUGGUGGUAUUGCAAAUGGUGGAUGGGGUCAUCAGCACUAUAUAUGGGAUUAUCUGUAGCUAGAAUUUUCUUGCCUUCUAGAAAACACCUCGAAAGGCACGAUAAUAUUUUUAUUGUUAGGCCGGAGAAUCAAGGCCCCACAAGUUGUCAAAAAGAGGUCUCCAACAAACGUCAUUCUUCGCGUAGUGACAACAACAAGAGUCCAAAACGAAUUCGAAGCCAGAAUCUUGACCAUCCAGUUGAUGAGGGAGUCAGUUCCUCCCAUGCCGAUGCUGCUACUCUUAUCAGAGACUUGGUUUUCCCCAUGAAUGACGGGCCAUCCGAACAAGGUAGUACCACGAACUUCCCAAGUGAAGCAGAUGAUGCUCAAGAAGUGAGCAAUGAACUGAAUGCUACAGUCGUUGCUCCUGAUGUGAGUAAUGAUCCAAAUGAGACAGACGAUAUUGUUGAAGAUGACUGCCCCUUGCCAUUGGUAGAAUACUUGCCCUCCUCACCUUAUGUGAAGAAUUUCAUUCACCGCAUUCUUGGUCCAAGUGUGGCUCCACGUAGGCGAAGGUUCAUUGCUGAGGAAAUGCAAGACAUCUUUGAUAGAAUUUCUUCUUCCAAAUCACCUAUAGACCUACUAGCUCACCGUGAUCAUAUUUUGGGGGCACUUGGUCUCUUGCGACCUAUGAUUAAUACCCUUGAAUCAGGCCAGGAUGAGUUUCAGGAAUUUGAAACGACUAUCCAACACAUUUUCGAGUUGGUCACUUCAUUUUCCAAGAACGUUGCCUUUGUGGGAGAACAUGCCCAUCUAGAUGUUGACCGCAUCAAUGCUUUGAUCACCCAAUAUGAGCAGUGCUUCGCUGCCAUAAAAACCAUGAGCGUGCAUCUAAUAGAACUUAAUAGUGAGCUUGCUGAUGUGAAUGCCACAGUGGUUGAUGUUGAAAAGGCAGAGAAGGAAGCUGAAGAGGCAGCAAGACGAGCUCAUGAAAUGCGACAACAGUUUGAAUCGAAGACAAGUGCCCUUAAAGAACGUGCAAACGAUUUGCAGCAAUCUUUAGACCAACAAUUCGAAAAGGAAAUUGGGCUUCGACAAUAGUCGCAUUUUCUUAGAAUCCAAACGGAGCCAAAAUUAAAAGAAAAUCAAACAAAAACAAAAAUUAGGAGGAUGAUGACUGACUUGUUGAGGAGGCGCAUACUCGGACUGGUACUCUUCCUCGUUUCUGAGGAUUCUGAGGAUGUUAGCUUCCAUGGGCGACUUGGGAAGUGUCUCAGACGCGUAAGGUCUGUUUUGGAAGAAAAAGGCUGAGAUUGCUUUCCGCAGUUGCAGCGGAGGAUUUCGGUGGUGUUGAAUGCCAUUGGUUUCCUUUAACAAAUGGGUAAGUUUCUGAUUUUGUGCAGAGUUUGGUUCCCUAUCACCAAAAGAUCAACAUUCAAAGUCAAUCUCCCACCAUCUGCCACUGUCAUCCUUCCCUAAAUUAUCAUUCACUCCACCACCAACAAUGCCUUCAAUUUCCUCCUCUUCGCUUUCACCAUCAAUCUCAUCAUCCCAGUUAUGCACACUUUGGUCCUCAUCUGGCUUGUACGUCUACUCCAAUCUCUUCAACACAUCACGGUCUUUCCAUUUCCCCACAACCGACACUGCCUCCUUCUUCGCCUUCCCAAUUAGAAUUUCGUUCCAAGAAAACCCCGAAUCCGCAACCUUCUUCAGAGCCCCGUCGCCAAAUCCCCCAUAACCACCGUCUUGAGGCAUCUCAGCUUGGCCUCCAUCACAACAUCCACGAAAUCCAAAUCAUCCGACACAAGCAUCAAACACUCAGCUCUCCUGUGAUCCAUCAUAUCCACAAUGUGAUUCCUCAAUGCAGCAUCCGCCCUCUGAGGUUUAUCCACCACGCUCCGAACCCAAAACCAGCCCGCUUCACCUCAUCCGCCAAACCCCUCCCUGCCUUGGGUGUCAAAACAUCCCUUGCAGCAUUCUUAUACUUUUCCAUCUUCAUUGAAUACUUACCAACCAGCUUCACCCUCCUGCUCCCUCUAGCAGACUCAAUCUGGCUCAACCUCUUCAUAUGCUCUUUUUCAUGAAUCUUAAAGUGGUUCAAAAGCUUCUCAUUAGUAUAAAAUCUCCUCCCGCAAACCCUACAAACGUUCAGUUCACCAUCCCUAAUCACAACCCUGUUCCUCUCUUUCCUUUCCCUAACAACCUGUGGAACAUAAUCAAGUGCAUGGCGGUUUGCAUAUGCUAUCAUAUGCCGAACAAGCCUGAAAGACGAAGCUGCCGUCUUGAGCUUAACGGCAGCUUCGUAGGGCGAGACUGAUUUGGGUGGUUUGGUAUCCAAAUCCCAGAAAAUCGCAAUUUCUGGAAUUUUUUCGGGUGGCAAACACGAUGUUGGGCUCGAAGAAUUAAAACCCGGUUCUGAUUGGAAAUGGCAAUAUCUAAUCAACAGGGUAAAUGGGUUUAGGGUUUCUGACCUUUUGGAUUGAACUGUACAGAAAAUGUGGUGAAAUUUGAGAUGUUUAAGCAUUUCCACGGGUUUCAAGGUCGGUGUUUUUUAUUUUCGAUGAACUGCAAAAAGAAACAAGAGACCAAUAAACGAUAAUAGAGAAACCAGAGGAAACAGAGAGCCUUGUGAACUUGAAGCUUACGAGUAAGCAUUGAGUUUUCGCCGAGUUCGGCUCGUAUGAAUGUGACUUGGUUUUUUAGCGGGUUUUUCCUUUUUCUCGUAAAUUCGUUUUAAAACCCGAUUUUACAAAUUCGCUAAUUUUUCCUUCCUCUAUAAACUCAAAAUGGAAAAACAAUUUCACUAAACUCAACCAAAAAAAAAAAGAAGAAUUUAUCUUGCCUAUCCUCUCUCUAGAAUGCUAGGUAUGAUGAAUAUGGCUUUUUUUAUCUUUUUAAUUCUUUAAGUUUUAGUAACGAUUGUGAUGAAAAUUAUACUUAAAAAAUAGUAAAAGAUAACAGUGAACAAAGCCAAACAAUCCAAAUAGUAAUAUAAACCCAAAUAUUAAAUUGCACUGAAAUUUCGUACCUGGAGGCAACUGAGGAAUGGGAUCAGGCAGAGAGAAAGGUUCAGGCUCUGGAUCAGGCAAAAAUCAAAGCUUUUUACUCUGAAGGCGCUCACGAAGGCCAGAUACGCCGUGAGAGAAGGAGACUUGGGGCAAUUCCUUCAAAUUGUACACAUGUUUUCUUUGAGAAGCAAAGCUCUAGUAAUAAGGAAGUUGGUCGAGGUCGUGACAGGGAUGAUUGAUGGUGUGAAAUGGAUGCUAUUUCUUAUGGCAAGGCCAACUCUAUAAAUGAAAUUUGCUAUCCCUUCAAAUUGUACACAUGUUUUCUCUUUGAGGAAUCAAACAGUAUUCUGAUGACAUUAUUUACAAUGAGGAAUUUGGAAUUAGUUUCUAGAAUAAAUUGUUUGGUUGGUCAUUAAAAAUAUUAAUUUCUUGUGUUAAGAAAAUUACACUUUAUAUGUAAUGGUGGGGUUGGGGAAAAGAAAGAAAUCUGCAAAUAAUAACACACAUAACACAAGUCAUGUAGAUAUUAUGUUGAAGUUUUGAAGAAGCUCAUCUAUAUACUGAUUAUAAUAUAAAAAAAGUUAAACAUUCAAAAUUCCACAAAUUGUCGUAGUUAAUGAAAAUGUUAAAGGAGAAUGCAAUUCAUUAAUUAAGAUAAAAUAAUACAUUCACAAUGUGUUUAAAUUGAAAUAAAUAAAUAAAGAACACAAGAAAAGUUGCUCAUAAAACUAAGAGAUAAUCACUUUCAAAACUUUACACUAUUUUGGAUAAAUUUUAUUUAAAAAGUUAUAAACUCAAUUUUUAACAAUUAAAAAAACAAAAUAAUAAAAAUAAAAAAUAUCCAAUUGGCACACACUAAUGCGUGUGGCAAGGAGCUAGUUAUAUUUAUACGAUGAAACAACGAAGUACAUAACAUGUUGAUGUCAAAAUUUGAUCAACGAGACUAAAACCAUAAAGCCAUAAAAACACACGAAAAAACACUCACAAUAUAACGUUGUUCACUCAAAUUCAUGUUUCGUUUAGGAUCACUAGUGUAGGUUUCACCAUACAGUUUAUUUUGUUAAGGAAUAUUAUAGGUUCUUAUAUUCUUACAAUAAAAAAGAAUAUUAGGUUCUGAUAUUCUUACCAUAAAAUUGGCUCAAAUUGAUAUGUUCCCUCUUUUUUUUGUUUCUCUCUUUUCCUUUUCAUUUUAUGCUUUGCUGUGCUAUUGCUAAGUUGAUCCGACAGCUAGCAAUAACUUCCCCACCUUUCAUUUUAUGCUUUAUUGGUGACCAGGGAUGCUUAGCAACUUUCUUCAUCCGCCCUUCUUCCCAUGUACUAACCGGUGAUAGGUCAGCAUCUUAGAUAAGAAUCCCAACCCAAUCAAACAGUGACAUCUGUAAAUAUUCAAAAUUGGAAUUUGCUGGUGAUAGUUGAUGAUUGCAUCUUUGUCCGACCAAAAAUAAAAAGAAAAAAAAAAUUGGAAUUUUGCUGGAGUUGCUUCCUUGACUUUUCCACCUUUGUAUGCAGUCCAUUUUACACAAGGAGCCACGUUUGAGAGAUAGCAAUAAACAUGUAGAGAUGGAUAAAUAGAGAGGGAGAAAGAGAGGGAGCGAGCUUUCUGUAUUUACACCGUUCAGGGGAAAAGAAAAAAAACUAUUUCAUGCCAAACUAACUACGGAUUCUUUAAUUGAAAAAAUAACCACAUAUUAAUCAUCCUUUGGAACAUAAAUGCCCCGGUAAUUGGCACUAAAGUAUCUAAAGUUUACGAAAUUAAGGAUUUUGAUGCAAACCUAAAUUUGGAAAAGAGGGCACCAAUUCAUGUAAAAUAUGGUGUACUUAGUAUUAGGGUAUUGUGUGAUAGAGUGCAUUAAGGUAUUUUUUGUAUACCAUAAGGUGUACUUAGUUAAUUUUACAUUUUGAUUUAAAUAUUAGGGUGUAUCUAUAUCAUAAGGUGUACUUAGUUAAUUUUAGAUUUCGUUUAACAACAACAACCACUACUACAUUUUAGUAUUUGCGCGACGAAUCCAAUUUCGUCGCGUAGACUAACUUCUAGUCGCACGAAUGCAAGCGCGACAUAAAAAUCGUCGCGCGUUAUCUGUCGCGCAAAGAUCGUGAAGAAAGACUUUGAGCGACCGAUUCUACGACUCGUCGCGCAAUUUUGUGCGACGGUUAUCCUUCGUUACACAAAAGGUUCAGAGACGACGAAAACGUUCGUCGCACAAAAUUACGCGCGACGAAAGUAGAUUCGUCGCCACAACAAUGCACGGCGAAUAAUUUUCAUCGCGCAAUACGUCUCGUAGACAUUUGCGGCACCAAGAGUUCAUCGUCGCGCAAUUCGGUACACGUAUUGCGCGACGAAACAAUCACUACAAGGAAAAUCCCUUUUAGCGACGAAACAGGAUGGUCGCUAUAACACCAAAUUUCGUCGCCAAAGAAAAAUAGCGACGAAUAUUUUUGGUUGCCAAGGUCGUCGUGGAAAGCUCGUGGCUAAAAGAUACAAUGCGACGAAAUAGGAUUUCGUCGCUAAAAGAUUUUGGCGACCAAAUGUGUCGUCGCUAAACAGCUCUAAGUUGGUCGCCUAUAGAAAGGGAGUUGCCACCAAUACCAAAAAUUCCCGCGAACAUGGAAUUAUUUGGCGACGAAAUAAAUAUUUGGUCGCCUGAAUAUUUCAGCGACGAAUUUUUUGGUCGUGAAAGAUGUAGUUUAUUUGUAGCAUAUGUUAGUUGGUUUGGUUAUUUUCAUAAUGAGCGACGAAACUGAUUGGUCGCCAAAACUAUAGGUAUUGGUAUUAUCAGAUGGAGCGACGAAAACUAAUUCGUCGCCAAGAUGUGUAUUUAUUUAUUUAUUCUAUAUAAUUAUUUAUAUUUCAAUCUUUGUAACAGAAUAUUAAUUAGUCCAUAAAGAUUUUGAAAAACAGUAAAUAGAUGAAAUUAAUAGAAAUAGGAUAAUUACUAUUCAAAAAGAUACUAGUUGUUUAAGCACACAUCAGUGUAUUCUAGAUACAAAAGUCCCCAAGGUAUGUAUGCUAGAUACAAAAACCAUCAAGUAGCUGGAUACAGAAGCCCCAUAGAACCCCCAAGGAAGGCUAGAUACAAAAACCAUCAAGUAUGUAGAUGUACACACAACCUAAUGACUAUUUCCAAUAUCAUCAAGAUCUUCAUAAACAUUACGUGAACCACCACUAUUACCUUGAUCAUCAUGACAAGGAUAAUCACCAACAUGCUGGGACGGAACUAAAUGUGAGGGUAGAGGACCAUCAUGGGUUCGCAUCCACUCAAUGACAUCCAAAAGUUUACCCACUGUGCCCUGAAGCUCACUUACUGUGCCUUUCAACUCACCAACUGUGCUUUGAAGUUCCUCAACCUUUUGCUCUGUAGCACAAGAAGAGGCAAAUCCACCACUAUGCGAACUCUCCACUCGGAGACUAGAACCCAAGCCUCGAAUCCUCUUGCCCUUUGCAACCCCAAGUUCUACAGUCAUGAUCUCUAACUGUUGUGGGAUAGGGAGUAUGACUUGAUCUAGUGGAGUUCCUGAACUCUCUGCCACUUGUUGCUUGGCUUUCUCAUACUCUUCAUUCAUCUUCUUCUACAAAAAGAAGCAAAAUAUAGAUAUGUCAAUAUAUAUAAAUGCAUAAAAAGAAUGAAGUAAAUGGGAUGCCAGUAUGAUCAAUUGUGUUCAUAAACUAGCAAUGCCAAUUAUCCUAAUCAAACAGUCACAAUUAAAAAAAAAAAAUUCAACUUGAAGCAAAUAAUAAAAGGAAAAGGCACAUAAAAAAUGGAAUAGAUCUCUUCGGAUAUGCAGAUUACAGAAAGUUUGAAAAUACUCACAGAUCUUAUAAGAUCUUUUUGAGCAUCUCCUGAAAGCAACAACAAUACAAACAAGAAAAUUCCAAAAACAGGGAUUAUAAAUAUUUGCCCAGCAACAUGGCCCCCUUAUAAUUGGGUCUAUUUUAACUUCUAAGAGCACAACGGGUUAUUAGAACUGAAUAUGUUUAAUAGGUGUUUGGAAUUGGGCCUCCAAAGAGGAAGAGAAGUACAACUGCAGCAGCUCUGUUUCAAAACGAUCUUAGCAUGCACUUUUUUUGGUUGUCAAUAUAUAAGAUCAUGAAAAAUUUAGAAAACUCAAGACACAUAUCUUCAUUGUGUUUCUAAUUAAUUAGUUCUAUUUGCAAUGGAUAAAGCCUUUAUAUGAUGCUAAAACCAAAGUACACAAUUAGCAUCUAAAAUAAUGGGCCGUCAAAAACUUGCAUGACCAGUUGGCUGAUCUUUUGGAUUGCAGAUUAUGCAAGUCAAUAGUUAAUUGUUAGCAGGUUUAUGUAUGCCUUACCCCUUUAAUUUCAGCAGCCUCGUUGAUCCACAUGCUCUUACCCUUAAGCAUAUGCAUGUUGUUCCAAUUGCUAAUGUAUGUAGGAUUUUCACCCUUCUACAUUUUCCCAACAAAAAGAAAAUUAGAAAUACUUGAAAUUAUUACAAUAUAAUAAAUAAAGAAAGAUUUAAAGUGACCAAAAAUUAUAAACCUCUCUAGCAGCUUCCAUAUGUUUUAGGAAAGGACGUGACCCCCCUGUAUGAUCGAACUCUUUCUUUUUUCUGUUCUCAGCAUUGGUCUUGCAGCGUUGCUGUUUUGAUUAAAUACAUGAAUUGUUUUUUUUUUCUUUUUUCUAUUUGAUACUUAGAAUAAGUUCCCAAUCAAAAAAAAUGAAAACAGCAGAUGUUAUGAUACAUUAAAUACCUGAUAUUGCUCAUUUGUGUACAACGUAUCAACCAAAUAAUGCCACUCUUCUAGAGUCCUUCGAGUACCAAAGAUCUUUUCAGGGGGAGGUGUUUCUCGUGCAAGAGCAGGGUCAGAAGCAUAUUGCUUAUAGUGUCUGUGGAGCUUUGCUUUCCAUUCUUUAUAAGUUGAGUGCAUAUGGUCAUUAAUAAAUUUCCAUAUAUCCGGAUCCAUUAAGUCCACAUCAAACAUGAACUAAUAUCAAUUAACCAUAAACAAAACAAGUAUUAGUUAUAAUUUUGCAAUGCAAAUAGAAACAUUGAAGGACAAAUUUUUCAGUUCCCCCUAGAAUACAAUGAAGAAUUGAAAUAAAAAGAGAGCUAAAUGAACAAAAUUAAAUUAUAAUCAACGAAGAAUUAGAUAAGAUUACCUGCAAUCCCAGUGCCAUAUCUUUCUUCAUCUCCAAGCUCACUUUUUUCAUCCCUAAAACAUUCAAUGGAGCUUUAUUGCGAGUGAUUAACCCAAUCUCAGAGACGAACAGUUUCUGAGCCUCAAUAGUCGCCACCAAUUUCUGGGAUGGAUCCAUCCGUAUUGGAAUCAAACUCUUCCUUUUUUUCACAACAUCACAAGUGCCAGCCCCCACAGUUCGGCCACGAGUGUUCUUCCUCUGUGGAGAAGUUUGAGUAUGCGUUCCCUCAUCUAGAGACCCAAAAAAAAAAAACAAAAAACAGUAACUAGAGUGCACCAAAUAAAGGUAUAAAAAUUAAAUGCACAAAAUAUGGUAUCAGUUACCCUGUUGGUGGGAACCCCCUCCUGAGGCUGAUGAAGUACCUUGUUGUGGCUGAGUUGAUUGUUGUUGUGGCAGCUGACAUGGUUGCUCAAGUGGUUGUGGUGGUAGUAGAGUUGAAGUUUUCUUCCUAUUGUUAUUGUUGCUUAAGGUAGCAGCCCUCGUAAGUGUCAUUCUACAAUUACAGACACAUAAACAAAGAGAGAAUACAACAAUAUACUACCAGAUCAUUCCUUGAAAAAAUAAACAUAAAUUAUUGAACAUCAUACUUCAGCUGUAAUGAAUUGAUUCUCAUCACAAACAUGCUUGAGAUAAAUGAAUUAUUCAUCUAAAAAUAAUUGAACAUAAUAUUUUAUCAAUAGGAAAGAAAAAUAACAUGCACAUGCAUUUCAUUACAUGGGGGAGGACACAUGCAAACCUUAUCCGAAGAUAUUUCUUCAAUAUACAGACCUUACCCCUUAAAACAGAUUAAGAAAAACAUAUAGUAACUUGAAGAUAAUUAAGAAACAUAUAGUGCCUAAACAAAAGACAGCCUAACACUUCAAUCCCAAAUCACUAUAAUCAUCACUGUGAACACUGCCUUCAUCAUCACCCGAAUGUAUUUCUUCAAUAUCAUCAUCAUCAAUAAAAUCUUCAUCCUCCAUAUCAGUUGGGACAUGUUCAAAAUUAAUAUCUUCGACAACAAUUUCAGGUUCAACAUACUCUCUACGAAGUGAUGGACUGAGUAGAACAUUAUCUUCUGGUGCAUGUCUGACACUAAUAUGUGCAAUUUGGUCCACAUCAUCGUUGUAUAGUGUUUCUGCCUCGUGAGCCACCUCAUUCUCAAGAACAUCCCACACAUGUCUAUGUGGAAUUUUUUGAAUUACCUUCCAACCAUGACCCAAGGAUGGGUCAUCAAGGAAAAAGAUUUGCUGUGCUUGUUUUGCUAGCACAUAAGGAUCAUCUUUGUACCAUAAAUUCAUUGAGUUCACUGACGUGAGAUGGUAAUCAUGAACAAGCCUAACAAUCUUUUUCUUUCGCUUCACAUCUGUACUUGUAUUGUACCACUCACACUUAAAAAGGAUAACAUGAUAGCCAUAUGUGAAUCCUAUUUUAACAACACUAACUAAUCUACCAUAAAAAUUACUUUCCUGAUCAGCAUGAGUUCCUGGUACCAUGACCCCACUAUUUUGAGUUGUGCGAGUUUCUUCUAUAUCUUUGACAUGCCACCGAAUUCCGUUCACAACACAUCCUGUAUACGUACAAACUCUUUCAUCAGGACCAUAUGAUAAUGCAUACACUUCUUUAGUCACCAAUGUUGAUUCCUCACUAUACAAUGCUUUGACAUGAUGCUUGAACCAUUGGGGAAACGACUGCCUAUGUCUAUGUUCUAUGUUAAACAAGCUUUCACGCUCUAAUAUUUGACGAUGCUCACUGAAAAAAUAAAUAGAAAGUUAAAUCAAAGCAAUAAGAAAACAGAGUGAUAAAAAUAGAAUUAAUUACAUUUACAUACUUUCUAAAUGGUUCAAUUUCCUCGCAAUUGUCCAAGAUAUACCAAUAAAUUGGUUCCAUUUCUCCUUCAGACAAUUGAAGAAAUUUAUAGCCAUUAAAGGGCCGUGCAUUUUGAGAAAAUACUGAGAGCUUAACAUUGGCUUCGCCACCAUCAUCAUUUCGUUCAGGACGAGAGAAAACAGUCUCCACAUUACGAAAAUACAUUGAACAAAAAGUUAAUGCUUCAUUUGCAAUGUAUCCCUCAACAAUUGAACCUUCUGGUCUAGCUCUAUUACGUACAUAGCCCUUUAACUUUCCUAGCAUCCUGUUAAUCAUUGUAUAUUAAUAUUUUAAAUACAAAUGAAAGAGAAUCUAAUCAAAAUAAAUAUAAAAAGAUGAUGACUGAGUAUUACCUCUCUAUCGGGUACAUCCAACGAUAUCCUACAGGUCCCCCAAGCUUGGCCUCACGUGGUAAAUGAAAGGCCAAAUGAACCAUGACAUCAAAAAAGGCGGGUGGAAAUAUUUUCUCAAGUUUGCAUAAAAUGACCACAAUGUCAACCUCUAAUCUGUCCAAAUCUGCAACAUUCAACGUCUUUGCACAAAUUUGUUGGAAGAAACAUGCCAAUUCUACAAGUGGCGCGCACACUUCUUUUAUCAAGUAUGGCCGAAUUCCAAUAGGUAAAAUUCGUUGUAACAAAACAUGACAAUCAUGAGUCUUCAAACCUGAGAUCUUCCCAUCUUUGACAUUUCGUGAUAUAUUAGCAGCAUAACCAUCCGGAAAUUUUAUAGAUUUCAAAAAUUCACAAAAUGCUCGACGAUCAGCCGGUUCUAAUGUAUAUUCUGCAGCAUACUUCUUUAUCUUGCCAUUUUCAUCUUUAUCUAAAUGCAGAUUUCUUCGUAUAUUCAUGUCUUUCAAAUCCAAACGAGCAUUGGGUGUGUCUUUUGUUUUUCCUUCUAUGCUCAACAACGUUCCAACAAUGUUGUCGCAUAUAUUCUUCUCAAUAUGCAUUACGUCCAAGUUAUGUCUUAUUUUCAACUUGGACCAAUACUCCAAUUCGAAAAAAAUACUCUUAUUUGUCCAAUUUAACUCCAUAGGUGUCCGCUUUCUCUUUCUGUCCAAAUUAUCAGGAUGUUUACCAAGUUUACGAUGCACAAGGUGAUUAAACUGAAGUAAUAUGUCAUCACCAGAGAAUUCUCUUGGGGGAUCCCUCAUCUCAAUAGUUCCAUCAAAAUUUUCAGAAUCCUUACGCCAAGGGUGAUUCUUUUUCAAGUAGCGACGGUGCCCCAUAUAACAAAUUUUAUUUCUCAGCUUGGUAGAUGUUGUAUCCUCAAGACAUACGGGACAUGCCUUGUAACCUUUUGUACUCCAACCGGAUAAAUUCCCAUAAGCAGGAAAGUCAUUGAUUGUCCAUAUUACAGCUGCCCUCAUGUUAAACCUUGUAUCAGUAAACUUAUCAUAAGUUUCAAUACCUUGUUCCCAUAACUCUUUUAGCUCAUCAAUUAAAGGACGCAAAUACACAUCCAACUCCUUGCCUGGUGCCUUUGGGCCUGGAAUAAGCAAAGUCAUUAUUGAAUACUGUUGUUUCAUACACAUCCAAGGAGGUAGAUUGUAAGGAACCACCAUCACUGGCCACAUACUAUAAGAUGUGCUCAUAUUCCCGAAUGGGUUAAACCCAUCUGUUGCAAGGCCUAACCUUAUAUUUCGUGGCUCUUCUGCAAACUCAGGGUACAUCUUAUCAAACUCUUUCCAAGCAAUAGAAUCUGCUGGAUGCCUCAUAACACCUUCAUCAUCAACUCGUUUAUUCUUAUGCCACCGCAUGUGACCUGCUGUAUGUUCAGACAUAAACAACCUCUGUAAUCUUGGCUUUAAAGGAAUAUAUCGCAACACUUUUUGGGGCACCAUUUUUUUCUUUUUACUAGUACUAGGUUUAUACCUAGGCUCAUCACACACUGGACAUUUAUCUUUACUUUUAUGCUCUUUGUAAAACAAAGCACAGUCGUAAAUACAUGCAUCAAUUUUUUCAUGCCCCAAACCCAAAUCUUUCAACAUCUUAUUAGCGGCAUAGAAUGAUGGAGGAAUGCUAUGAGGCUGUGGACAAAUAGCACUGAGUAUUUGUAACAUUUGAUCAAAUGACUUGUUGCUCCAAUGAUGAAGUACCUUCGUAUGCAUGAAUUGUACCAUUGCUGUCAAAACUGAUGCAUUGCUACCGGGAAACAAUUGUCGUUGAGAUUCAGCAAUCAACUUCUCAUACUUAUCCAUCUCAACCCUAUGUACAUCGGUAUCAUCCCCCACAUCUUCAUUGUCCCCCAAUGUAUCAUCUACAACUCCCAAGUCUGGUGGGAAUGCAUCAUUCAAAAUAUUAUGCGUAUAAUCAUCAAGACGAGGUGCCUCUUGAGCAGUUGCAGGAGGUGAAGCUUGUCUUGUUAUCUCGAAUUGUUCCCCAUGGUAUAUCCAUGUGUGAUACACCACUGACAUCCCAUACUGCCAUAAAUGUGCUUGGACAACCGGAAGAGAAUGGCAAUUCAUAUUCUGGCACUUCAUACACGGACAUGGAGUCUCAUUCUUCUCAUCCACAUGUUGGCUUGCAACUUCCAUAAAUGACUGAAUUCCAGCACGAUAUUGAUUACUCAACCUGUUUUUAUUAUGUAUCCAAUCCCUGUUCAUCUCUAACACACCUUGUCUCUGUCUUCUUAUACCUCCUAUAAUGGGCCUUAUCCAAUUCAAUCGGUGAUGACUUGAAGCAGUUCCAAAAUUUCAUAACAUGAUUAGAUCGAACACAUUUAUAGAUAUAAGCAAAUAACUCUUUCACAGAAUGACAAGCUAAUAACUCUUUCACAUGAAAAUUAUAAAAAGAGAGAUUCCAUAUUAAUUAUGCUUUUCAAGGGUAAGUAUCAUGGUGACAAAUUUUUUUUACAAUUAUUUCAACAUUAUUUUGCAUAAUUUAGUUGAACCCAUGAAAACAGUUUAAAAAAAAAUGAAGGCAGGCACAAGAUUUGUAGCUAUUCAUACCUCUAAAGCAAAUAUAGCCUCUUAAGCAAGUAUUCCAAACAACCUAUUGGAAAAAAAUAUAUAUAUUCAGUUAGACACAGUAAACCCAUGACACAAGUCAAAAAAAAGAAAAAAAGGCAGAUGCCAGAUUUUUAGCUAUCCACACCUCUUAAGCAAGUAAUUCAAACACCCUACUGCAAAAAAGAAAAAGAAAAAGAAAAUCUGUUAGACAAUGUAUCUUUGGAGGGCUUGAGUCCAAAUUAGUCUUCAAACUCAAAAUAGUAUAUGCCUUCGCCUCUAAGUUUAACCACUCAUCAUUAAACAAACAAAAACAUUAUUUUUCUGAGUUAACUCAAAACAGUAACGUAAUAAGACAUCACAGGAAGCACCAAAUAUCCAAGAUAAAAGUCUCAACAAAAAACCAAAUGGUUCAAAAUAAUAUUGUAAUCAACGCAUCCACUUUAUACAGUUAUAACAUGUACAAUGAAUAAAGUCAGGCUUAAGGUCACAUGUCUCUCAUGUAGUAUAUGAAUUAUCUGAAAUUAGUAAUUAGGCUCUUCAUCUCAAUUCCAUAACAAAUUAUAAUUCAUUACAGUUCUUAAUUAUUAUGCCUUAUAAAUUAUUAUAAAAACCAUUUCAAAUUAACAAAAAUUUACCCUUGAAGCUAAUUGAAUGACCUUCCAUAAUAUUCAAGCUACCAAUGAUCAUCAUAUAAAGCCAAAAUGGUUUGUUAAAAAAGAAAAAAAAAACGUAGCUGGAAGAGCUUGAAAAGGAUUUCCAAAACAAUCAAACCAACAUUGAAGGAUGAUACUCCAUCAGUUAAACUCUAUUGUCCAAUUAAGUGGUACUACACUCAGACACCAAUACUAAGGGAAAGAAAAAUAAUUCCUAAACUGACCAGUUAAUCUAUGGGACGAUGGCCCUGCAGCUAUAGCUUAUAUAUAAAAUAUAGAGACAACUUUGCAGCUAGUUUAUACCUAAACUAUAAAGAGAACUCAAUAAGCUACAUUGGCAAAAAAAUCAAUAACAAUAACAAAAAUAAAAAAAACAUAAGCUCACAGACAAAGGCAAACGAACCUUGAAACGAAUACACCCACAGACCAACUUCCAACUUCUAACUUUUUACUUCAAUUAUAUAAAUGAAUUGUUAUAUUCUUUCUUCCAAUAGAUAGUAAAGAAAUUCAGAAUUAAUCCAGAAGUAUCAAGCAAACAUUCAAGACUUGGAAAACAACCAAUCAGACUCAAAGCAUUAAAACAUAAAAAAAAUGAAAUAAUUAUUGGGUACGUGUGCAAGUGAAACAUCUCAAAUUUGAACAGAACCCACAUCAAAUGCAAAACAGGGCAUUCAUAUCAGACACAGAACCCUACUCAAAUUUGACAUAGAACCCACAAUAAUUAACUACUUGAAAAAGAAAAGUCAUUUUAUUCAGAAAACUUGGACUGUUGAAUGUUCAAGCAUUUAAGAUAUCAAAAAGGAAAAAUCAAGCACUGAAAUUCAGUUUCGAUUUAAAUUCCUGGGUAUCUAUUUUCGAUUUUCCUUGAUUAUUUUCUCAACAACCAAAUGGAAUCCACAACUGAAAAUCAGAGCUCAAAAGAAAAUGAAGGUAAGAGAGACAAGAUAGACUCACCAUAAGCUUUCCGUUGAAACACGUAGUGAGGAGGACUUCGGAGAUGGAGUUUUCAGAUGGCCGUCGAUUCCUGACCGUGGUAGGGAAAGGCGUGCGAGAUGGAGUAUCGCUUGCUGACGUUGGUGGAGGAUUGCUCUGCCGACGUCGGUGGAGGAUUCCUUUGCCGAUGUAAAACAGUGAAGAGUGGGUCUGAGAGGAAAUAACCAAUCGGGAACUUUUUAGUUCAUAUUUUUGUAUUUAAACUCUCCAGAUUAGCCCCAAAAACUAUUUGGUCGCCCAUAUGCUAAUAUACAUAAAACUACGUCGUUUUAUGGCUUACAUUUUUAAAAGCACAAUGAUCUGCGACGAAAACCAAAUAGUCGCUGGCCCCACGAAAUUUUUACGCGCCAAUUCUAACUUAGCGACAACACAUUAAAACUCAGCGACCCAAUAUUUUCGUCGCCAAAACUUUUGAAGUUUCGCGCGCACUCAAUUCCGCAAAUCGCGACCAAAUAUACGUUUGGUCGCCAAGUCCUUGCCUAACCACCAAAAACUUUCGUCGCCCUUAGUUGAUAAAUUAGUCGCUAUUUAGUUGACUCAAGUCAUCACGGAUGUCUAAAAAUCACAAAUCUUUUGGCGACCAACUGGAAAAAUUUUGUCACCGAUUCUCUUUUUGGCGACGCAAAUAUGGUGCGUCGCUAAAAAUUUCGUCGCAAAAGAGGUUUUUCCUUGUAGUGAAUGUUGUCGCGCAUAACCUUUUGCUCGACGGCAAAUUGGGUCGCGCGAUACGUGCCCACAAAAUUUGUGCGACGCAAUACUGUUGUCGCAGAAAUCCAUUUUAGCGACGAAAACGUUCAUCGCGCAAAAAUAAUUAUAUGUAUUUAAAAAAAAUGAAACAUUAUUUUUUCGGAAUAUAUAAAUUUGCGCGACGACAAAGCUUUCGUCGCGCAAAAUUAAUAUAUACAUUUAUUAUAUAAUUAUAAUAUUACUUUUGUUUUAUUUUAUAAAAAAAUAAAUUUGGUUUUCUUUUUUGGGUAAUAAAAUGAAAUUCCAAUAAUAAAAAAAUUGAAGUCAAUAACAAAUUUAUUAUAUAAAAUAAAUGUAUGCUACAAGAGAAAGAUUUAAAAAAUAAUUACGAAAAUAAAAAAACUAAUCGAAUAAUGUUCCAAAAUCUACAUUAUCGUCUGGCACAUGCGGUUCAGAGGUCUGGGGGUCUACAGGGGCCGGCGUCUGGUGGGGAUGCUCGGGAUGGACGGGCUCGGAGGUCGGCGCAUCAAAAUGCGGAACUGGAAUGCCGGACUGUGCGAGAGACUGCAGAAUGACCGACAUCUGACUCUGAAGAGUGGCCACCUAUGCUGUCAAAGCAGUGACCUGACUGUUUGACUGCUCUGAUGAACGGGGUUUGGGUUCCCUCCGCCUGGCAUUCCCUAUCCCUUGACAAUAUGUCCCCGGUCUCCUCCCUAGAGUCUGAUCCAAUGUCUCCGUCAAGAUCUGAAACCCAACAUCCUGUGCAGGAUCCACAGACUCGAUCGGAGUAUCGGGAGGAAGUUGGGAGGCGGACUCCUGAAGAACCAACUGGCUCCUCUCCACCAUCGUCGUCUGUUUAGCAUAACAUAAAAUAUAAAUUCAAACAUUCAUAUAAAAACCUUUAAAGUUGAAUGCGUAACAUAAGAAUUAAAAUUAAAUAAUACUUACAUGAAGGGACUCGGCCAACUCAUUCCCAGGUCGAACAUAAACGUCGCCAAAGAUGUCGAUAUCUGAGAAUUUGGACCCCCCCAAAAUUGAACAAAAGAAGAAAAAUAUUAGUACGAAAAAAUAAAUUAAGAAUAAUGAAAAAGUAAAAAUUAAAUAAAAAUUAUUUUAUUAUUACCUGACGCCGUGCAUCCAUCCUAUACGAGAAGGGCCUGGAACCCGAAUGAUGGAGAAGAGUCUUCUUCUUCCUAUUGCCCUUAUUGAUUUGGGCUUUAUUCUGUUAUACAAAAAAUAAAACGUAUUAGUUGAAAUUGAAAUUAAAUAUAAAAAAUUAAAAAAACAUUAGUAAGAAAAUAAAAUAAAAUAUAAAAAAUUACCACAAAAGCGGGCGCCUGAAAAUGAGCGCAGAGCCACGCCCAACUAUCCUCCCGGCCCUCAAGCUCUUUCGGACAACCCUCUUGAAGAGCGACUUGCGGAUCAUCAAACGCCUCAAAAUGGUGGUUCAAGUCGCUCUUCCACUGUUUGUACCUCUCAGAGAAGAGUCUGUUGACGUACGCCAAUGACUCUUCGUCAAGGUCCUCCAAGUUGUAGUUCGUCUGCAAUAAAUUAAUUACAUACAUUUAAAAAAUAUAAAUAUAACGUUUGAAAGAAAAAGAAUGAAAAGGCCUACAUACCGACAACUGGCCGCGAACCUCAGUCUUGGUCUCGUCAGGCAUCACCUUCCAAGACUUCCAUUGCAUCGGGCAAUAGCUCCGAAUGACAUGACCAAUGUCGUCGGCCAAGGAGCUAUGCAACUCCGCCGUCGGUGCAGCUCGAUGUCGCUCGUCGUAACCGAUGUUGAUACGACUGUUGGUCACUCGGGUGACCUUCGCCGUCUUCAACUGCCGACACGGCCCUCGGGUGUUCUUCUUGGCUGCAAAGAAAGAUGACAUGAAUGUUAAAUAAAUAACAAAUUUAACAAUAAAAUACACACACACACAAAAACAAAAACAAGAAAUAAAAAAGAAAAUUAACUGGAGAAAAAGGAAAGCUAUACCUGGCUGUGACCCCGAUGCAUCAGUGGAUGUGGUGUCGGUGGUGCUGGAGGGCCGAUGACGCCGCCUGGCGCUAACAGGCUGCGCCACUGAUGACGCUGAUGAGGCAGGCGCCUGGGACCCCGCAGGUCCAACUGCCAACUGGUCUAUCAAUGCUGGCGCAGUGGCAGCAGAUGUCGGCUGAGUCGGGGGCUCAGAACUCUGCGUGGUCGUCACCGCCCUACGACGUCUAAUCAGGUCUGACAUCUGCACAAUUUCAUUAAUACACAUACAAAUUAAUAAAAUAUACAAAUAUUUGAAAACACAUACAAUUUUAUUCAGAUUAUUGACCUAGGGUUUGCGAGUUCGGAGUAUCCGGGACUCCGAUCCACGAUCCGUCGAAUCCUAGACGAUCCAAGAAUACAAGGUACACCAUGCGUGAGUUUGAGUUCGAUCCAACGGUCUGAACAUAACAACCCCGGAAAUCGCACAAUAGGCAAAAUUCGUUCGAGACGCAAACAGUAACCAAAUUCCAAUCCGAAAACACCUACGCGCUCGUGACAACUACAGGAUUGCACUGGGACCUAAUUCAGGUGGCUACAGUAACCCACGCGCCGCCCCACGCGCCGGGAGCCGCGGGUGUCCAAAGCAAUACCAAUCGCUGGAAAAUUCUAAAAACUAAGGGCCAAGGUUCCUACCCUAGGUUCAAAACAUCAAUUGGAGCCACUUUUGUUCUCGGACAUACCCCGAAAAAUGGUCGGAAGUGGCCGGAAUUGAAAAUCAAAAACCGGCCCAAACUUAGGGUUUCAAAUUAACUGCCCUAUUACAACAAUUUCAGAAAUCCUACCCAACCAUCAGAUAAAGCAUCAAAAAUAGGACAGAAACCAUACCUCAGGUGUCGGAAUUGGUCGCCGGAGGAGAGAGAUCGACGGCGGCGCAGAUUCGAUGAAAAUCGAAGAAAUUGCGGCGGCUGGCUCGACGGUGAGGGCGGGGGAGCUCCGGGGUACCACCGUUGUGGCGGCCCGGUCCAAAUCCACCGGGGUAGGAGACGGAGCUGACGGCGGAGAGAGAGACGAAGAGGUUUAGAGUUUCUGCAAUCUGGGAAGAAUGAGGCCAUCGCGUGGUUUCUGAAAUUUUAUUCGUUUUUGCGCGACGAAGGUAAGCAAACGUCGCGCAAGAAAUUUUAAAUGACUAUUGCGUGACGAAACAGGUACGUGUUCCGUCGCGCAAUGUCGUUAAUCCGCCAAAAUUUGGUAAAAGGGUGGUUUUUGCCCGACGCACAACGCAGCUUGUCGUCGCGCAAUGUUGGCAGUCUGCCAAAAUUUGGGGUUUAGGGUUUAGCAGGCGAUAUUGAAAUCUUGCGCGACGCACAACGCAGCCUGUCGUCGCGCAAUGUUGGCAGUCCGCCAAAAUUUGAGAUUUAGGGUUUAGCGGGCGAGAUUGAAAUCUUGCGCGACGCACAACGCAGCCUGUCGUCGCGCAAUGUUUGCAGUCCGCCAAAAAUUGGGACCUAGGGUUUAGAACUUGCGCAACGUAUACGUGGACCGUCGCGCAAAAACUCGCAAAAAAAUGUAUGCUAACCGUCCAAGGCGAAAGACGGUGAAAAGGAGAAAGGGCUGGCUGAGAUUGCGCGACGAGUACGUACAGCGUCGCGCAAAAACUCGCAAAUUUUUUUGACUAAGUGUCCAAGGAGGAAGAGUGUGGAAGGUGAAAGUUCUGGCUGAUAUCGCGCGAUGAACAGCAUUGGUUUCGUCGCGCAAGACUCUUCCAUGCAGGCUAUGUGCGACCAAUUAUACUUUGUCGCGCGCUGUUGUAAUAACGGCAACAUUUUUGGUUUUAUUGUGGAGAGAUUGCGCGACAAAAAUGUAAACGUCGCGCAUGUCAGCUCUCUGUAAACGCGAAAAUAUUUGUAACCAAGUGUUGAAGGAGGAAGCGCGACGACGAGUCGUUUAUUCGUCGCGCAAGACCGUUGUUUGGAGGCUUUGUGCGACCAAAGAGAGUUAUUCGUCGCGCAAACCCUAAACCCUAAAGCGCAGAAACCCUAAACUCGGAACUAGUUUUCAUGAUCCAACCGGCAAACUUGUUUUUUUAUACUUCGAGAUCGUAUAUGCCGAAAAUCAAAAAAAACAAACAUUAAGAGAUCAAGUAACAGGACAAAACUUGUCGACGGUUCUAAAUGAAAAGUCAUGAUUUAACGUUUAUUUUUGCUCUGAUUUGUAUGAUUUUUUACAGCUACUUUUCUUUACCCUAUAUGAAUACAAUUACUAAAUUUGAUCUUCAAUUUCAGAUGUUUACACUAGGGUGAUACGACAUAAUGUUAUGUUAUAUUUAACGAAAGUAUAAGUAAACUAUUCAUUGUUGCUGAAUAUAUGGUUUUGAUGGCAAACGCAUUCUACGAAAAUAGGUUCAGCAAUCCAGCCGUCAAACUUGUUUAUUUGUACUUCGAGAUCUUAGACCCCAAAAAGCGAAAAAAUCAAACAUUCAGAGAUCAAGUAACGGGACAAAACUUUUGAACGGUUAUAAAUGAAAACUCAUGAUUUAACGAUUAUUAUAACUCCGAUUUUGAUGAAUUUUUACAGCUACACUCCAUGACCCUAUAUGAAUACAAUGAACUAACUCGAUCGUCAAUUUCAAAUAUAUAUGUGCAUAUAUAAUAUAUAUUAUAAAAUAAUAUAUAUUUGCGCGACGAACAUAUGUUUAUCGUCGCGCAAACUUUCAUCGCGUGACGGACGACACGUUGUCGCUCAAUUUUUUUACUUCACGCGACUAGUGUAUUUUGGGUCAUGCAAAAUUUGCACGACGAGGUUUACUUCGUCGUGCAAACAUGGCACGACGGGGUUUACUUCGUCGCGCAAGGGUUUUCAGUUUUGAAAAAUGUUUGUUGUCAAUAAUUUUCAAACUUUGUAUAAAAAUGUUUGGAUAUAUUUAUUUAUCAAUGUUUUAUAACAAAUUUUGUAUCAUUUUCAUUUUGUAAAUGUGUUUUGUCAAAAAAAAAAUUAAAAUUUAUUAUUAAUAGGGUUUCGAUAUAUUGAUUUACCAAUGUUUGAUAACUAAAUUUAUUUGAAUAAUGUUUCAGUUGUCCACAUAUAUAAGGUUUGGAUAUAACAACUACAUAUAUUCAAACAUUUGUAUUACACAAAGUCUGUACAGUAACAUAAUAAAAUUACAAAAAAUUUAAUUAUUCAUCAUCUGAACUAUAAUAACUUUCGUUAUCGUCGCUAUCAUCACUUUCGGUCUCCCAAUCCUCCUCCUCCUCCUCUACUAUAACUACAUCAUCUUCGCUGCUCGGGCCCACUACAACAUCGAAUCUUGGAAGAUCCCCGAGGUCAAUUGUAAUUGACUGAAUCGGUAUUUCGAUUGAAGACACUCCUUGUAUUUGAAACGGUUCUUGUAUAACAUGUGUAUCUCGAAGUGUUUCCGCAUCAUUUUCCAUUGAUGAUUCUAAACGUUGGUCAGCCACAUUGUCGACGUCGUUGUCAGUUAGGUCUAGUUCUGGUAUAGCAUACACGUUCCUAUGAUCCAUCUUCUGAACAACUUUCCAACUGCUCCCGGCUUUAGGGUCAUCUAGAUACACAAUUUGUGUUGCCAUGUUUGCCAAAAUGUAAGGGUCGUCAUCAUACCAAGUUCUGUUAAUGUUCACAGAUAGUAAGCCAUGGUCGAUUUUAACACUUCCCGGCCUAUUUGGGUUGCUAUCAAACCAUCGACACUUAAACAUGAUCAUUUGGUAUCGAUCUUUGUAAAGCAAUUGAACGACAUUUGUGAGUUUGCCAUAGAAAUUAAUGUUUGUACUUUCGCCUCCACCUGGGACAUGGACACCGCUGUUUUGCGUACACAACUUGUCAUCUCGUGCAGCCCCCAAAAAUUUAACGCCGUUAAUAUAACAACCCGAAAACAAUUCAGCGCGAAUCGGGCCGAAGGCCAAGUUAUAUAACUCAUCACUGUAAGUGGGGGAAUUCGAUGAUUUCAACUUAUUCACCUAAUAUAAUAGAAAACCAUUCACAUGUUAGUCUGAUAAAUUAAAUACUACAAUUUAUAUUUGUGAAAUACAAAACACUUAUAACUUACAGAUUCCAAAAACCAUUGUGGAAACAAUUCACAUUGUUUCUGGGCAACUAAAUGUGAUGGAUGUUCUCGCUUCAUCAUCUCUUCAUGCUCAUCUAAGUAUGCCAUUAUCUCGUCACAAUUGUUCAGUACGAACCAAUGCGCUACUUCCAUGUCAUUUCUAGAAAACGACUCUCCUCGUCCAGGAUCUCCAAAGGGCCGUGCGCUUUGGGCAAAAACAGAAAGUUUUUCCUUCUCAUACCUCCGUCGUUAUUACGCUGAGGACGAUUGAAAGCCGUCUCCACAUCUUUUAAAUACAUUCCACAGAAAGUAAGCGACUCAUAUUGAACCCAAGCCUCUAUAAUUGAUCCUUCGGGCUUCGCCCUGUUGCGUACACUUUUUUUCAGCUCUCCGAGAAGCCUGUCAAAAUAAAAAGAUAUGAUACAAAUUAGCAAGCCUGUGAUAAUGAUGCAUACACAAACGAAAAGGAUUAUAUACCUUUCUAUUGGAUACAUCCAGCGAUAGUUGACAGGACCAGCAAGCAAUGCCUCUUCUGGCAAGUGAACCAUCACGUGCAUCAUACUUGUGAAGAAAGCUGGAGGAAAUAUCAUCUCAAACUUGCAUAGGACUUGGACAAUGUCAUGGCGCAACUGCAAUAUGUCUGUCUUUCGCAAUGUUUUUGCCGUCAGUUGGGAAAAAAAUCUGGACAACAACAUAAUUGGCUUCACAACAUCUUUCGGCAAUAGAUGUCGAAUACCCACAGGAAGUAGGCGUUGCAUAAACACAUGGCAGUCAUGGCUCUUAAGUCCAGUAAAUUUACCCCCGUCAACAUUCACGCAACGUGCGAUAUUAGAAGCAUACCUAUCAGGAAACUUUACAGACGAUACAAACUUUAGAAACUCUUUUUUGUCAUUCGGUUUCAUAGAAAAGAAUGCAAGAUCCCUUCUUGCUUUAUCACUGUCCCUGUUCAUCCAUAAUCCCCUUCGUAUGCCCAUUCUUUCCAAAUCAAGACGGGCUUUGAUUGUGUCCUUUGUCUUGCCCUCGAUAUCUAGAAUCGUGCCCACCAAUGUGUCAAAUACAUUUUUCUCAACAUGCAUCACAUCUAGAUUGUGCCUCAAUUUGAGUUUCGACCAAUAUGGGAGCUCAAAAAGCAUAGGCUUGUGAGUCUAGUUCAUAUGUGUCGAAGGUCUGGUCCGGCUAACUGUUUUUUCGAACGGAGCAAAAUCCAAACGGUUAAGCUGUUCCAAGAUCUCAUCACCGGACCAUUCUCUAGGUCUGAGGCGACGCUCUGUGUUCCCGUCGAACUCUUUAUCUUUUUCCCGCCACUCGUGGUCCCAUGGCAACCAUCUCCGAUGACCAAGGUAACAAACUUUUCCCGCGUGCCAACCAGAAGUUACAUCUUCCUUGCAUACAGGACAUGCCAUAUAACCCUUUGUGCUCCACCCAGAAACCAUUGCAUAUACUGGAAAAUAAUUCACAGUCCACAUAACUGCUGCCCGCAAAGUGAACAUCUUCCCAGUUGAUUUAUCGUACGUGCGAACACCGUUUGUCCAUAAAUCCUUCAGCUCAUCAACCAGCGGCCUUAAGUAAACAUCGAUUGACCUCCCAGGAUCCUCAGUUAUCAAAACAGUCAUCAUCAUGUAUUCUUUUUUCAUGCAUUUCCAAUGCGGCAAAUUAUAUGGGAAUACGAAAAUCGGCCAAGUGCUGUGGUGUUGGUUUAGAACCCCAUACGGAUUGAAUCCGUCAGUGGCAAGUCCUAAUCUCACAUUUCGGGGAUCAGCAGCAAACUCGGGGAACGUUCGAUCGAACUAUUUUCAUGCCUCCCCAUCUGCAGGAUGCCGCAUUACAUCAUCGUCUACCCGUUUUUCCUUAUGCCAUCUCAUGUCUGUUGCAGUGUGCGUCGACAUAUACAAUCGCUGCAACCUAGGUUUCAGGGGCAGAUAACGCAUGACUUUUUGUGGGAUCUUAGUCGUUCUAUUCUGAGAUGUCAUUUUGAACCUCGACUCAUUGCAUAUAAGGCAUGUAUCCAACGUUUCGUGCUCCUUGUAGAAUAACAUGCAAUUAUUUUUGCAGGCAUGAAUUUUUUCAUAACCCAAUCCAAGACCAUUCAACACCUUCUGCGCGUGUUUAUGAUCUUUUGGCAAACAAUUGUCCGUCGGAAGCAUUCUCUUGAAAACCCCUAAAAAGUAAUCGAAACACAGGUUCGACAUACGAUACUUUAUUUUUCCGUGCAUUAGCUCUACAAUGGUCGUGAGAACGGAAAAGCUCUCGCACCCCGAGUAUAACUCUUGGUUUGCAUUUUUUAACAGUUUUUCAUAUUGUUCAAACUCCGCGCUGUCUAUUGGUGUUGGCACGUCAUCUUCCCUUUCGUGAUUGAUGUUGGUCGAUGCAAAUGGAAAAAUAUCCUCUAUAAUAUCCAUGACUUGAUCAUUAGGAUCCACAAUAUGUUCAACACUGUCCAUUCUUGUGGCAUUUGAAGACGAAGCAUAGUCUAAUUGUUCCCCAUGAAGGUUCCAAAUGCUAUAUGUCUCAAUCAUUCCAUUCCUUACUAAAUGAAAUCCAACAUUUUCAAUUGUCUCCCACAACGUGUUAUUACACCUCCUACAAGGACAUCGGAUUCUAGUUGCACCCGGGUUGUGUCUACGUGCAAACUCAAUAAAAUCCUCGAUUCCAUCCAAGUAUUCGUCUGAGCAUCUAUUUGGGUUCUAUAUCCACCUUCUGCUCAUAAUUCCUGAAACCAUAAUCACAACAUAACAAUCACAACAACUUCAUACGAAGUUAUAAUGUCACCUUAUGCCUCCGGUAAGGGCCCUAUCCCAUUCGGGAAUGCAUAGUUCUGUCACGUAACCUACGGCUACAUGAGAUUAGAUUUCGACAUGGAUGAAUUUCGGCAGCAUCUCGAUACAGUUCUUGAGGUGGGCAUAGGUAUUAAUACCUACGUACCACCCGAAGAACGUACCGAGAUGACACCGAAAUCUCCACAAUCGAAACCUAAUCCUGUAGCUGUGGAUUACGUGACAACACUAUGCAUUACCAAACUGUCCAAAUAGUGGGACAAUUCAAGAAUUAAUUGGACCGCAGUCAUGCUUUACGCAUCCAUGUACAAAAUCCAACUAAUCUCGAACGGGAAACUAAAUGUUACUAAACAUACAAAUAAAAGUACGAAGUUAAUUUCAAUUAACUUCGUACAUCACAACACAUUGUGCUACAUCACACACAAUUUAACAACAUAAUAUAAAUAUAACUUCAGAAAAAAAAAUGUACACAUAACAAACUAACUUUAACAUUUUUAAUAUAUAAAACGAAUAAAAUACCGUGUCAAUCGUUCUCCACCAAUCGCUAAUUAUAAAUAUCCCUAACGAGAAUAAAAUUAAUAGCGUUAGUACGAAUUUACAUUAAUACUUAUAAAGUAACGACAACAAAUACUUACCCGAUGAACGUACUGAAUUUCCAGCAGAGACAGCGGUAGAGAGGUUGAGAGAGAGGCAGAAAGGAAAUUUUUUUCCUUUCUGCCUCUGCAAUGGCAGAGUUCUGAUAUGAAGAAGAAGGACUUUACGCGACGAAUAAUAAAAUCCGUCGCGCAAAAUACCGUCGCCAAAAACCUUUUUUUCGUCGCACAAAACGAGUUUUUUCCGUCGCGUAAAAGCUUGUCGACAAAAAAACUUUUGCGCGACGUAAGAUGUCUGCGUCGCACAAGAUUCCGUCGCGCAAAUUCUUGUCCUCGUCGCCCAAAAACAAAAUUCCGUCGCGUAACAAUUAUUCUUCGUUGCGCAAGAAUGUACCGACAUCUGCUUUACGCGACGAAACAUAUUUCGUCGCGCAAAAUAAAAUAUCCCCCCUCAAUUAUUUUGGCGCCAAAUUAUAAAUAUCCUUCGUUUUCUUACGCGACGAUAAAUGGUUUCGUCGCGCAAAGUUGUCUUUUGCGACGAAACCUGUCGUCGCAAGAGUUUUCGCAGCCAAAUCACCUCGCUUUUACGCGACGAAGUAUACCAUCAUCGCGCUAUGUUUUCUUACGCAACGAUUGCUCUCGCCGCGCAAGUAUUUGGCGCCAACAGAAUACCCGGGUUUUUUUUUCCCCCCUUUGCGCGACGAAGUUGUUUUUAUGUCGCGCUAAGAUGUUUUGCGCUUCGAAAACUUUGGUCGCGCAAGUUGUAAAUUUUUUGCGCGACGAUGUAUUUUUUGCGUCGCUUUAUUGCGUUUUGCGUGACGAAUAUGUAUUCGUCGCGCAAACUUUUGUCGCGCAAAUAGUAAAACGUAGUAGUGAACACCCUUUUAUAUGUACAAAUUUUUUACAUUUUGAUUUUGUCUUUACAAUGUAUCCAUUAAUAAUUCUAAGAAUAUGAAAAAAUUUGCAACUCUUCUUUUGGUACGAUUGAGAAUUGACUUGGUGAACUCUUAUAUAGUGUUUGUGCAUAAAGGCCCUUGACAACUUUCUCUCGAGUAAUGAACUUCUAAUCUUUUUUUUUUUUUUUUUUUUUUUUUGUGUGGCUACAACUAAGUAGAUCCAACAUAUUUUUUUUAACAACCAAGGACAAUCAUCAUAUUUUUUUAAGAACCAAGGAUAGCUUACAUUCUAUAGUUUGUCCAUCAUGUCAACACAUUUAUAAUUAAAACUUUUUUUUUUUUUUGUGAGGUUUCAAUUUUGGUGUCACUGUAACAAGACCACAAUUGCCAUUCAGUAUGCUAACAUUGUCACUAUGUUUGCCAAUUGCAUAUUAUGUAGAAUAUGAAGGCUUUGGUGUUUUGUAGAUCCUCGGGGAGCCAAACCCGUCUUUAUAAAAAUGGUCCUUAUCAAGGGUGGAACCAGGAAUUUUUCAACGGGUGGGCUAGCUAAAGUUAUUAGCUUAAAAUUUAAUGAUUAUUUUUUUUUGGUACUUCCAAUUUCUAUAGUCUUUCUAGAAAUAAAAGUAAACAUUAAAUCAUAUAUACCAAGCUAGUUCAUAGCUCCAUAGACUAAUUUUCAAUAAGUUUUAACAUAAACUAAAUAGGGUUUAACACCAUAGUGGAUUGAACAUCUAAGGCUUUUUACCUAGAUUGACCUGAGAUUCCUUCAUGCAUUCAUAUCAUACAUGAAAAGUUGUUUUAUGUAAAAAUAUUGACUAAGUAUGAAAAAUGGAUUUUCGGAAUAAUCAUUUUUUCAAGAUAAUUUUUGGCGGCUUUUAUUCCUCACACAUCAAAUAAGAAAACUUGAUUUUAUGGAAUUUUUGUAUGAAAUAUAUAUUGACUUAAUGAGCCAUCAUUUUUAGCCUAAAUCAUAUUUUGCACUAAAACCGAUUUUUCAUAUUUUGAUUAUGUGGGAAUUUGAACUUGUAUCAUUUGAUGAUGCCAUGUGAAUCGCUAGAAACAUGUAAAGUGUAUGGCUAACCCAAUAACGAAAGUUUCGUAAGGGAACCGGAGUAGGCUACCAUGAGAACAAAACGGAUUCUUCCAAUGUAUAAAAUAAAAAUUCCAAUGGCUUUUGCUAUUAUAACCUUCCCGACCACGAUUUUUUCUUUUUUUCUAGGCAUUUCACCUAUAAAAAAAAAAUUGUAUUGAUACUAUUGGAACAAAAAGGGCGGGCCCGGCCUGGUCAGUACUUAGCCGGGCCGUGGAACUAAAAAGGCCCUUCGGAUCGGAUGAAAAAAAAUUAUUAGGGUUUUUUAAGCCUUACAAAUUCCAUUUAUGUAUGUACUCCCGGGAAACAUACAGUACUCUAUUCCACAUUCCACAGAUCGGGAGUAAUCUAUAGGAGUUCUUGAAAGUAAAGGAGCAAUAAAAAAUUUCUUGUUAUAUCAAGAGGUUUGUUAUUGCUCCUUUACUAUUUAGUAUUUUUUUUUAUUUACUACUUAACUUUACUAUAUUGUUCUAUAUUUUUUUUUAGUUAAUUUACUAUAAAAUUUAAUUUCCCCAGAUACCGUCAUUGCUUCUUCUCUGGGAAAAGAAGUUCACGACUCGUAGGCCUUCUACCUCCACGCAUCAUUGCUCCGUCAGGCUUUCGCCCAUUGAGGAAAAUUCCCCACUGGAUCAGAAUGAAGAAUCAAAAUAGAUUCUUAAAGUAGACAAACAAAAGGGGUUAGAGACCACUCAAUAAAUGAAAUACCUAAAAGGUUUCUUUUGAGUUAUUUGAGAGUUACUAGUAUUUUUAUUUUAAUCUAAAUGGGGGGUACUUCCUUAUUUAUAUUGUAAACUUGAGUAAAUAGAAUAAUAUAAAAAUAAAUAAAAGUAAAAUGACAAAACAAUAUGUACAGCGCCACUAACUGGCUAAUAUUGAAAAUAAGUUACAUAUAUAGGUUUUAUAUUUUUUUUUUCUUAAAAAAUCACACUAGGCUACAGCCCACUGUAGCCUUUAGUGUGGUUCUGCCCAUGGUCCUUAUGAUACUACUUUAACAACAACAAAAAAGUAUAAUAAACUAGGCCUUUGUAGUCAUUGAAAUGGAUGUUUUGUCAUGGAUAUGACUAUUUAAAUGUAAUUACGGGAUUAAAACAAUAUAAAUUGGAGUAAACUAUAACAUUAUAUAUGAUCCAAUCUUUUUCAUAUAUUUUUGUUCAAGACUUUGUUUUAGAAUGCUCUAUUACUAAUUUGGUAUAGGUCCCUAAAAUCUAUGCCUUUAUGAGGCAACGUCUUUAUUUCUUUGGUUAUUCCAGUUUAGAAUAUUUGGACAAAUGAGAUGACUCCCAACAUAAAGUCACAUUCAUCCAAAAAGCAUGAAAUCACACACAAAAAGAACACGGACAAUUACUAAGUUUAUCCUUGUAUUUUUAUUUUAUUGAUCCGACCCAAUUGAAAAAUAAAAAAAAGAUGAUAAAAUAUAUUGUUCAUUGCUUACAUCUGUGAGUAAAGUCCUCCAUUUGAAAUUGCGUCAUUACACAAAAUUGGAAUGAAAAAAAUAAAAUCCUACAGCUAAAUUUGAUAUAUUUCCUUUUCAUUUUAUGUUGGGUGUUUUAAGUUUUCCUUGUAUCUUGUUGAAAAGAAAAAUGAAAAUAAAUAAAUAAAUUCCACGGCUAGCAACUUCUCCACCUACCCUUCUUCCCAUGUACUAACAACAAGGGACGCCUUCGAUCCUUAAAAAGGACAAGGGAUGCCAGGUCAGCAUCUCAGAUAAGUAUCCCAACCAAAAUCAAUCAAAUAAUGACAUAUGUAUCUCUUUUUGUAUUUUGUUCUAUUUCUCUUUGAAUUAACUGCAGAUUUUCAUGAGCGUGUCCUCCUUUUGAAAUUGUGUAUUAUUCAAAAUUGGAAUUUGCUGGUCAUAUUUGAUAUCAACUAAAAAAGUUUCCAAUAUCUUGUACCCGUUUUUUCCAGUGUGGGUCAAAAUUUGAAGAAGUCCACCGACAAUUUCUCAAAAGCUAUUACCAUAUUAUUGCAUCCAACUUUGAAAAAUAGAAGUUUUCAAAAGUUACCCCAAACAACAGUCCUUGAAAGAGAGAGUUCUCCAAGGCUAAAGAUUACAAGGAUGUUAUUUACAGUCUCAACAAGCUUCAAAAUUGGAAUUUGCAUUGUGAUAGUUGAGUGGAGGACAGGCUUGAGUGGAAGAAUUGAUUAAUUAUGGAACAGAGCCAAUGUGGAGAUUGUUGAUUAGUGGCUCAUUUAGUAGUCAAAAGUGGAAAUCAGUUUCGGUGAUUUUGUUUACUAUCAUGAUAAGUGGCUUGUCUUUGCAUGGUAAGUGAGCUGCUAUCAUAAUUAUUGAGUGGAGCACUUGCCAAAGUGGAGUUGUUGUAGUUUAUUUUUCACUCACUGAUGGUUGACGCUUCCGCACAACAAAUGAAUCAUCCAUUCCAACUUUUGUUUCUUCUUUUUUAACUAAAUUUUGAAUUUCAACGAGUUUCGCACAUUAAUAUUUAAUAUUAAUUUAUGUACUUGUACAUACAUUGCAGUAAUAUAUAUUAACAUACAUAUAUGUUCAGAGUUUAACAAUAAUAUGUGCCUAUAAACAGGGACGGAGCCGGAAAAAAUAUUCAUUGGGGGUAUCUCCAAACAAUAAAGUAAGAGUAGAAAUUUCAACAACAUACUUAAAGACAAAGUUCAUACAUUAAUGCAUAAUGUUUUUCUUCUUCCAAUAAAAAAACCUUCACCCACGAAAUAAUUAGCACCUGCUUGUUCUCCUCCAAUAUUUGGUUUUAAAAGGUAGCAGCAAAGACAAAAUGCAGAAUCAGUUUCUAUACUAUAGUCCAACAAAGUAGAAAAAUCAUCAAACCAAGCAGGAUUAAUGUUUUUCCAAAUUGCUUGUAAGGGAAAUUAUGGACUCUAGGCUGACAUGGACCUUUUUGCAAAUAUGCUCUCCUAACUUGAUCACUAACAUUAGGAUUGUAAGGGAAAACCAAGUAAACUUACCUUACCACCUUGACAUUGAGAAAAGAAGAAAGACCAGCAAGCAACUGUUUAGAGGAGGAAGAGAAGAAAGAGUCGUGGGGGUGGGGGUGGGUGAUGUGGGAUUGGGUUUUGUAAAGGGAGCUGAUUUCCCCACUCUUAUUUUCUCACACUUACACUCCUUUUUGCUUUUUAAUACUUUUUAAUCACUUUUGUUCUUUCUAUUUCCUAGUCUAUUCUUACCCUACAUUAAUUUCUUUUUUUAUUUUACUACUAUAUUAUUUCUUUUUCUUUAUACUUAAUUUUCUAACUUAUACUCCAUUUUCAGUAAUAAAGGGAAAAAAAAAACUUAAUUUCUUACUUGAUUAAAGGAAAAAAAUAAAACUAAAAAUGGAGUGCAAGUUAGAAAAUUAAGUAUAAAUAAAAAUAACUAAUAUAAAAGUGAAGUAAAAAGAAAUUAAUGUAGGGUAAGGGUAAAAUAGGAAAGCGAAGGAACAAAAUUGAUUAAAAAAUAUUAAAAAGUAAAAAAGAGUGUAAGUAGAGAAAAAGGGAGUAGUGAAAUCAUAUCUCUUUGUAAAUUGUAAUGCUUUUUAGGGUAACUAAAGAAAAAAUUUGAGUGGGUUUGGGGAGUGUAAAAGGAAUGUUUUUAUCAGUUUAAAUGGGUUUGGGUGAAUGGUUUCACGUGGGUGAGUGGGGGCAUGUGCACCCAGUGGGCCUAUGCUGGCCCCGUAUAAUAUUGUAUUUACUCUAGCGUAUAAUAUUGUAUUUACUCGAGCUCAAUGUCCUAUGAGUGGGUGCAUGCAUUCAUGUGAAAUUUGUGGUUGGCAAAAGGGGGCUUGGCAUUUCGAGUUGAUGGACGUUUUUGGGUGUGUAACGGAAGACUACUUGUUGGCAUUUCGAGUUGCUAAGGAAUAUUGUAUACAGUUAUUUGUUAGCACCCAAAAUACACAAAGAACACAGACAAUUUGCUAAGUUUAUCUUUGUGUUCGCUGCUUAGAUCCAUGAGCAUUAAAGUCCUCCUUUUGAAAUUGUGUUAUUAUUCAAAAUUGGAAUUUGCUGGAGAUAGUUCAUUUUUACCUUGUAUCAUUUUUGCCAAGUAAUUUGAAGAACUCCACCGACAAUUUCUCAAAAGCUUUUGCGUCCAACUUUGCGUAUACAUGGGGACCCCAUCCCCAUGUGAGGCCACCGAAAAGCUAUUGUGUUGUACGUACACGAUAUUAUUGAAGCCACAGAAAAGUUUUCAGAAGUUGCCCCACAAACAAAGAAGAAAAGUCCUUGAAAGAGAGAGUUUUCCAAGGCCCAGAUUACAAGUUCAUGUUAUUUACAAUCUCAAAAAGCUUCCAUACAAGUUGUGCUAGCCUAGCUACUUGCAAAAUCUUGGAAUAUUUUACUUCAUCCAAAUCCCUUGCAGUCUGUCUGCAGAGAAGAGAAAAGAUGGCUUUGAUCGGAGAGGCUCUUAUCUCUGCUUCCGUCCAGGUGUUGUGUGACAGAAUUACUUCAAGCGAGUUCGUCGACUUAUUUCGGCAGAAGAAACUGGACGAACCACUCCUCAUGAACUUGAAGACGACACUGUUGACUUUGUUCGUGGUGCUCAAUGAUGCAGAGGAGAAGCAACUUGUGAACCCUGCUGUGAGAGAGUGGCUUAACGAGCUCAAGCAUGCUGUCUUUGAUGCAGAGGACUUACUGGAUGAGAUCGACACUGAAGCUUUGCGACGCAAGCUGAAAGGUGAGGAUCAAACCCACAAAUUAACCAAUAAGGUGUGGAACUUACUCCCUUCUUCUCGUAAUCAUUUUUAUCAAAGCAUGAAUGUUAAGGUACAAGAGUUGUUGCAAAGAUUAGAAAACUUUGUACAACAGAAAAUUGCUCUUGGUCUGGGAGAAGUUGCUAGGAGGAAGGUUUCACAUAGAACUCCAACAACUUCCUUGGUUCAUGAACCUUGUGUAUAUGGUAGAGAUGAAGUCCAAGAAAAUUUAUCAAAAGUGUUGCUAUCUGAUGAUGCAAGCAAGGAUGAUGUGUCUGUCCUCACCAUUGUUGGAAUGGGUGGGGUUGGCAAGACAACCCUUGCUCGAAUGCUCUACAACAACAAUAAGGUGGAAGGGCAUUUUACACUUAAAGCUUGGGCUUGUGUUUCAGAAGACUAUAAUGCUUUUAGAAUAACUAAAACUAUUCUUGAGUCAGUCACUUCAAAGCCUUGUAAUACGACGGAUCUGAAUUUGCUUCAAGUUGAAUUAAGAGAGCAGUUGAGGGGAAAGAAAUUUUUAUUUGUGUUGGAUGAUCUAUGGAAUGAAAAUUAUGGCGAUUGGGAGCGCCUCCAAACUCCUUUUAAUUCAGGGGCCAGGGGAAGCAAAGUCAUUAUAACAACACGGAACAAAAAUGUAGCAUCUUUAAUGAAAAAUGUUCCCAUUCAAUUCUUGGAACCAUUGUCGCAUCAAGACUGCUGGUUGUUACUUGCUAAACAUGCUUUUGGAAAUGAAAACUAUAGUGCAAAUUCAAACUUGGAAGACAUUGGCAAGCAAAUUGCACUCAAGUGCAAAGGGUUGCCUUUAGCUGCACAAACACUUGGGGGUUUGUUACGUUGCAAUAUAGAUUCUGAGGAGUGGAAUAGAAUACUAAAUAGUAAUAUUUGGUACCUACCCCAUGGUACAACUGACAUUCUUCCAUCUCUAUGGUUGAGUUAUCAUUAUCUCCCCGCUCAGUUAAAACGAUGCUUUGUUUAUUGUUCACUUUUUCCAAAGGAUUAUGAGUUUGAAAAGGAAGAUGUAGUUCAAUUAUGGAUGGCAGAAGGCUUAGUUACUCAAGUUGAUAAUGGGAUGAUUAUGGAAUCAAUGGCUAGAAAAUACUUUGACGAGCUAUUAUCUCGGUCACUGUUUCAAAAGUCAAGAGAACUCAGUUUCACAAUGCAUGACCUCAUUCAUGACUUGGCUAUGUUCAUCUCUAAGGGGUUUUGCCUUAGGCUGGAAGGGGUGGAAUCACGUGAAGUUAAAAGAGCUCGUCAUUUGUCAUAUGCUAGGGGAAGAUUUGAUGUUGCUCCAAGAUUUGAACCAUUAUAUGAGGCUAAAUGUUUGCGGACCUUCCUACCUACCUCUUUAAAUCCAUAUAGAUCUUAUGAGAGAUUUUUUGUAAGUAAAAAAGUUCUACAAGAUUUGUUGCCAUCACUAAGAUGUUUACGGGUGUUAUCAUUGUCACGUUAUCAAAAUGUCACUGUGUUACCUGAUUCUAUUGGAAACCUCAUUCACUUGCGCUACUUGGAUCUUUCCCAUACUGCAAUUGAAAGGUUACCUGGGGUACUUUGCAAUCUCUACAACUUGCAGACUUUAAUAUUGUCAUAUUGUUCCUCUCUCUUUGAAUUGCCUGCAGACAUCAGAAAAUUGAUUAAUUUACAGAAAUUGACAUUGGGCGGUUGUAGUUCUCUUAAUAAAUUGCCUGCAGGCAUGAAGGAGUUGACUAAUUUGCAUCAUCUUGAUGUCAGUGGAACUAAAAUUGAAGAGAUGCCGGUGCAAAUGGGUAGAUUGAAAAGUUUGAGAACAUUGACUGCAUUUGUUGUGGGCAAAUCUACUGGGUUAGGCAUAAGAGAACUGAAGGAGUUCCCACAACUUCGAGGAAAACUAUCAAUUUUGAAGCUACAAAAUGUAGUUGAUGCGAGCGAUGCACUGCACGCCAAUAUGAAGCACAAGAAAGAUCUCAAGGAGUUAAAGUUUUCAUGGGGCGCGGAGGAUGCUGAUGAUUCCCAAAAGGAGAAAGAUGUACUCGACCAAGCUCCAGCCUUGCGUGAAUUUGGAGAAAUUAACCAUCAAAUUCUAUGGUGGAACCAAUUUUCCGAAUUGGUUAGGAGACUCGUCUUUUUCUAACAUACAAGUCAUGCAUCUCAGUGACUGUAGUUAUUGUUGGUUGCUCCCACCAGUUGGACGGCUA